GGAAAACCCUUCUUCCCCUCUCUAGCUUUCUCCCGGAAAAUUUUCCGAUCCGUUGCAAACCGUUCAUCAUCUUCCGUUCUAUAACAGAUCUCGAUGACCUGCGAGGCUGCGAUGGAGAUUCGCAUUGGAAGAGGCUACGCGUGGGCCAUUGCCGCCGGAUUCAUGGCCGCUCUUGCAGCCAUCUCCGCCAAGUUCUUCUCCUCUCAGGUAACCCAACCUCAUCCACGCACUUGUCCGUGCGAGCUAAUCCAUGAUUGUCCCCCGCCGUUCUGCUUUGUCACUUGAGAUUGUGCGAUCGUUCUAGCUAAUGCAAAUCGAAAUCUGGUGUGUCUGUUGGGCCGUGUCCCUAAUGUAUCUCCGGCUGAAGCACUUGAUGUUGCGUGGCGCAAUGUGAGCCGCAGCCGAUAGCCGGUGUGCGGCGAUACGUCCAAUUUUUGGUUGUUUGAGGAUUAGCGGGAGCUCUAAUUGAGGAAAUCUCCUGCCAAUUCAACUACUUCUGUGGAGAGUAGUUGAAUAGAUUAGCGAGAGGGGAGGAGGGAGGGUGGUGCGUCUGCUCCUCGAUCCCCAGACAUGCCCGGGGAGGAGAGGGAGUUAUGGGCUAGCUUAUAAGGCUUUGGUCCAUCUAACUGUAUAUACGCGUUUUCUUGAGGUAAUAUGGGCUAGUUUGAGAAGAACAAAACCGUAAGGACUUAGUGUUCAAGGCGAAAAAUGUGUACAAUGGAGACCUAGCCAUUACAACAAUGUCAUCCAAUGGCAGGGGAUCGAGGAGCAAGAAAAACACAUUUAGCGAAGCAUGGAACGUGCUCAAGGGGAAUUGGGUAUCGGGACAUCGCCAUGUCACUGGUGAGCUCACUGGCAGAGCCUCAACGGAACUAUCGGGAUGCUGCCACAUCCCCAGUGAGCUGGAGAUCCUCGAGCAUGUCCCAGUCACAAGCGAGUUCUCAGAAAAGCUCUAAGAAGAGCUCAUCGGUGGAGUCUCAGUGGAGAUCCUCCAGCGUCAGCCAAGGCGACGACCAUUAUCACAACUCUGGUGAAGACGAUCCAUGGCGAGCAAGCUACAGGCAUGGCGCUCUUCGCCUAUUCUGGUGAUUACGAUCAAGGGCGAGUGAGAUUGUACCCGCAACCACCCCAGCAGGAAUAUGAUUAUUCUUAUCACACUAUCAGGGGGCAGUAUUAUUCUUGAGGUCUUGACAAUGUCAAUAGUUACGUCCACGACGACGCGUCCGUUCCAUCAUAUCUGCCCCCGCAUACUUCUUAUGGUUAUCACUGUCCAUCCGAGUCUCCCCCGAAUAAUUGUGUGGUGAUGUGAGAUGCCUAAUAUAGUGUGCCUAUAGUUGCUUUUACUAAUAUCUGGUGAAGUACGGGAUGAGCUAGGGGCAUGGUUGAGCCUUUGGUUUGUUAGCUUUCGCUUGUGAAUCUCAGUGAAGUUUCUUGUUUUAGUUAAUGGUUUCGAACGUGAUGGAGAUUGAUUGAAAUGGCUUUGCCAGUUAAUGAAGGUUUAUAUAUUUAUUUUAUGAAGUUUCAUCUAGUUCGUAGAUGCUAAAAAGUUCUAUUAAAAUUUAACUAAAUUUAGGGGCACUUAAUUCCAUCAAUUGUCUACGGUUCUACUUCUAUGGACAGAUGUUCCCUCACCAAUCAUUUAUCACAAAAAUUAAACCAAAUGAAAAACGAUUUAUAAAAAUAGUUUAAAAAAGAAAAAGAAAAUUGGCCGCGCCAUUCUUGAAAAUUCCUCAUUCUUCAAGGAAGACCUUUAAGGAUCCGAGCUUUCUUGUGAUCCUUCGUGUUCAAACUUCAAGUAGCUUUGAAUGUGCAGAUAUACAUUGAAAUUUGUCUUUCCAGAUGCUUAUGGCAUCUCCAUUGAGAUGCAUAUACAUGGAGGAGAAACUUUUCAAGCUCAUCCAUUUAAAAAUUGGGCUCCUUUCUUGAUGAAAUUCAGUGGACGAAGACGAGAGAAAACGUUUCCAGUUAAAAAGAUCAAAACCGAAAAUAAUCUCCACUCAGUCCGUCGGAAGUAAUUGAAUUGUUGAUAUAUCGACAUAAAAAUGAAGCAGGAAAUGUUAGAUUAAAUGUAAACUAAAACCUUAUGAUCCCGAUUAUCAAUCACAGAUAAAUUCGUACAGAAUUUGGGAUCGAUUUGCUGAAACGUAAAAAUCAACAUACCUCCAGUCAUCGAUAAAAAUUUGCAAAAGCGGAAAACUUCAAAACCUUGGACGGAUUCACGCAACACGAUCCGAUCUUCAAUAUGAAGAACACCAGAUCUGUACGUCAUGUUCUACUAGCCAAUACCCCUCAAAUCUGAUGGUGCGUUUUCUGUAAUGAUAGGGUUUGAAUUAGACGACUUGACAUUUUAUUCCGUUUAUUAUGUUAUAGACAUCUUCCAUCAAGACCGUUAUGGUAACAUAUUAACGAGCAAAUAUCAUGUAAUAGAUGUGGGUGAUAAACUGGGCAAUAAAUCGGAACUAAUUGAGAAUAUAAUAUUGGGAUCAUAUUUAGAAUAAUAAAUAUAUUACAACAUUCUCCCACUUGAUCCCAAUAUUCCAUUAAAUGAAAUAUUAACUCAAACCCACAUAAACUUCGUACUAAAAUAAAACACAUGAAUCAUGAUAAUGAGUCCUCUUAGAGUAAGUAUUAUCUUUCAUGUAUCACAAUGCAUUUCAUUAGCUCAUAUGCGAUCAAAUAACUUAAUGAAUAAAUCUUCUGUUUACUCUAGGUCAAAUGUAAUUGUUUCUCUCAGAAUAAUUGAAUGUAUACAAGUGUAUUGAGAAAAACAUUAUAAAUGAAUAAAAGUCUCACAAUUCUUUCAUAUAAUUUUUUUUUUACCUAAUUGGGCCAAUACCCAUUCUAAAUACAUGAUUCUUAUAACUCAUUGGUGGCAUGCCUUUAGUUAAAGAAUCAGCUAUCACCAGUCCAGUGCUUAAGUGUUCUAUGAUCACUUUCUUCUCUUUAACACGUUCUCUGAUGACUAAAUACUUGAUGUCGAUGUGCUUGCUUCAACUACCACUUUUGCGGUUCUUAGCCACAAAAACUGUAGCUGAAUUGUCGCAAAAUAUUCUUAAUGGCCUAGCAAUGGAAUCCACAACUCUAAGCUCCGAUAUGAAACUUUUCAAUCACACACCAUGUGAGGUGGUCUCAAAAUAGAAAACAAACUCUGCCUCCAUAGUGGAAGUGGCAACCAAGGUCUGUUUUGCACUCCUCUAGGAUACAGCUCCACCAACAAAGUUUGAAUUCGAGUAACCAACUACCUCCAAGGUGUUCGUCCGUCUAUACAUAAGUAUGUAUCCCUUUGUUCCUUGAAGGUACCUCAUUACCUUCUUUGCAGCUCUCCAACGGUCCAUACCUAGAUUACUUUAUAUAUACUCAACAUUCCCAUAGCAAAGGCUAUGUCAAAUCGAGUGCAAACUUAAGCAUAUAUCAAGCUUCUGACAGCAGAAGCAUAUGGAAUGUUCUUCAUUCGUUCCCUUUCAAAAUCGUCCUUUGGGCAUUGGUUUAAAUUAAACCUAUCACCUUUCACAAUCGGUGCUAUAUCUGGUGAACAAUCUUUCAUCCGAAACCUCUCUAAGACCUUAUUGAUAUAGGUUUCUUGAGAUAGUCCUAAUAUAUCUCGAGAUCUAUCUCUAUGGAUCUUAAUGCCAAUGACAUAAGACGCUUUAUCAAUAUCCUUUAUAUCAAAACUCUUAGAGAGAAAUUGUUUCCCUUCAUAUAACAACCCCUUAUCAUUGGUUGUAAGUAAAAUGUUAUCUACAUAUAGCAUAGGGAAACAAAUUUUGCUCCCAUUAACCUUUUGGUAUAUACAUUGAUCAAUGAUAUUCUCUAUAAAACCGAAUGAAGAGAUAACCUCAUGGAAUCUUAAGUACUAUUGGCGGGAUGCUUGUUUUAAGCCAUAUAGAGACAUUUUAAGCUUGCAUACCAAAUGUUCACCAAUAUUAGAAAAUAAUCAUUCUAGUUAUUUCAUGUAAACCACUUCUUUCAAUUUUCUAUUGAAGAACGCCAUUUUCGCAUCUAUUUGAUGUAACUUCAUAUCAAAAUGAGCAACUAAUGCCAAAAUAAUACGAAGAGAAUCUUUCUUGAAUACAGGAGAAAACGUCUCCGUGUAAUUGAUCCAUUCCUUUUUAGUGAAUUCCUUGGCAACGAAUUUGGCUUUGUAUCUCUCAAUAUUGCCUAAUGAAUCAUUCUUAGUUUUGAAGACUCAUUUACAACUAAUAGCCUUCACACCAUCGAGCAAUUCAACUAUAUCCCAGACUUCAUUUGAUGCCAUAGAAUUCAUCUCUUCCUUCAUGGCCUUGUACCAUAAAUUGGAUUUAUCACAACUCAUGACUUGUGAAAACGUCUCGGGAUCACUUUCAGCUCCAACAUUAUAGUCAAUUUUUUGUAGAUACACAAUGUAAUCAUUAGGGAUUGCUGAUUUCUUCAUUCUAGUAGACCUUCUUAAUGUUGCAUCAACAUCCUCCUGAGGAGUUUGUUGUUCAACUGAAAGUUCAAUAGUAUCUGGUAAUUGCUGAAUAGUUGGGUCUAUCGAAUCAACAUUAGUAAGUUAUGGAUCUUCAAUGAUUGAUUGCUCAACGAUCGGUUGAAUUGAAGGUGUAUUGUAAACAUUAACCAAUCAAGUACCUGAGGUAGAAGGUUGAGUAUCUAAAUGAUCUUCUUCGGGAACAAAGUCCCUGAAUUGAUCGUUCCCAUUAACCAGGGCAUUCUCAAGAAAUUUAACAUUUCUUGAUUCCACAAACCUAAUGGUGUGAGAUGGACAAUAAAAUCUGUAUUAUUUGGACUUUUCGGCAUAUCCAAAGAAAUACUCAUUUAUAGUCUUUGGAUCUAACUUUUUUUUUUCCUGUGGAUUGUAGACUUUUACUUCAGAUGAGCAUCCCCAAACACGUACAUGUCACAAACUCGGUUUUCAACAUUUGAAUAACUCAAAAGGCGUCUUUGGAACAGCCUUGGUUGGAACUCGGUUUAAUAUGUACACAACCGUUUUAAGAGCCUUAGUCCACAAAAAUUUAGGAAGUUUGGAGCUGCUGAGCAUACUCCGCACCAUGUCCAAUAAUGUUCAUUUUUUUUUCUGCGACACCAUUUUGGUCUAGUGAACUAGACAUAGUGUAUUGAGCAAUAAUCUCAUGCUCUUCAAAAAACUUCGCAAAUGAACCAGGUGCUUAUCCAUCUUCAAUGUAUCUACCAUAAUAUUCCCCACCUCUAUCUGAUCUUACGAUGCCGCAUUGUUUUUCUACUUCGGUUUUAAAUACUUUAAAGGCAUUUAACGCUUUGUGCUUAUUACAAAGCAUAUAAAUACAUGAAUCGUGAACAAUCGUCUAUGAAAGAAAUGAAGUAUCUGACCAUUUGAGUCCAUAUCCGGACUACAAAUAUCUGUAUAUAUGAUUUUUAAUAUUUUUGUAUUCCUCUUAGCACCUUUCUUUGACUUGUUGGUACAUUUUCCCUUUAUACAAUCCACACAAGUGUCAUAAUUAGUAAAAUCCAGAGUAUUAAGUACUUUAUCAUUUACUAGUCGCUUAAUUAUAUCAAUAGAGAUAUGUCCCAACCUCCGGUGCCACAACAUAGAUGAAUCCUCAUUUACAGCACAUCGUUUUAUACUAGCAUUAUCGUGAACAUGCAUCGCAUUAUUAAUUACAUUGUCUAGUAAAUUAAUUCGAAAGAGACCGUUAAACAAAAUACCACUCUCAACAAUUUCAGAUUUAUACGAUAAAUUGAAUGUUGAAUAUAAAAAUUCAAAGGAGUAUCCCUAAGGCACAAGUCUUGAAACUGAAAUUAAAUUCCUAGAAAAACUAGGAAUAUAAAAGGUCAUUUCUAAAAUUAAAACAAAACCACUACCGAGAACUAAUCUGCAUGUCCUAAUAGCUUCCACGCGCGAGCACAUCUUGUUUCUUGAAUAGAUGCUUUGUUCACUUUCCACUUGUUUCCACCGGUUCUAAAAACCCUACAAGGAAUUCGAAAUGUGGAUUGUAGAACCAGAAUCAAUCCACCAAGUGUUGUGACCCACAUCAACCAUAUUAGAUUCAUAACAAACAGAUGAGAGUUGGUUAUCUUUCUUUUUUAGCAGGCCUUAAAUUUGGCACAAUUCUUCUUCACGUGCCCCUUCUUUUUACAGAAGAAACGCUUGAAUUUCUUUUUAAUGCCAACUCGGGGAGGUAGAGGCAUGUUACCUUUUCCCUUUUGCUUGCCUUGCUCUUUAUACUUAUCAUGUGUUGUCAUAUGGUCAUGAGUUCAUUGAUUGACCAUUUAGUUUUAUGUGUAUUGUAAGAGAUUUUGAAAUGGGCAUACUCUUGUAGGAGAGUAUUUAGAAUAUAAUAUACAAGAAAAAAAUAUGAUAUCCCAACCUGAAGAUUUUUCAGCUGAGCUGCAAUGUCCCUCAUCUUCAUGAUGUGCUCACGCGCACCUCUUACACUGGUAAGUUUCAAAGAUGAGAACUUCAUAAUCAGGGUCAUGGCAUGCACCUUCUCUAAAGACUCAAAUUGUGCAUUAAUAGCCUCCAGCAAUUUCUUGGCAUUGUUAUGCUGAAUGACUAAACCACGAAUACUAGCAGAGAGUUUUAUCUUUAUGUACAUCACACUGAGACGGUUGGACCGCUCCCAUUGUGCAUAAUGUGUAUGUUCAAUAUGAGUACUAUUUUCAAUAGAUUCAGGUGGUUCGUCAGACCUUAGUACAUAAUCAAGAUCCAUGCACCCCAAUUGAAGAAGAAUCGAUUCCUUUCAUUCUUUAUAGUUAUUCCUAUUAAGCUUGGAAACAAUUAUACCAGAACUAAUCGUAGGUGGUAAAACUGCAUCAUAAUUAAAGAAAACUUAUGUAUCAACAUAUUUGAGGCAAAUAAACUUAAAUAAAACAUGUUAUAAAAUAUGGAUCACAUAACAUCAAUAACUAUCUGUGGGCUAAGUUUCUAAUUUAAAUUGAUUCAUAAUUACUUAAUGAUGAAACUAUCAAAUUAUAUUCUCUUCUUUAAUCCCUAUGGGUAACUUAAGAAAGAUAAAAUAAUAUUUCAUCAUAAUUAAUCACAUUAAUAUAUUGAAAAUUCCCGUGGGAUAAAAUUCAUAAUAUUAAUAUGACUAAUCACAAUUAUAAUAUUUGACUAUAUGUGAUCCAAAGGCUUUUAAUGUAUAUAACUUAAUAUAAUCAAAGAUGCUAUGGCUAAUCUUUAAUUAAUUAAAUAUAUACGGAUCACUAGACAUUUAAUUUUAUGAGAAAAUAUUCAUAAAAUUGCACGUUAGGGUAAAACGGUAAAAUCACGUGCAAAGGGGUAAAACUGGAAUUUUGCACGCAAGGCCGGAAUAGGAAUUUUACUUUUAAGGGGUAAAAUAGGAAUUUGCACGCGCCUAAAGCCUUCUUUUCGGGCUUUCUUCUUUUCCGCCGUUCCUUCCGCCGCGACUAACUUUGUUCUGCUGCCUGGAUUCCUCCCACAGCCCAUGUCCGACCAAAUUGAUUGAUGGGUUUCGAAGAGAACGUCGGGACGAACGAAUAAUUUCAAGAUCAGGCAAAAACGACCAACAUAUUGACUGGAAUUAAGCCUAAAACAAUCUGCCCUAAAAACCCUAACCACCAAAAUUUCACUGUUCGAUUAACCUCCGAUGAUCAAUAAUAUGCCGAAAAAUUUAAGGGCUUUUCUUCCUAAUGGCAGUGUGGCCAUGCAGAUCCAUUAUCGUGUGGUGGGUCGCCCAAAUUUGGCCAAAAUUUUAAAUUCUGUUCUAAGUCAUAAAAAUCCGAAUUUACCCAUACAUAAUUCAAUGAAAAUAAAUAAAAAUUCCAAAAAUUUCACCAAGGUAGAGAUUGUAAACAUGCUUUGAUACCAACUAUUAGAUUAAAUGUAAACUAAAACCUGACGAUCCCAAUUAUCAAUCACAGAUUAUUUCGUACAGAAUUCUGGAUCGAUUUGCAGAAACGUAAAGAUCAACAUACCUUAAGCUCUUCACCAAAAAAAAACAUACCUUAAGCCAUCAAUGAAAAUUUGCAAAAGCAGAAAACUUCAAAACCUUGGACGGAUCCACGUAGCACAAUCGAUCUUCAAUAUGGAGAACACCAGAUCUGUACGUCAUAUUCUAUUAGCCCAUACCCCUCAAACCUAAUGGUGUGUUUUCUGCAGUGAUAGGGUUUGAACUAAACGACCUGACGUUUUAUUCCAUUUCUUAUGUUACCGACAUCUUUCAUUAAGACCGUUACAGUAACAUAUUAACGGGCAAAUAUCACGUAAUAAAUGUGGGUGAUAAAUUAGGCAAUAAAUCGGAACUAAUUGAGAAUAUAAUAUUGGGAUCAUAUUUAGAAUAAUAAAUAUAUUACAACGGGAAAGAGAUUUAUUUAUUUCAAUAGCUUCUUUAGUGAAGAUUAUAGUAAUCUAUUUAUAAAUUUUAUGAAGUGACUAUCCGAAAAAACAAAAUAUUACACAUAUCAAUGACGAUCAAUGAAAACCAUUCGAAAAUAUGCAUAAUCAAAUGAACAUAGUGCACAAUUAUGAGAGAUAUACAAAACCAAUGGAGAUUUAAAGAAUCUACUUUAUAUAAAGACAUAGAAGAAGUCAAUUGUAGAAUAUAUUAGCAGUCUUAUCAACCAAAGAAGUGGAGACAAGAUGCACAAUGUCAUGAAGCACAUGAUAACACGUGAAACGAUAGUCUCUUUCAAUAUGUUUGGUGCUUUUAUAAAUAAAUAAAAACAUUAUUAUAUGCUGUUCGGGUCCAAUUAUCAUAAUAAAUAAGUAUUUUGUUGUUAAGAUGACACAUAUAUGUCCUUUAAUAACCAUUACAAAUACAGUAAUUUUGAUGUUGUAUUAGCAAAAGCAUGAUAUUCAGCUUUCAUGCUAGAUGAAGCGACAAUGGUCUAUUUAUUGUUAUGCUAUAAGAUAAGUGAGUUACUUAGAAAGUAGUGAAGUAAUAAUCAAGAGGGUCUCCUGCCCAUCAAAUUUAGUUAAAAAGAUUGAACUAAAAAAUGAUCUCCACCCAAUCCAUUAGAAGCAGGUGAAUCACUUAGUUCAAUGGAAGAACCGCUACAUGAAUAAUGGGUAAGGGAGUCUGUCUCGGGAAAUAAACUACGAAUCCAUUAAGGCUCCCUUCGUUUCGUGAAACACAAUUUCUAGAAAAAGUAUUUUUUGGAUUUUCCGACAUUCCUUUCCUGAAAAAUGAACUAAUCGAGGAAAACAUUUUCCAUUAGCAAAAAAGAGUUUUCUAAAAUAGAGAAAAUGUUUUCCACUUUUCAAGAUGAAGAAAACAUUUUUCUUACUCAUUUUCUCUUAUCUCAUACCUAUGUUAACCUUUUCAUCUUUUUUCCUAAAAAAAUCCAAUUUUUAAUUAUUUUUCUUUUUUUUGUUUUUUUAUUUUUCUCUUUCAAGCUCGAGACUCAUUGGAAUUUGGCAAGCCUUAAGCUCACCUACGGCCAAUCACUGGCCAUCACCGUGGUUGAUCAAAAAAGAAGAAUAAAAAAAGAAAGAAAAAAUAAAAAUAAUUUAAAAAUUGAUUUUAAGAAAUAAAAAAAAUUAUUGAAAAAGAGUGCAUGGAGGAAAACAUUUUCCUUACCAAAUAACAGAAAAUAUUUUAUAAUUCAUUUUCAAAUUUCAGCUGCAAACUACAAAAUGGCUAUCUUCUUGAAAAAUGGCUUCCUAGAAAACAAUUUCUAGAAAUGUUACAUUUUCCGUGAAACAAAUAGAAUCUUAAUUAAAAAAUGAUUCGUUCGACAUAGCUUGGAGCUAGGUCUCUCUGUCCAUUGGGCAACCAAGAAUGCAAUCCUAAAGUGCCAUUAUUAUUAUUUUGCCCCCGAUUUCAAAUGCAAGUAGGCCUUCAAAAAAGGGGCUCGAAAUGUUCUUAUUUUCUUAAAUAAGAGCUCGAAGUGAACCUUAUUUCAAAUAAACGCCUGAAGUGCCAUCGUUUUAUCAAAUAAAGGACUGAAGUGAAUAUUAUUUUAAAUAAAUGCCUGAAAUGGCUAUGCCAGUUUCAAACAAUAGCCUAAAGUAAUUAUGUCUGUUUCAAAUAAGAACUUUCUCUUCUUCUUCUUCUUCUUUUUUUUCUGGUUCUUCUUCUUCCUCUUCGCCACUGGCCGAAGGGUUGGGCAAGGGUUGCCUUACCCAAUUCGAUGAGCACCACCCAUGUCGGCCACAAAUGAGGAACGGCCUCACUUGGGCGAGGCCACCCUUGCCCUGGGGGAGGCUGCCCCUUGCGGCCAUCUACAAGGGCUCGUCGACCUCAUCGGCCACGGGUGAGGGUGGCCUCGCUCACAACCGGCGAGGGCUUGCAGGCCCUUGUCGGCCAUUCCUAGCGGCCAGCAAGAUUGUUGACCCUUUGCAAUGAAAAAAGAAGAAAAAAGAAAAGAAAAUGUGGAUGAAAACUCCUUGACCAGUUGGAAAAUUUAGCCGGCCAACAACCGCCGAACUCGGGCCCUUAUUUGAAACAACAAUGGCUACAUCAGACCCUUAUUUAAAACAACCAAGACCACUUCAAGUCUUUAUUUGAAACAAGGUCUACUUCAGAUUUUUAUUUGAAAAAAUGAGGCACUUCAAGUUAGGGGUGUGCAUGGUCCAGGCGGGCGGUUCCUGAUCUAGAACCGGGAAUCGCCUGCUAAAGACCGGUUCCGAAAAAUUGGAACCGAGAUUCACUUGUUUAUUGCAUGGAUCCACAUGGGAACCGGACUGGCCAGUCCGGUUCCCAGGUGGAUCCAUGGAACCGGUCUUGACGCGAAAUAAUUUUGGUUUUCAACAAAGAACGACUAUGUAACAUCAAGGCAAGCCAAAGAAAGAAAAACCAAAUUUAAGUACGUGGAGAUGCGGACGGUGGGAGAAAUAAACGCAGCAAAAUGGCGAUAGGAUUAGGAGCCGAAGACGAAGGGAGUGAGAUGAGAUCUACGAUUUAUUUUAGUAAUUUUUUUUUUAAUAUUAAAAAGGUUCCAGUCCGGUUCGGGUGGGCGGGCGGGCGGAUCCGCCCAUGGAACUGGGAACCGGACCAUUACCCACCGGUUCCCAUAAAUUGGAACCAGGAACCGGACCAAUUCUCUCAAGAACCGCAAGUUCCGAGCAGUUCCAGUCCGGUUCCGGGCGGUCCGGGCGGUUCCCGGGUAUUUUGCACACCCCUACUUCAAGCCCUUUUUUGAAAUUUUCUCUUUAUUUUAUUUUAGGUUGCAAUUCUUGCCCAUGGACUGAACUAAAAUAUACUCUUUUUCUCUCUCUCUUUUUCCACUUAAAAAAGCCGCUUGAUCAAAUAUGAUUUAUCUUGAGCAAAUGCACCUUGAAUCAAGGGGAAAUGACUUCGCAUUUCUUCAGAAGUCUUCCAAAUAAAGUCAACUAUUAUGCAUCUAAUUUUUUUAAUCAAUAUUUGUUACUAAUAGGUAUUCCAAAUAAAAUCAACUUAAUAAAUUUUCUUAUUUUUAAUUAAUAUUUUUUACAAAUAGGUAUUUCAAAUGAAGUCAACUCAAUAAAUUAGUAAAAAAAUUACAGAAAAACGAAAAAAUUAACUCAACCAAAAUAGAAUAACUACUCAAAGUACCUUUACUUUAAAAUAUAAAUAAGAGUGCACAAAUUGCCAAAACAUCAUUACAAAUGAUAAAUUGAAGAAUUAAAAAUGAUAAAAAUUGAUACACCCCUUCCAUACAAAGGGUGCUCAGACCGUCAACUUUUAUUUAGAGAUCACCGAAACAGUGCUUUACCCCUAGAUGUCCUAGUGCGUUUAAAAUUCUAAACUCAUGGCAAAAGUGUAACUAAAAUUUAAAAUUUUAGAUAAUAUAAUCAAAUCCGAAAAUUUACCAAAUUGAAGCAAUCAAAAUUUAAGAUGCUUAAAAUAUUACUAUAAUAUAAAUCAAUAAUAUGUGUUGUGUUGAAUGCUAAACGCGAGACAAAUCGUUGAUGCAUGAUAUCACUCAUUGAUUGUGUAGAAUUUAGGCAACAUUUUUUCUUUUUUAAUUUGAAACUUAGGCAACAGUUCAAUAAGCGGAUUUGAUAAUUACAACGAUCCCCAUAAUUGUUUCAUCAAUAUGUGAUGGAUGGAAAGUGAAAAAAAAAAUAGAAAAAGGAGUAAAAAGAGAAUAAAUACAUAACAUUUUUUUUCAUAGUGUGGUGUUACUGAACUUGAUGUUGACCGAGAGCAACUAAAUUUCCACAAGGUGUCCAGACUGCAGCAUUAAUUUUACUACAUAUUCUCCUUGGGAGAAAAUAUUGGUUGUGCAGAUUGUGCCAGCGUAACAAAUUGAAAGCUCAUCCAUUGAGCAACAUGUGUUCAUCUUCUUGCCCUCUCUCUAUUCUCCCACUUUUUUGCAAGCCACGGAUGCCUCUCUCCUCCAUAAACCCCUUCUCCUUCGGCCCUCCCCCUCACUUGCACGGGGCACAACAACGUUAUUCAACCCACCUCUCCUUCACUUGAGCUCGACCUUUGUGCCUCCCCCACCGACAACAGUUCCACCAUUGAAAUCUUCCACUGUCCCCGCAGCCCUUGGAUCCAAGAACAAGCCUAAGUCUCCCGUGCUCCUUGUUAUCACUCACGAGCCCAAGUCCCUCCACAUCUUCGGGAUUUGACAAGGGCUCAGUCCUUGCCAGAUUCAGCACGAGCGACCCUUGCCCUAGCUGGGGGCGUCAACCUCAUCGAAUCCUCUUGUCAAAUUCGGCGAGAGCGACCCUGGCUUGUGGGUCAAGUACUGGCCAUAGGUCAAAGGGAAAGAAAGUAAUUAAAAAAAAAGAAGGUAGGAAUGGCAAAGAAGAAGAAGAGAAAUGGAGGUGUGAUUCUGCAAGAGGAGAGAAACAAAGGAAGAAUAGUAUGAUAAGUAAGUUUUUUAGGGACACAUAUCACUCAAUGGAUGGGCUUUCAAUUUGUUGCAUUGGCACAACUUGUGCGGCCAAUAUUUUCUCCAUGUCUUGAUAUGGUUUAAAAAUAAGUAAAUGCUCGGCCCAUGAACGCAUGCGUGUCCAUACACAUGUUUUCACAAUUUUAUUAGUAUCAGCUAUAUGAGAUUGUGCUAUAAAUAUAAUAACGCAAAGAGGCCUAAAAUCGGAAAAGCUCACCUAGAGAAACCCCGCAUUAUCUUGAAUCAAUCCCCUGGAAUGGGAAUGGAAGCUUUCUUGGCAUCGUUUGGUUGAUUGGAGCGAGGUGGAAUGGAAAUAAAAUUGGGAAUAAAUUCAUUACUGCAUUUUUCGUUGACACGUGGGAAAGUGGAAAUGAGCGAUAAGGCAUGGGAAUGAGUUGACAGUCAAGGGUAAAUUGACAUGUGCACUAAGCUUUGUAUUUGGUUACUGUUGUUUGGACAUAAUAUGGCAAACAUACUUACCUAAUUUACUAUUAUAUAGCAAUUUAAAACGAUAAAAUUCCACCCAUUACUACAUACGUUCUAAUUCCAAUGUAUUACCAAAUGCAGUGAUCUUCAAAUCAAUCGCUAUUCUGAUUCACUACAAGCAAUUCCAUUCCCUUCAAAUUAUCUCUUGCUUAUGUAACAAAUGGGCCAAAGAAACAAGUUAAAACUCAUAUGGACAACAUCCUCAUCUAAAAUUAAGAACAUAUCAAAGUGCAUGAACCGCAAAAAUUAAGACCAUGAGCGCACGCAUGUCUAGUCUGUCUAAUUCUAUAUGUAUAUAGUGGUAGAUAUGUCCAAUAUGACCUCACUACGUACAUCCAAUUUCCACUCUGGAAAACGUAAUUAAUUGUUUAGGCUUGUUCUUCGCUACUUAUUUUUCCUCCAAUUGUCUUCAUGUUACCUCUUUUGGAAGCAUUCAGUUGAUCUACAUGCAUUGUUUGGAUAUGAAGAAAUGUUUUAAUAGUUCAGUUUUCAUAAAAAUAUACCAGCUCGAGAUUAUCAAUGGUUCGUGUAUAUGUAAUCUUGUGUACUCAAACUAGCUAAACUCGAAUGAUGUUCCAAUUUGGAUCUAAAAUACCAUUGCCGGAUAAUUUCAAUGGAAUGCCAUCAAAUUGUUUUCCCCUAAUGCUACGUUAAAGUACGUAUUGCAUAACUUAGAUACUUUUACCCAAAAUCAUUCCGAAAAAAAUAUAUCAGGACAAAUUCAGAAGUUUUAUAGGCGAUAAUCGUGGAUUAAUAUAGUUUCGUUCCAUUCUUAUAGGAACUAUCCAAAGGAAUUCAUUUCUUCACGUGGAAAGCAAACUCUGCCUUUUUUAGUCAAUUGUUGACUUGGCUUUUGAUUAAUUAUACAUGACUAAAUUCAUUUUUGCUCAAGGUUUGCUGUUUGACAUAUAAUAUCAAAAAUAUAUUUCAAAACUUCACCGCUACAUAUUUACAAUACCCCGCAACAUUGCACGAGAAGUAGCAAGCUUGUGCGGUUCACAUUCCCCUCUGAGCACCUGGGAAAGCCUACUCUCCCGUCUAAAACUGUACAAUUAAAUUAGGUCAAUAUAUCCAACUUCCAUGAUUUUAGGUAUGUGAAUGUGAAUACACCAGUUGCCAAAUGUAGGAAACAAAAGAAAAAGGAAAUAAGUUAACCACACGGGCAGGAUUGAGAGAUGUGUAUUUUUGCAAGCUACGUAAUGUCUCCGAAUAUAUAGUCAUGAGAUACGGUCCACAAACAAAUGCAAGACCAUACAGUAUCCAUUUUCCCAUUUGGGACACAUAAUCAACUAGGCAUAUUGCUACAUUAUUCAAUUGCAUUCAUUUAACUAUAUGGUAAUUUAGUGUGGGAUGGCGUACACAUUGCAUCAUAUAAUGUACAUGGAAAUUUCAAUAUUGUUACCAGUACCCACAUGAUCUCAUGAGAUAAUAUUUCGAACAAUCUUCUAAAUCUUCUUGAUAUAUAUGCCAUGCACUUGGUACCAAACUAAAAAGCAUUCCGCAACUCUCCCGUUAUAUAAACAUAGUCGACUCGCUAUGUUGUACUUAAUUAGUACGUCUAUAAUGGGGUGUGAUGAGAACGUACCAUUUCGUCUUGAUAUGCUACGAUGGAAAAACAUAUAAAAGACUCCUAAAGACAACCGUUAAGCGUGUUGACAGAACACCGUUGAGCAUGUUGGCAGAAUGUACGCUCAAAGAGAAAGUUUUCAUUUUCUUGUCCCAUUUCCAUCAAAAGAAAAAGAAGCAUUUCAUUUCUCUUUUACGAGAACAAUUGACAUUUACGCUGUGGAAACUUUCCUCGUGAUUGCAUUUAGACCAACGUGAAGUAUUUUUGUUCGUGAUUCAUUCGUAAUUUAACGAUUGUUCCGCAGUAAAUUGUUGACUGCACAUCGAGAAUAGGUAUGUCGUCUUCCGCUGACUUUCUUCCAACACGCUAUAUUACUAUCUUUACGAGAUUUUGGAGAAUUGAAGUCACAAUGUCAUCCAAUAGCAGGGGAUCGAGGAGCAAGAAAAACAUAUUUAGCAAAGCAUGGAACGUGCUCAAGGGGAAACGGGGAUCUCACGAAGCCUCAUCAAGCAGGACCUAUCGGGAUGCCGCCACGUCACCGGCGAGCUCACUGGCAGAGCCUCAAUGGAACUAUUGGGACGCCACCACGUCCCUGGUGAGCUGGAGAUCCUCGAGCAAGUCCCAGUCACGAGCGAGUUCUCGGAAAAGCUUUGAGAAGAGCUCACCGGUCGAGUCUCGGCGGAGAUCCUCGAGCGUCAGUCAAAGCGACGACCAUUAUCACAAUUCUGGUGAAGAAGAUCCAUGGCGAGCAAGCUACAGGCAUGGCGCUCUGGCCUAUUCCGGUGGUUACAAUCAAGGGCAAGUGAGAUCGUACCCGCGACCACCCCAGCAGGAAUAUGAUUAUUCUUAUCACACUAGCAAAGGGCAGUAUUAUUCUCGAGGUCUUGACAAUGUCAAUAGUUACAUCCGCGACGACGCGUCCGUUCCAUCAUUUCUGCCCCCGCAAACUUCUUAUGGUUAUCACCAUCCAUCCGAGUCUCCCUCGAAUAAUUGUGCGGUGAUGUGAGAUGCCUAAUAUAGUGUGGCUAUAGUUGCUAUUUACUAAUAUCCGGUGAAGUACGGGAUGAGCUAGGGGCAUGGUUGAGCCUUUGGUUUGUUAGCUUUCGCUUGUGAAUCUCAGUGAAGUUUCUUGGGAGAUUGAUUGAAAUGGCUUUGCCAGUUAAUGAAGAUUAUAUAUUUAUUUUAUGAAGUUUCAUCUAGUUCGUAGAUGCUAAAAAGUUCUAUUAAAAUUUUACUAAAAUUAAGGGCACUUAAUUCCAUCAAUUGUCUAGGGUUCUACUUCUAUGGAUAGAUGUUCUCUCACCAAUCAUUUAUCACAAAAACUAAACCAAAUGAUAAACGAUUUAUAAAAAUAGUUUAAAAAGAAAAAGAAAAUUGGCCACGCCAUUCUUGAAAAUUCUUCAUUCUUCAAGGAAGACCUUUAAGGAUCCAAGCUUUCUUGUGAUCCUACGUGUUCAAACUUCAAGUAGCUUUGAAUGUGUAGAUAUACAUUGAAAUUCGUCUUUCCAGAUGUUUAUGGCAUCUCCAUUGAGAUGCAUAUACAUGGAGGAGAAACUUUUCAAGCUCAUCCAUUUAAAAAUUGGGCUCCUUGCUUGAUGAAAUUCAGUGGACGAAGACGAGAGAAAGCGUUUCCAGUUAAAAAGAUCAAAACCGAAAAUAUCUCCACUCAGUCCGUCGCAAGUAAUUGAAUUGUUGAUAUAUCGACAUAAUAAUGAAGAAGGAAAUGUUAGAUUAAAUGUAAACUAAAACACGACGAUCCCGAUUAUCAAUCACAAAUAAAUUCAUACAGAAUUCAGGAUCGAUUUGCAAAAACGUAAAGAUCAACAUACCUCCGGCCAUUGAUGAAAAUUUGCAAAAACAGAAAACUUCAAAACCUUAGACGGAUCCACGUAGCACGAUUGAUCUUCAAUAUGGAGAACACUAGAUAUGUACGUCAUGUUCUACUAGCCAUUACCCCUCAAACCUAAUGUGUGUUUUCUAUAGUGAUAGGGUUUGAACUAGAUGAUUUUGUUCCAACUCUUAGACAUCUUCCAUCAAAACCGUUAUUGAUAACUCUAUAAAAAUAGAGUUAUUUGACCUAUUUUAGGCAACAAUUAAUGCAUUAUCUAUGAAAAAAUAUUUGGAUUUCCUUUUGAUUAUUUGAAUUUUCCUUGUUUAUGCAGAAUAAUAAGAUAUGGAGAAGAUAAGGAAAAGAAUGGCAAUUAUCAGUAAUUCAAAUAAAAGCGGUAGUGGAAAAGUGGAAAUAUCAAAUCAGGAAAUUCUUGAUUUUAUUCCCUAAUGUUAUCUAUAAGCAUUGGGAGAUAGAUAUUUUAGAUUUCCUAUAAAUAGGAAGAGAGACAGCUAGGGUUUUUAGGGUUGGAGUUAGAUCGUUUUUCAUUCUUCUGAGAGUUUUUUCAGAUCGUUUUUCAUUCUUCUGAGAGUUUUUUCAAGUAUUUUGAAGAAAAGACAAAAGUGGUGACAGAAUUCUUGUCCUUUGAUUCAAGAUGCUAGGUUUGAUCUAUAUUUUUAUUUUUAUUUCUUAUUCUACUAUGUUCUAAUUUUCUUUUGUUAGGGCUACGAUGUAGCCUAACCAUGAUAAUAUGAAUUUCAUGAUUUUUAUAUUUUACAAUUGAUUUUAUUCAUGUGAGUUAUAUAUUAUUGCGUUUAAUGCUUUUGAAUGACUGGCCACCACUUGAAUGAUUUGAUGUGCAUGUUUGAGACUGAGAGGUGAUAAUAUGCAAUUGCUCAUUAUAAUAUAUAACCAUGAAUUAAACGUGGAUAGAAAUAACCGCGUUAUUUGUGUAACUUUCGGUGAUAAGGUGAUCCAAAAGACUCAUUGUAAACCGGGAAUAUUCAUAGUUUUUAAUGCACUCAUGUUUAUUUUAAUUCACAUAGAGAUAUAGUGGAUUAAUAAGCUGAGUAGGUUUGCUAUACCUAGAGAUAGGAUAGUAAAUAGAUUAGGAAAUUCCGCUAUCACAUGUUUGAUAUCGUUCUUGUAUUCACAAUAAUCUGAAAUUCAUAUCUAGUGGUUAUGGUGAAAUCGGAUGCUUUAACAUAUUUAUCUGAUUGAUUUUAUUGCAUUUAGUCUUCAAGUUUUGUUUUUAAUUUAUUCUAAAUUAUAUUUUGAUUUGUUAGAUAAAUUUUAGAAUUAAUCUAUUUUAGUAUUUCAUUAGUUUAUUAAUCAUCGAUCUCCGUGGGACGAUACUUUUUCUCAUCAUUAUAUUACUUAUUCGAUACGUGCACUUGCGUUUAGAAUUUCACGAACAGUUAUGGUAACAUAUUAACGGGCAAAUAUCACAUAAUAGAUGUGGGUGAUAAAUUGGAAAAUAAAUCGAAACUAAUUGGGAAUAUAAUAUUGGGAUCAUAUUUAGAAUAAUAAAUAUAUUACAACAGGAGAGAGAUUUAUUUAUUUCAAUAGCUUCUUUAGUGAAGAUUAUAGUAAUCUAUUUAUAAAUUUUAUAAAGUGACCAUCCGAAAAAACAAAAUAUUACACAAAGUAAUGACGAUCAAUGAAAACCAUUUGAAAAUAUGCAUAAUCAAAUGAACAUGGUGCACAAUUCUGAGAAAUAUACAAAACCAAUGGCUAUGAAGCACGGACACGUUGCCCGUGCUUCUGUGUCGUGUCUGACAUGUGUCGGAGCGUGUCGGACACGUCGACAUGCUCGGACACGCUCGGACACGCGGUCAACUUUUCUUGACACGCGUGUCAAUGCGUGUCCGGAAGACUCCGGGUGGAGGCGAGGGAGGGGGAGGGAGCAAAGGCCGCGAGCAACGGUGAGAGAUGGCCAGAGAGAGGAAGAGAAGAGGAAGGGAUCGAGGCCCGAGGGGGCGGUGGCGGCGACGGCAUCUCCUCCUCCUCAGCGUCGCGUCCACUCCAUCGUCGGAAGUUGAGAAACGAUACGAGGUGCGAAAGAGGGGAGUGAGGUCUGCUGUCUGCGUGUUUGUCUUGGUCCAAUGUUUUUUGUGCGAGCAGUAGAAGGAGGAAAAAGAGGGUCGCUAGGGUUUGUGAUAAUGGAAUAAAAAAUAAUAAAAAGAGGGGGACGAUGGCGUGUCUUUUGAGUUUUGGGGGAGGGGAAGUGAGGCUAACAGCUUGUCUGUCAGUGGUUUCGGGAGGGAAAAAAGUAAAAUAAGUUUGGGGUGGAGGGAAAUGGACAAAGAAAAGAAAGAGUGGAUUUGGGAAUUUUUUUUUUAUAGAAAAAUUAAAUAAAUGAAAUUGAAAAAUAAUUUCGAAAAGUAAAAGUAUUGAAUUUUGAAUAAUCAUAAAUUUUGAUCAUUCUAAAAAAUCAUGAAUUUAUUAUUAGUUUUAUCAAUAACUUUUGUUAAAAUUAAAAACAUGUUUCGCCUUAAUUAUGAAUAUAUCUUUCGAAUUUUAAAUGAAUUGAUUUAUUAAUAUUAUUAGUAUAAAUUUAUUAUAGGCUUUUUUAAUUAAUUAAUUAUUUAUGAAUUUGAAUCAAAUUAAUUAAAAAUAAAAAUAUACAUUUAAUAUUUAACGCGUCGCAAUGUGUCGGAAUUUUCUAUUUUUUAUAAAUGACGUGUCGACGUAUCGUGUCGUGUCGGACACUCAUGUCGUGUCGCGUGUCCGUGCUACAUAGACCAAUGGAGAUUAAAAGAAUCUACCUUAUAUAAAGACAUAGAAGAAGUCAAUUGUAGAAUAUAUUAGUAGUCUUAUCAACCAAUGAAGUGGAGACAAGAUGCACAAUGUCAUGAAGCACGUGAAACGAUAGUUUCUUUCAAUAUGUUUGGUGCUUUCAUAAAAAAAUAUAUAUUAUUAUAUGCUGUUCGGGUCCAAUUGUCAUGAUAAAUAAGUAUUAUGUUGUUAAGAUGACACCUAUAUGUCUUUUAAUAACCAUUACAAAUACAAUAAUUUUGAUGUUGUAUUAGCAAAAGUGUGAUAUUCAGCUUUCAUGCUAGAUGAAGCGACGAUGGUCUAUUUAUUGUUAUGCUAUAAGAUAAGUGAGUUACUUAGAAAGAAACAAUAGCCUGUAGUGAAGUAAUCAUCAAGAGCGUCUCCUGCCCAAUGAGUGUCCGAUUUAGUUAAAAAGAUUGACUAAAAACUGAUCUCCACCCUAUCCAUUGAAAGCAGGUGAAUUACUUAGUUCAAUGGAAGAACCGCUACAUGAAUAAUGGGUAAGGGAGUCUAUCUCGGGAAAUAAACUACGAAUCCAUUAAGGCUCCCUUCAUUUUGUGAAACACAAUUUCCAGAAAAAGUAUUUUUUGGAUUUUUCGAUAUUCCUUUCCUGAAAAAUGAAUUAAUCGAGGAAAACAUUUUCCAUCAGCAAAAAAGAGUUUUCUAAAAUAGAGAAAAAAAUUUCUACAUUUCAAGAUGAAGAAAACAUUUUUCUUACUCAUUUUCUCUUAUCUCAUACCUAUGUUAACCUUUUCAUCUUUUUUCCUUAAAAAAUCAAUUUUUUAAUUAUUUUUCUUUUCUUUUUCUUGUUUUUCUCUUUCGAGCUCGAGACUCAUUGGAAUUUGGCAAGCCUUAAGCUCGCCUACGGCCAAUCGCUGGCCAUCACCGUGGUGGAUCAAAGAAGAAGAAUAUAAAAAUAAAUAAAAAUAAAUAAUAAAUAAUAAAAAUAAUUUAAAAAUCGAUUUUAAGAAAUAAAAUAAAUAAAAAAUUAUUGAAAAAGAGUGCAUGGAGGAAAAAAUUUUCCUUACCAAAUAAUAGAAAAUAUUUUAUAAUUCAUUUUCAAAUUUCAGCUGCAAACUACAAAAUAUGGCUAUCUUCUUGAAAAAUGGCUUCUAGAAAAAAAUUUCUGGAAAUGCUACAUUUUUCAUGAAACAAAUAGAAUCUUAAUUGAAAAAUGAUUCGUUCGACAUAGCCUGGAGCUAGGUCUCUCUGUCCAUUGGGCAACCAGGAAUGCAACCCUAAAGUGCCAUUAUUAUUAUUUUGCCCCCGAUUUCAAAUGCAAGUAGGCCUUCUAUUUAUUUUAGGGAAAAUUCCAAAAAAGGGGCUCGAAGUGUUCUUAUUUUCUUAAAUAAAAGCUCGAAGUAGACCUUGUUUCAAAUAUAACGCCUGAAGUGCCAUUAUUUUAUCGAAUAAGGGACUGAAGUGAAUAUUGUUUUAAAUAAGGGCCUGAAAUUACUAUGCCAGUUUCAAAUAAUAGCCUAAAGUAAUUAUGUCAGUUUCAAAUAAGAACUUUCUCUUCUUCUUUUUUUCUUUUUUCUCUCCUUUUUUUUUUGUUCUUCUUCUUCCUUUUUGCCAAUGACCGAAGGGUUGGGCGAGGGUCAUCGUUACCCGAUUCAAUGAGCGCCACCCAUGUCGGCCACAAAUGAGGAAUGGCCUCACCUGGGCAAGGCCACCCUUGCCUUGGGGGAGGCUGCCCCUUGCGGCCAUCUACAAGGGCUCGGUGACCUCAUCGGCCACGGGCGAGGGUGGCCUCACUCACAAUCGGUGAGGGCUUGCAGGCUCUUGUCGGCCGUUCCUAAUGGCUAGCAAGAUCAUUGACCCCUUGCAAUGAAAAAAGAAGAAAAAAGAAAAGAAAAUUUGGAUUAAAACUCCUUGAUCAGUUGGAAAAUUUAGCCAGUCAAUAACCGCCGAAGUCAGGCCCUUAUUUGAAACAACAAUGGCUACAUCAGAUCUUUAUUUAAAACAAUCAAAGCCACUUCAAGUUUUUAUUUGAAACAAUAUCUAUUUCGAAUUUUUAUUUAAGAAAAUGAGGCACUUCAAGUCAUUUUUUGAAAUUUUCUCUUUAUUUUAUUUUAGGUUGCAAUUGUUGCCCGUGGACUGAACUAAAAUAUACUCUCUCUCUCUCUCUCUCUUUCCACUUAAAAAAGCCGCUUGAUCAAAUAUGAUUUAUCUUGAGCAAAUGCACCUUGAAUCAAGGGGGAAAUGACUUCGCAUUUCUUCAUAAGUCUUCCAAACGCAAGUGCUCAUUUCAACAUUUGCAUCAAGAUUUCUAACCUUUCUGUUUCGAGAAACUAUAGUUACUGCGAUUUUUCUUUUCGUUUUUUAUUUUUUAAAAAAAAGUCAAAGCCACACGGUGCAUCACGUUGACCCAUCAUCAGUCAACGCAUGCCGAUCGGCAGGCGCUGUCCAUGUCCCGACCUCAUCGUCAUAAGCGACUAAUGUAAACCAAGCGACAACCAUCGAUCUUCGAAGGAGAAGACUUCACAGAUUGGGGCUUCUUCCGUCGGCGAUCGUCUUCACUUCCUCUCCAAAUCGCUUCCGUCUUCUCCAGGCACCCUGAAAAUUCCCCAUGGCGACGGCGCUUGUCGGCGGAGCAUUUCUCUCCGCUUUCCUCCAGGUGCUCUUCGACCGGAUGGCCUCCCGCGAGGUCGUCGACUUCUUCCGGUCACGCAAGCUCGGCAAGGGGAGGCUGCUGCAGAAGCUGGAGGUCGCCCUCCUGUCCGCGAACGCCGUGCUGGACGACGCGGAUGAGAAGCAGAUGACCAACGACUCCGUCAGGAAGUGGCUCGACGAGCUCAAGGACGCCGUGUACGACGCCGACGACCUGUUCGACGAGAUCGCCGCCGAGGAUCUGGAGCGAGAAGCCGGGUCCGACCCUCGGGCCCUCGCUUGUAAGGUCUGCAGCUUCGCUUCGGACGCUUGUGCGAGUGGACUAGGAGAUAAGUUAGAGAAGGUUCUGGAGAGAUUGGAGAGCGUGGUGAAGCAGAGAGAAGUGCUGGGCCUAAGGGAAGGUAUUCGCGAGAGGACGCCUAGAGCUUUGCCGACCACUUCGUUGGUCGAGGAAUCGGGCGUCUUCGGGAGGGAGAAGGACAGGGAGGCGGUGAUCGAGUUGCUCUUGUCGGAUCGGGGUGAAAAGAACACCAGCGUGAUGGCCAUAGUUGGGAUGGGUGGUGUUGGUAAGACCACGUUGUCCCAGCUCGUGUUCAACGAUAGUGCGGUGAAGGGGAGUUUCGAGUUGAGGUCGUGGGUUUGCGUGUCCCACCAAUUCGACAUCUGCAAGCUGACGGCGACGGCUCUCGAGGAAUUCUCCUCUUCCAAGAAGGAGACGGAAAAUCUCAACCAGCUUCAGCUCCAACUGAAGAACUUCUUGACAGGGAAGAAAUUCCUAUUGCUGUUGGAUGAUGUUUGGAAUGAGGACUCAAAUAUUUGGAAUGCGUUCCUAGUUCCUUUUAGCUAUGGAGCAAGAGGCAGCAAAAUCAUCGUGACACCAAGAAAUGAGGGCGUCGCAUUGGUUGCUCGUGCCUUCUCGACAUACUAUUUACAGAAGUUACAAGACAAGGAAUGUUGGGACUUGUUCGCACAACAUGCAUUUGAAGAGCAUAACUUCGAGGCGCACAUGAGACUUGAAGAUAUUGGGCAAAGAAUUGUUAAGAGAUGUGAUGGAUUGCCUCUUGCACUGAAGACUAUAGGUAGCUUGUUACGCUAUGAGUCUGAUAUCAGGAAGUGGGAAAUAAUUGCAGAGAGUGAUAUUUGGGAUUUGGCACCUGGAAAGAAUGAAAUUCUCCCUGCGUUGUUGUUAAGUUAUCAUUACCUUCCUCCACAACUGAAGCAAUGUUUUUCCUACUGUUCAAUCUUCCCAAAGGAUUGUAGAUAUGAGAAGGACCAACUGAUCUUACUUUGGAUUGGUGAGGGCUUGAUAAAACAACCUAAGGACAGCAGGACAUUAGAGGAAGUAGGUGAUCAGUGCUUCUGUGAUCUAGUGUCUAGAUCUUUGCUUCAUAGAGUAAGCAACGUUGAAUCAAGUUUCUGGAUGCAUGAACUGGUCAAUGACUUAGCAAGAUAUGUAGCUGGUCGAUCUUUUUAUAGCUUGGACAGAGUCAAUUCCCACCAGGUGUCCUCAAGCACUCGCCAUUUGUCAUUUGUAAGAACUCGAUAUGAUGUCGCUUCUAGAUUCGGAGUGUUAGCCGGGGCAAUGAAUUUGCGUACUUUCCUGCCACUAAACGUGGAUCACGUGACAUCUAACGCGUACUUUUUCUUGACUGAUGAGGUACUGCAUGUUCUGUUGCCGACCUUGAGUCGGUUAAGGGUGCUAUCUUUGUCUCAUUAUCAGAAACUCUCUAUGUUGCCCAGUUCAGUUGGAUGUUUGAAGCAUCUGCGCUAUUUGAAUCUCUCUUAUAAUAGAAGUCUAGCCAGAUUGCCUGAUUCAAUUACUGCUCUAUACAACUUGCAAACCUUAAUUCUUGCUUACUGUCAGUCUCUCAUUGAGUUACCAAGAAACAUGGGUAGCCUAACCUGUCUGCAUCAUCUUGAUAUAAGGGAGACAUUCCUGAAGAGAAUACCGUUGGGGAUGAGCAAACUGAAGAAUUUGCAGACAUUAACUAAUUUCGUGGUGGCUGAAAACGGUGGGACCAGGGUUAGGGAACUAGGGGAGCUUGGGAAUCUUAUGGGUACACUCUCCAUAUAGGGUUUGCAGAAUGUUGAUAGUUACCAAGAUGCAGAGAUAGUCGAUUUGCAGGGAAAAAGGUACUUGAAAAAGUUAGUACUGGAAUGGGGUUCUGAUAAAAAUAUUAUGCAGCAAAAUUGCUUAAAUGUAUUGGACAAGCUGCAACCUCAUUGGAACUUGACAGAGCUUAUCAUUAUAUCCUAUAGUGGUAAGUCGUUCUCUGAUUGGCUAGGACAUGGUUCAUUCUCUAAUAUGUCAGUCAUGCGUCUUGAAUCUUGCAAGCACUGUGUGUCGUUGCCUCCUUUAGGACAGCUACCAUCUCUAGAGAAGUUGAUAAUCAAAGGAUUUGAUGGAGUUACAAGUGUGGGUACUGAAUUCAAUGGUAGUAACUGUAUACCUUUUCAGUCACUUAAGUACUUGGAAUUUGCUGACAUGUGCAGUUGGAAAGAGUGGGCUUCUUUUGCAAUAGAGACGGGUGGUCUUGCCUUUGCACAUCUGCAUGAGCUUUGUAUUAGAAAUUGCCCCGAGUUGAGUGGAGGUUUGCCCAACCAUCUCCCUUCUCUAUCAGCCUUGUCCAUUGAAAAGUGUCCACAGCUAACGUCUUCUCUACCAUUUGCACCACUUCUUCGUAAGAUCAAUUUGGAUGAUUGUGGAAAGGUUUCUGGAGUUGAGCCUCUCCUAAAUGGCACUGAGUUACGAGAUAUGGAAAUCAAGAAUCUUUCAACCCUUCCCUUGAGGUUUCUUCCUCCUACCAUGAUAAGACUCAAUCUUGAAGACAGUCAUGAAAUAGAGUUGCCAAUACAUAGAUGCCAUGAAUCUCUCCAAUAUCUAAACUUGAAGCAGAGCUGCGAUUCACUUAUAUCCAUUCCUCUGGAAAUUUUCCCCUCACUUAAGAAUAUUCAGUUAGUGGAGAUUCAAAAAUUGGAACAUCUUUCAAAUUCAGACAGUUCUCCACUUCUUCUCCAUUCGAUGAACAUUAGUGAUUGCCUUGAAUUUAGAUCUUUCCCUGCGGGAGGAUUGGUUGCCCCACGCCUCACUUCAUUAGAGUUGAAUGAUUGUCAUCAUCUAAAGUAUCUGCCAGAAAACAUGCAUGCUCUCCCUCCUUCGCUUCGGUCACUGAAAAUAUCCUCAUGUCCACAACUCGAGUCAUUUCCCGAGCAGGGUUUGCCCUCCAAGUUGGUUGCGCUUUCACUCUCUAAUUGUGACAAGCUCAUCACUGGCCGCAAGGAUUGGGGUCUUCAAUCACUAUGCUCUCUUAAAACUUUUGUCAUUGAGCAGGAGAAAAAUAUAGAGUCAUUUCCUGAGAUAGGGCUUCUACCAAGCUCUCUUACCUCUCUGUAUAUCUUUAACUUUGAGAAUCUGACAUCCCUGAACUCCAAAGGGCUUCAUAGCCUGAGCUCCCUUGAAAAAUUGUUCAUUGGCGAAUGUCCUAAGCUCCAUUCCUUCCCAAAGGAGGAACAAAUUCUGCCUGCUUCUCUUACCACUCUGUUGAUUUAUGAUAUGGAUCUAAAAUCACUAGACAACUUAGGGCUCCACCACCUCACUUGUCUCAAAACCUUUCACAUAAUUGACUGCCGAAGUCUUCGAUCCAUGCCAGUUGAGGGCUUGUCAUCCUCCCUUUCCAAUCUAUUUAUCUAUGGGUGUCCUUUUCUGGAGAAAAGAUGCCAACGCAAGAAAGGGAAAGAUUGGCCCCUAGUUUCUUACAUUCGCUGCAUCGUGAUUGAAGAUGUGCUCAUCACAUAAUCGAAUAUCUUGCUUUACAAGCCCUGCAUUUACCAAGAUCUCACUAGGGUAUCUCUCUUGACCCUACACUAAGUAAGCCAUUUAUAUAUUCACAACAUGCUUCAGUCGCACUGUGGUCAAGCAGUACCAUCUGGCUGUAUUUGCCGCAAGCCACUCUGGUAACACUCCACAAUGGAAGUUAUUUGUAGUUUCACCAGCUUUCCAUUCUUGUUCCUACUAUCGGGCUGCAUGAUUUGUUUAUCGGUUGCCGAGUUAUUUAGCUGGAUCAUCUGUUUUUCAUUUGUUUAUUGGUUGCCGAUUUAUUUAGUUGGAUCAUCUGCUUUUCCCCUUCUCCAUUCUCUCUAUAUAAAUCACACUCCCAUACUUCAGCUGAGCAUCUGUCACGGUCCUUUAUACUCUCACUGGAAAUGAUAAUUCCAUUGGUUACUUUUUGGUCAUCAUCAAGUUAUUUCAGCUUUAGAACCUCACUCCAUAUCACCGAUUGUCACACCUACAAAUGCCAACUCAUGGAACUGUUUGUGCAUGAGCUAACUAAUGUAAAUAGAGCAAAGAGAUUCGUGGCCAUAUGAAGAAGGCCUAGCCUUGAUUAGGCUAUCCAGAUGAAAUUAUUUUUUCACAAACCCUGUGGCACAUCCUCAAGUUAUAGAGAGAGUAAAUUUGCUCUUAUUGACAGAUGCUUUCUGUUGUCUAAAGCCUUAUAAUAUUGCAAGGGAGACAUAAAUUCUUAAGGACAGGCAUGACUCAUGACUGACCUCUAUUCCACUUGCCAGAACAGUGUGGUAUCGUGGGUGUAGUAUAUUUCUGUUUGCUUUGUAUUUUUAUUUGUCCAUUUCAGCUUAACAUCACUCUAAUGCUGUACAGUUUAACAAUUUCCCUGCCUACACGUGGAAUUCUGAUCCAUAGAAUGUGAAAAUUGAACAGUAUUAGAUGCAAGUGACCCGGCAUUUUGUAGUGGCAUAUCCACUUUUGUCACUAAUUAUAUCACGACAUCAACUAAAUCCAAACUGAAGGACUAAAAAUGCAAUUCGAUCAAAAUAUAUGGACCUAUUGUAACUUACCCUAUUUUGAGAGAAUAUCGUUACUUUCGAGUAGACCUGUUAAACGGGUGGGUUGGGUCGGGUUUGGGUCGGGUCAUAAAUGGUCUGACCCAAAUCGACCCAUUUAACCCAUUUAUGACCCAUUUAUUAUAGUGCAAAAUUUUUGACCCAUACCCGACCCGAUCCAUACUCGACCCAUACCCGACCCAUUUAAUGAAACCUAAAAAAGCUUAUAUAUAUAUUUUUAAAAUGAUAUUGCUAAAAUGGUUUUAUACAACACAAAUUUAAUGGAUAAUUUUUAUAAUUUUUAAAAUAAUUAUUUUAAAAAAAUCGAAUUUUAAUUAUUUUUUAAUUUUUUAAAAAAUUAUUUUUUAAUUAUUUUUAAUUUUAUUUUUAAGAAUAUAAUAUUUCUUUUUCUUUUUUCUUUUUUCUUUUUUUUUCUUCUUCUUCGGUCAGCCGCCGGCCACGACGACUGCCGGCGGCCGGCCACAGGCGAGCCUCGAGCUCGCCCGGCUCGCCGACGACGCCGAGCUCAAGGCUCGCCAGAUCCAGCGAGCUCGAGCUCGCCCGACGCCGGCGAGCUCGAGUCUCGCCAGAUCCGGCGAGCUCGAGCUCGCCCGACGCCGGCGAGCUCGAAUCUCGCCAGAUCGGCGAGGCUCCAAAUCCGGCGAGCUCGAGGCUCGCCAGCAUCGGGCGAGCUCGAGCUCGCCCCUCGCCGGAUCUGGCGAGGCUCGAGCCUCGUCGGAUGUCGGCGAGGCCUCCGCCUCGCCAGAUCUGGCGAGCUCGAGGCUCGCCGGCGAGUUGGAGUCUCGCCAGAUCGGCGAGGCUCGAGCUCGNNNNNNNNNNNNNNNNNNNNNNNNNNNNNNNNNNNNNNNNNNNNNNNNNNNNNNNNNNNNNNNNNNNNNNNNNNNNNNNNNNNNNNNNNNNNNNNNNNNNNNNNNNNNNNNNNNNNNNNNNNNNNNNNNNNNNNNNNNNNNNNNNNNNNNNNNNNNNNNNNNNNNNNNNNNNNNNNNNNNNNNNNNNNNNNNNNNNNNNNNNNNNNNNNNNNNNNNNNNNNNNNNNNNNNNNNNNNNNNNNNNNNNNNNNNNNNNNNNNNNNNNNNNNNNNNNNNNNNNNNNNNNNNNNNNNNNNNNNNNNNNNNNNNNNNNNNNNNNNNNNNNNNNNNNNNNNNNNNNNNNNNNNNNNNNNNNNNNNNNNNNNNNNNNNNNNNNNNNNNNNNNNNNNNNNNNNNNNNNNNNNNNNNNNNNNNNNNNNNNNNNNNNNNNNNNNNNNNNNNNNNNNNNNNNNNNNNNNNNNNNNNNNNNNNNNNNNNNNNNNNNNNNNNNNNNNNNNNNNNNNNNNNNNNNNNNNNNNNNNNNNNNNNNNNNNNNNNNNNNNNNNNNNNNNNNNNNNNNNNNNNNNNNNNNNNNNNNNNNNNNNNNNNNNNNNNNNNNNNNNNNNNNNNNNNNNNNNNNNNNNNNNNNNNNNNNNNNNNNNNNNNNNNNNNNNNNNNNNNNNNNNNNNNNNNNNNNNNNNNNNNNNNNNNNNNNNNNNNNNNNNNNNNNNNNNNNNNNNNNNNNNNNNNNNNNNNNNNNNNNNNNNNNNNNNNNNNNNNNNNNNNNNNNNNNNNNNNNNNNNNNNNNNNNNNNNNNNNNNNNNNNNNNNNNNNNNNNNNNNNNNNNNNNNNNNNNNNNNNNNNNNNNNNNNNNNNNNNNNNNNNNNNNNNNNNNNNNNNNNNNNNNNNNNNNNNNNNNNNNNNNNNNNNNNNNNNNNNNNNNNNNNNNNNNNNNNNNNNNNNNNNNNNNNNNNNNNNNNNNNNNNNNNNNNNNNNNNNNNNNNNNNNNNNNNNNNNNNNNNNNNNNNNNNNNNNNNNNNNNNNNNNNNNNNNNNNNNNNNNNNNNNNNNNNNNNNNNNNNNNNNNNNNNNNNNNNNNNNNNNNNNNNNNNNNNNNNNNNNNNNNNNNNNNNNNNNNNNNNNNNNNNNNNNNNNNNNNNNNNNNNNNNNNNNNNNNNNNNNNNNNNNNNNNNNNNNNNNNNNNNNNNNNNNNNNNNNNNNNNNNNNNNNNNNNNNNNNNNNNNNNNNNNNNNNNNNNNNNNNNNNNNNNNNNNNNNNNNNNNNNNNNNNNNNNNNNNNNNNNNNNNNNNNNNNNNNNNNNNNNNNNNNNNNNNNNNNNNNNNNNNNNNNNNNNNNNNNNNNNNNNNNNNNNNNNNNNNNNNNNNNNNNNNNNNNNNNNNNNNNNNNNNNNNNNNNNNNNNNNNNNNNNNNNNNNNNNNNNNNNNNNNNNNNNNNNNNNNNNNNNNNNNNNNNNNNNNNNNNNNNNNNNNNNNNNNNNNNNNNNNNNNNNNNNNNNNNNNNNNNNNNNNNNNNNNNNNNNNNNNNNNNNNNNNNNNNNNNNNNNNNNNNNNNNNNNNNNNNNNNNNNNNNNNNNNNNNNNNNNNNNNNNNNNNNNNNNNNNNNNNNNNNNNNNNNNNNNNNNNNNNNNNNNNNNNNNNNNNNNNNNNNNNNNNNNNNNNNNNNNNNNNNNNNNNNNNNNNNNNNNNNNNNNNNNNNNNNNNNNNNNNNNNNNNNNNNNNNNNNNNNNNNNNNNNNNNNNNNNNNNNNNNNNNNNNNNNNNNNNNNNNNNNNNNNNNNNNNNNNNNNNNNNNNNNNNNNNNNNNNNNNNNNNNNNNNNNNNNNNNNNNNNNNNNNNNNNNNNNNNNNNNNNNNNNNNNNNNNNNNNNNNNNNNNNNNNNNNNNNNNNNNNNNNNNNNNNNNNNNNNNNNNNNNNNNNNNNNNNNNNNNNNNNNNNNNNNNNNNNNNNNNNNNNNNNNNNNNNNNNNNNNNNNNNNNNNNNNNNNNNNNNNNNNNNNNNNNNNNNNNNNNNNNNNNNNNNNNNNNNNNNNNNNNNNNNNNNNNNNNNNNNNNNNNNNNNNNNNNNNNNNNNNNNNNNNNNNNNNNNNNNNNNNNNNNNNNNNNNNNNNNNNNNNNNNNNNNNNNNNNNNNNNNNNNNNNNNNNNNNNNNNNNNNNNNNNNNNNNNNNNNNNNNNNNNNNNNNNNNNNNNNNNNNNNNNNNNNNNNNNNNNNNNNNNNNNNNNNNNNNNNNNNNNNNNNNNNNNNNNNNNNNNNNNNNNNNNNNNNNNNNNNNNNNNNNNNNNNNNNNNNNNNNNNNNNNNNNNNNNNNNNNNNNNNNNNNNNNNNNNNNNNNNNNNNNNNNNNNNNNNNNNNNNNNNNNNNNNNNNNNNNNNNNNNNNNNNNNNNNNNNNNNNNNNNNNNNNNNNNNNNNNNNNNNNNNNNNNNNNNNNNNNNNNNNNNNNNNNNNNNNNNNNNNNNNNNNNNNNNNNNNNNNNNNNNNNNNNNNNNNNNNNNNNNNNNNNNNNNNNNNNNNNNNNNNNNNNNNNNNNNNNNNNNNNNNNNNNNNNNNNNNNNNNNNNNNNNNNNNNNNNNNNNNNNNNNNNNNNNNNNNNNNNNNNNNNNNNNNNNNNNNNNNNNNNNNNNNNNNNNNNNNNNNNNNNNNNNNNNNNNNNNNNNNNNNNNNNNNNNNNNNNNNNNNNNNNNNNNNNNNNNNNNNNNNNNNNNNNNNNNNNNNNNNNNNNNNNNNNNNNNNNNNNNNNNNNNNNNNNNNNNNNNNNNNNNNNNNNNNNNNNNNNNNNNNNNNNNNNNNNNNNNNNNNNNNNNNNNNNNNNNNNNNNNNNNNNNNNNNNNNNNNNNNNNNNNNNNNNNNNNNNNNNNNNNNNNNNNNNNNNNNNNNNNNNNNNNNNNNNNNNNNNNNNNNNNNNNNNNNNNNNNNNNNNNNNNNNNNNNNNNNNNNNNNNNNNNNNNNNNNNNNNNNNNNNNNNNNNNNNNNNNNNNNNNNNNNNNNNNNNNNNNNNNNNNNNNNNNNNNNNNNNNNNNNNNNNNNNNNNNNNNNNNNNNNNNNNNNNNNNNNNNNNNNNNNNNNNNNNNNNNNNNNNNNNNNNNNNNNNNNNNNNNNNNNNNNNNNNNNNNNNNNNNNNNNNNNNNNNNNNNNNNNNNNNNNNNNNNNNNNNNNNNNNNNNNNNNNNNNNNNNNNNNNNNNNNNNNNNNNNNNNNNNNNNNNNNNNNNNNNNNNNNNNNNNNNNNNNNNNNNNNNNNNNNNNNNNNNNNNNNNNNNNNNNNNNNNNNNNNNNNNNNNNNNNNNNNNNNNNNNNNNNNNNNNNNNNNNNNNNNNNNNNNNNNNNNNNNNNNNNNNNNNNNNNNNNNNNNNNNNNNNNNNNNNNNNNNNNNNNNNNNNNNNNNNNNNNNNNNNNNNNNNNNNNNNNNNNNNNNNNNNNNNNNNNNNNNNNNNNNNNNNNNNNNNNNNNNNNNNNNNNNNNNNNNNNNNNNNNNNNNNNNNNNNNNNNNNNNNNNNNNNNNNNNNNNNNNNNNNNNNNNNNNNNNNNNNNNNNNNNNNNNNNNNNNNNNNNNNNNNNNNNNNNNNNNNNNNNNNNNNNNNNNNNNNNNNNNNNNNNNNNNNNNNNNNNNNNNNNNNNNNNNNNNNNNNNNNNNNNNNNNNNNNNNNNNNNNNNNNNNNNNNNNNNNNNNNNNNNNNNNNNNNNNNNNNNNNNNNNNNNNNNNNNNNNNNNNNNNNNNNNNNNNNNNNNNNNNNNNNNNNNNNNNNNNNNNNNNNNNNNNNNNNNNNNNNNNNNNNNNNNNNNNNNNNNNNNNNNNNNNNNNNNNNNNNNNNNNNNNNNNNNNNNNNNNNNNNNNNNNNNNNNNNNNNNNNNNNNNNNNNNNNNNNNNNNNNNNNNNNNNNNNNNNNNNNNNNNNNNNNNNNNNNNNNNNNNNNNNNNNNNNNNNNNNNNNNNNNNNNNNNNNNNNNNNNNNNNNNNNNNNNNNNNNNNNNNNNNNNNNNNNNNNNNNNNNNNNNNNNNNNNNNNNNNNNNNNNNNNNNNNNNNNNNNNNNNNNNNNNNNNNNNNNNNNNNNNNNNNNNNNNNNNNNNNNNNNNNNNNNNNNNNNNNNNNNNNNNNNNNNNNAAAUGGAUCAUAAAAUGGGUCAACUCUUUAACCCAUUUAAAAUCCAUAUAUCUUAGUAUUAACCCAUUAAAACUCAUAUAUGUGCUUUAUGAAAGAAAGCUUGACCCAUUAAUGACCCAUUUAACCAUAAAUGGGUCUAUAAAUGGGUUAUGCAACCCAUUUAACACCUCUACUUUCGAGGGAACUUAAGUGGUUUUAUGUGCACUAACUGUUGAGGAGCUUUUGUGGAUGGAGAUAAAGCUGGAAAUGUAUUGCUAGCUUUUAGCUUGAUUUGAGUAUCCUGAUACUUGUCUUUCAAUCAUCGCAAGUGGAGUGCUUCUAGAUGGGGCUAGACUAACUAUUGUUCAAAAAAUACAUGAUGCAUACAUGGUUAGCGAGAUGUACGUAUAAGUUAUGUUAGAAAAAGUCCAAUGAAGUGGGAUUGUUAUGGUGUGAAAUAGUUAAUAUCUUAGUUGGCCAAAAAUUCAUUGCAUUAAGUUUUUGAGUAAAAGUGGUCUAAUUGGAUAUGUUAAAAGGCUUGAACUUUAGCUACUUUAGCUCUCCCUUGGCUUAUGCUAUAUGCUCCCAAGCCGAUUGUUGAUUGGUGGCAACGUGUUAGUAUACUUGGAUUAAGGGGGAAGUAUACUUAACAUUGAGCUCACACGUAAGAGGAGAUAAUAAUUGAUGUGAUAUGAAGUAGUUAAUAUAUCCUAGUUGACUCAUGAUUCAUAGAUUUAAGCUUUUUAAGCAUAUAUUGGUCCAACUAUAUUUGUUGGCAGGUCAAACUUGGGCUCUCUCUUGACGAUCUCCUAUGCAGUGAUAUUGGUAAUAUUGGGUUCUACUAAGCGUUAACUAUAGUGGAUGUCGGAUGCAGCUUUGGAUGGACCUAUUCUUCUCCCACAAUAUCGAGAUAGUUUUAGUAACAGGGUUGUGGUGAGUAAAAAAAAUGGUGCUAAGUCUUCACAAGACAAGUGGAUUAUGAGGAUCGGGAGCAGCAUUGGCAAUGAGAUGGUGGAAAUCGGCAAGGAAAAUAAAUCCAUUUUUCACGCGGUCAGUAAGCCAAGUUAUCGACUCCUAAAAACGAAAGAAUCGAGGUCAAUUUAGAAGUUUCGAAAUUUCAUUGUUGGUUUGCAGCUUGCGAGAAAUUGUUUCUCAAUGAGCGCAAGUGCAAGAGAGGCACUCCAAUGCAAUUGCAAUGUUUAGUGUAACACAGCAACACACCAUGUGAGAAGUACUCACCUAAUGGUUUGGCUGAAUUGUCGUUUUUGCAAGCUGAUACUUGUCGUAGUGAAGAAACAACAAACCAUUCAAGAUGAAACGGAGCCAACGCAUGAUCUGUAGUUGUACAUCCCAGGUGUUCAAUGUUGUAGCAUUGGAGGAAAGGAUCAUAUCUGAAACUGAUGAUGGGCAUGAGAUGAGUGGGUUAUGGAGAGAUUGUUUGAUACAGCUUUCGAUGGUAGCUGCGACCGUAAAACUGGAUGCUUCUGCUUUCGCAAGGUAACAUUUCAAAGCUAUCAUUUGGAACCUGUCCCGUCUAGCUUUUAGCUGCUAUGUGUUACCAAAUGAUGCAACUAUGAUUAUACCAAACGGGCCUAAGUUGAGCUUCAUAGCCUAUACGGGAUCAGGAGGGAUUGGAGAAUUGUGUCAGUGAUACUUCUCUCUCUUCGGUUGAGUGGUUCAUCUCUUCUUCAAAAGGACCUCUAAUUCUCUAGGGGCAGACUUAAGCUAAGAGCGGAAUUGACUCUUGCAUGCAAGCGUGUACCAGUUUCGUGCUUUAGGAGGGUAUCACAUAUGCUGGAUAAGUGAAAUUUGGGGUCACGUACGAGUCUCACUUAUUAUCCUGUUCGAGGUGGAAGUCGUCAUACGAGAAAGAUGAAUCAAAUAACCUUCAUUCCAACUUCAAAAUCUGUAAAGGCAUCAUUUCUCAUUAUGGAGAACUAGUCCAGAAACCUUGUAGCUACGCAUUAUAGACAGUUAUUUUGAAAUGAUGUGGUCUAUUAUGCUAAUCAACACUGGCACAACUAGCAGUGGAUGCUGAUGCUGAUUUAACUCACACAAAUUCGCUGAAUGAGAAGGCGAGAUAAAGCAUCUAAGACACAGAAAAACUACCUAGCUAGCUAAAUGAUUUGGACAUAUAGACUAACAAGAAUUGUGAUCAUCAUAUCACUAACGUUCAUCUAACCAAAAUAACAGCAGCAACUUGGAUGGAUGCGGAUCGGGAAAAAAAGACCUACUGCGAGACAAGAUACAGGGCACAAUUCAUAUCUUGCAACAUAAUAUCUUCAGAGCAGUUAAAAAAUAGCAUCUCCUGGUCUUAACUCGUCCAACUGAGGAACAACAUAGCAUGAACACUAGGCUAGACUCGUGCCCAAGGAAUGAAGUCGUGUAUGAUUAUGCCACAAACAGAGCACAACAAGAAAACCACCUGAUGAUCCAACGGAACCUCAAAAACAAAGAAGGUUAUGAGUAUGUACAAUCAUGAGGUGAACUCCUAUCAGAUUGUUCUAAAACGUCCCUCUUGUUCAAUACAGUUCCAUAGUUUACCGUAUCACUUGAUGAACAGCAAUUUACAAACCAAUCUGUAUACCCUAGGUCCCCAGCAUUACCGUGGAAGAAAUGAAGAAGUCGUAUCCUGGCCCUAGCAUGAAAAACUGAGAAAUCCAUAUCCUACUGAAAGAAGCACAGGGAUACAGCAUAGCAACAUGUCUUUGUCCACAAACUGCUAAUAUAGGUUUGUUACAACCAUUCAUCAUCAUGCAAAUUUCACAAGCUAAUGAGGGUGAAAAACGACACCCCCUUGUACAAAAAAGAGAGCCAAUCCAGUCAACAGACACGAAAACGUCAGAGACAUGGGACAAUAUUCACAUGAAACACAGAGGUAAAGAAACUAAAAUCCAAAGCGCUCGUUCCAGAUUUGCAACAGCAAUCAAUACAUCAGCACUCAAACAGGUCUGCAGAUGCCAUUAUGGGUUGUAUCGGACAUGGGAUCUGCCAGGGCUUCAUCAACGGGUCGGGUAUCUCGGGAAUAUCAAUCGCCAGCCCACUGACCACCUCCACGAUCUCGAGCACCGAGUUCAGGGACCGGAGCCUGUCGGUAAGCUCCAUGGCCUGGGCCCUGAGGACAUUGUUUGCCAACUCGACCUCGGCAUACUUCUGCGCAGCAGCAUUGAUACUCGCCACGAGCUGAGCAUUAGCCUGCUGCAGUUGCCCCACUUCUCCGACCAAAUCCCCCAGCUGCUUCUGCCUCCUCAUCCGGGAGCGCCUGGCGGAUUCCCUGUUGGACUCCAUCCUCUUCCUCUUCCUUUCAUCAUCGGCCACCCCACCGAGCCUCGGGUCGCCAUCGGAUCCUGAGCUCGCCUGACGCCGAACCGAACCCAUUUUCGAGGGCCUUUCCACGCAAUCAAUCAAUCACUCGAUUCAGAAAACGACCGAUCAAAGGGUCUCCGCGUGCCGGGAGUUAUUUCGCUUUUGCUUCUCAGACAACGAAUUCCGAUGGAAUCAAAGUGAGGCACGAAUCGCGAUCAAUCGGAGAGAGAGAGACGGGCGUUCAUGAGAAGACGUAGAACCAAUAGAGGAACACCACCGAGAAGGAGUGGACGAUCCGCACCCGGAACAUGAGGAUCGCGUAGUUCAUAACUCGGUUUCCCACAUCUGAAAACCCUAGACCAUCUACCACAAGCGCUCAACCAGUACCCUCCGAUUCUCAGCCCAACGCAACGAAGGGGAAAACGAAAACGGCGACAACGCAGCGGAAAGACAGCAGAGAGAGAGAGAAGGGGGACGUAAACUUAGCUGGCGGCGGCGGCGGCGGCGGCGGAACGCGCGAACCAGAGAGAGGUCGAAGAAGGUGAGGAAAGGAGGGGAGGAGGGGUUUUUAUAGAGGAGGCUCGCGGGCUUCGAUUGGUCUGCCGGGAAAACGAAUAUUCCCAGAAUCUUUUUUUUUUGGGUGUAAUUUAUUAGGACGGAUUUUGCUUAGGCGUGUCCCAAUUGCCCAAUCACAUUCGGAAGCGUAAGAUUAUAUUUCUUUCUUUAAUUAAAAAAAAAACUGAAAUUGCCUUUUUAACGAAUCGAUAAAAGAAGAAAAUACACGAGAUGCUUCAAGGAUGAACGAAUGUGAAAAUCUAUAUCGGAGAUGUGGAGGAAUCUAGAGAUCCUCUUCUGAUUUUAUUUUGCCGGUGGUUUCUUUUUUUAUCUUUUUAUUUAUCGAUGGACAACUAAUAUCCGACUUAAUCUAUUUAUAAAAUCUCUUUCUUUACGCGACCGUGUAACCAAAAUACAGGGGGGGAACAGAUGUUCUUAAAUUUAAAUUGUUUUUGGUGGGGGAGGGAAAGAAUGACGUCAUGGCGCACGUCUGAUGUGGCGUGGGAUUGGUCGGAUCUCAUCGUCGUCGCGGUAGUUGGUGCUGCCCAUGUUCAAUGUAAUGCGCACGUUGUUUGGGAUCUUAUCCAGUAGCAUCACACUUUUUUUUUUUUUUUGAGCAACAGUAGCAUCACACUUUACAGAGCAGGCCAAAACCGUGGGUUUGACUGGGUCAAACAUCGAACGUCGGAUCUUCUUGGAUACAUCCCCCCUGGAAAAAUGCUCGCGAGCGCCAAGUUGUGAUAAGGAGAGAUAUUUAUUUUAAUGUUUUAUGUUUUAAGACAUUAAUUUCCCGAUACCUUUUAAUUUUCGUAAAAAAGGACUUGCGCAGUGGAAAUUAGUCAGGAUCUGUAAAAUACGGGCUAUAUCUUGGACUUCCAAAAUUGAAAUUGGAUGAAAAGAAUACGUAAGUGAUUUGGUGAAAGCAGAUAGCCGUUUGGAAAUUAAUUGUGAAAAUAUGUAGGUGGGCUCUUGGUGAGAAAAUAGGGAUAGAAAUCAAAGUGGAUAGUGGAUUUGGGGAUUGCAAACAUUGCAUCAUGAAAUAGUACUAGAAAAAUGAUCAUUGCAAUUUGUUUAUUCCACAAAAAAUGAAUGAUUUGAAAAAAACACCCCAUUACUGCAAUCCGUUUAUUUCACAAUAAAUGAAUAAUUUGAAAAAAAUGAACUCAAUGAACAAUACUAAUCACAACCAAGAGCCAACUAUCGGCUCCCAAGGAGCAAACCUAGGACACUGUGCCCAAACUUGCGAUCUUGACACUUUAAUCGAGAAUGAUAUAUUUCAUAUUAAGGUUAAAAUUACAUGGUACCGGCACAAGAUGCAACAAACUCGAGAUGCAUAACAUAUAUAUAAGGUCGAACGACAUGAGAUUUGUAAUACCAUUUUUUUUUCAGUCCAAUCAGAGUUAUNNNNNNNNNNNNNNNNNNNNNNNNNNNNNNNNNNNNNNNNNNNNNNNNNNNNNNNNNNNNNNNNNNNNNNNNNNNNNNNNNNNNNNNNNNNNNNNNNNNNGCAUUCUGAUUAGUAUGUAUAACAUAGUCGAGAAAGAUGAAUCAGAUAACCUUCAUUCCAACUUCGAAAUCUGCAAGGACGUCAUUUCCCAAUAUGGCGAACCAGUCCAGAAACCUUGUAGGGAAAUGACGAACCAAUCCAGAAACCUUGUGGCUACGCAAUAUAGACAAUUAUUUUGAAACGAUGUGAUGUCUUAUACUAAUCAACACUGGCACAACUAGCAGUAGAUGCCAAUGCUAAUUUAGCUCGCACAAAUUCGCUGAGCAAGAAGGGGAGUUGAAGCAUCUAAGACAGAAAAACUAACUCGCUUGCUAAAUGAUUUGGACAUAUAGAACAACAAGAAUUGUGAUCUUCAUAUCACUAGCGUUCAUCCAACCAAAAUAACAACAGCAACUUGGACGCGGAUUGGGAAAAAGACCUACUGCGAGACAAGAUACAGGACACAAGUCAUACCUCACAACAAAAUAUCUUCGGAGCAGUUAAAAAAUAGCAUCUCCUGGUCUUAACUCGCCCAACUGAGGAACAGCAUAGAACGAACACUAGGCUAGACGAGUGCCCAAGGAAUGAAGUCGUGCAUGAUUGUGCCACAAACAGAGCACAACAAGAAAACCACCUAAUGAUCGAACGGAACCUCAAAAACAAAAAAGGUUAUGAGUAUGUACAAUCAUGAGGCAAACUCCUAUCGGAUUGUUCUAAAACGUCCCUCUUGUUCAAUGCAGUUCCAUAGUUUACUACAUCACUUGAUGAACAGCAAUUUACAAACCAAUCUGUAUAGCCUAGGUCCCAAGCAUUGCUGCGGAGGAAAUGAAGAAAUCGUAUUCUGGGCCUAGCAUGAAAAACUGAGAAAUCCAUAUCCUACUGAAAGAAGCACGGGGAUACAGCAUAGCAACAUGUCUUUGUCCACAAAUUGCUGAUAUAGGUUUGUUACAACCAUUCAUCAUCAUACAAAUUUCACAAGCUAAUGAGGGUGAAAAACGACACCCAAUUGUACAAAAAAGAGAGCCUAUCCAGUCAUCAGACACGAAGUCGACAUUUUACCGCUGCCGAUGAGACGGACAUCAGAGACAUCGGACAAUAUACACAUGAAACACAGAGGUAAAGAGACUAAAAUCCAAAGUGCUCGUUCCACAUUUGCAACAGCAAUCGAUACAUCAGCACUCAAACAGGUCUGCGGACGCCAUUAUAGGUUGUAUCGGACAUGGGAUCUGCCAGGGCUUCAUCAACGGGUCGGGUAUCUCGGGAAUAUCAAACGCGAGCCCACUGACCGCCUCCGCAAUCUCAAGCACCGAGUUCAAGGACCGGAGCCUGUCGGUAAGUUCCAUGGCCUGGGCCCUGAGGACAUUGUUCGCCGACUCGACCUCAGCAUACUUCUGCGCAGCCGCAUUGAUACUCGCCACGAGCUGAGCGUUAGCCUGCUGCAGUUGCCCCACUUCUCCGACCGAAUCCUCCAGCUGCUUCUGCCUCCUCAUCCGGGAGCGCCUGGCGGAUUCCCUGUUUGGACUCCAUCCUCUUCCUCUUCCUUUCAUCAUCGGCCACCCCACCGAGCCUCGGGUCGCCAUCGGUUCCCGAGCUCGCCUGACGCCGAACCGAACCCAUUUUCGAGGGCCUCUCCCCGCGAUCAAUCAAUCACUCGAUUCAGAAACGACCGAUCAAAGGGUCUCCGCGUGCCGGGAGUUAAUUCCCUUUGUCUCAGACAACGAAUUCCGAUGGAAUCAAAGGAGGUACGAAUCGCGAUCAUCNNNNNNNNNNNNNNNNNNNNNNNNNNNNNNNNNNNNNNNNNNNNNNNNNNNNNNNNNNNNNNNNNNNNNNNNNNNNNNNNNNNNNNNNNNNNNNNNNNNNNNNNNNNNNNNNNNNNNNNNNNNNNNNNNNNNNNNNNNNNNNNNNNNNNNNNNNNNNNNNNNNNNNNNNNNNNNNNNNNNNNNNNNNNNNNNNCGAAGGGGAACACGAAAACGGCGACAACGCAGCGGAAAGACAGCAGAGGGAGAGAGAGAGAGAGAAGGGGGACGUAAACUUAGCUGACGGCGGCGGCGGCGGCGGCGGCAGCGGCGGCGGAACGCGCGAACCAGAGAGAGGUCGAAGAAGGUUGGGAAAGGAGGGGAGGAGGGGUUUAUGUGGAGGAGGCUCGCGGGCUUCGAUUGGUCUGCCGGGAAAACGAAUAUUCCCAGAAUCUUUUUUUUUGGGUGUAAUUUAUUGGGACGGAUUUUGCUUAGGCGUGUCCCGAUUGCCCAAUCACAUCCGGAAGUGUGAGAUUAUAUUACCUUUUUAAUGAAUCGAUAAAAGAAGAAAAUACAUGAGAUGCUUGAGGAAUGAACGAAUUUGGAAAUCUAUAUCGAAGAUGUAGAGGAAUCAAGAGAUCCUCUUCUGAUUUUAUUUUGUCGGUGGUUUUUUUUAUCUUUUUAUUUACCAAUGGACAACUAAUAUCCGACUUAAUCUAUUUAUAAAAUCUCUCUAGUUUUUACUUGUUAGUACUUGUGUUUCCCUCUUUCUUUACGCGACCGUGUAACCAUAAUACGGGGAGAACAGAUGUUCUUAAAUUAAAAAAAAAUUUCGUGGGGGAGGGGAAGAAUGACGUCAUGGCGCACGUCUGAUGUAGCUUGGGAUUGGUCGGAUCUCAUCGUCGUCGCGGUAGCUGGUGCUGCCCAUGUAAAUGUAAUGCGCACGUUGUUUGGGACAUUAGCCAAUAGCAUCACACUUUACAGAGCAGGCAAAAAUCGUGGGUUUGACCGGGUCAAACAUCGGAUAUCGGAUCUUCUUGGGAUACAUCCCCCCGAGAGUAAUGCACGCGAGCGCCAAGUCAUGAUAAAGAGAGAUGUUUAUUUUAAUGUUUUCUGUUUGGAGACAUUAAUUUCUCGAUACCUUUUUAUUUUCGUAAAAAAGGACUUGUGCAAUGGAAAUUAGUCGGGAUGCGUAAAAUACAGGCUAAAUCUUGGAUUUCCGAAAUUGAAAUUGGAUGAAAAGAAAACGCAAACGAUUCGGUGAAAACAAAUAAUUGUUUGGAAAUUGACGGUGAAAAUAUGUAGGUGGGCUCUUGGUGAGAAAAUAGGGAUAGAAAUCAAAGUGGAUAGUGGAUUUGGGGAUUGCAAACAUUGCAUCAUGAAAUAGUACUAGAAAAAUGAUCACUGCAAUCUUUUUUUUUUUUUUUUUUUUUUUUUUUUUGUGCAGGAAGAACCAGCUUGCACCGACAGUGCGCCGUAAACCCCCCGAUGACGCUAGUGGGGAAACCACCACCCCAACGUCACGCUUAAGUCACCAUGUAGCUAAGACUGCCUCCCUGCUUCGCAGGGGCUUCAAACCUUGGCCUCCACCGGGGAGGGCCAAGGAUCUACCAUCCACGCCACCUUGGUCGGUGGUAUCACUGCAAUUUGUUUAUUGCAUAAAAAAAUGAAUGAUUUGAAAAAAAUAAAAAUUACUGCAAUUCGUUUAUUCCAAAAAAAAGUGAAUGAUUUGAAAAAAAAAAUUAUUGCAAUCCAUUUAUUCCACAAAAAAUGAAUGAUUUGGAAAAAAAAGAACUCAAUGAACAAUACUAAUCACAACCAAGAGCCAACUAUCGGCUCCCAAGGAGAAAACCUAGGACACUAUGCCCAAAUUUGUGAUCUUGACACUUUAAUCGAGAAUGACAUAUUUCAUAUUAAGGUUAAAAUUACAUGAUAUUGGCACAAGACGCAACAAACUUGAGAUGCAUAACAUUUAUAAGGCCGAACGACAUGAGGUUUGUAAUACUUUUUUUUUCAAUCCAAUCAAAGUUAUAAUGCGUUGGCUAAUCAUUAAUGUUGCAUCAUCACUAUCAAAUUAGGGUCGAUGACUUAGUGAGGCUUGCCUCACCAGCCCUCGGUCAUAAGGAGAAAAUAUUAUAUACAAUUUUGAUGUUAAUUGAGCAAAAUAUUAGUCUAUUCAUCUUGUGGCACGUGUCACACAUGAGCCCACUUAUUUAUCACGAUCUCUCUCUCCCCUUCCUUUUGACCCAUUUUCCCUUCUCGAACAUCGAGCACAAGCCAUCGCCGUUGCCAACCAUGGCAAAGCGCACGCUUGGAGUCUCCAACAAUGAGCUUGCUGCCAAUGGAUCCCUAUCCCUUUGUGCACCUUAUGGGGGGAACAAUGAGCUUUGCUCAAGCGAUCUCUUUAUGACUUUAAGCAAUGCCAUAGUGGUGCAAGCGAUUUGACUCCAUUCAACGCUAUGAUAAGAGUGCUGAUAAAAAUUGCAUGUACUUUAGGAGGUUAUAUGAUGGUAGUUACAAAAUUUUAUACGGCCUUGCCUUGCUUCCACACCUAAGUCACCGGCAAACAAGGCUAGGUCCAUCAAGGUCGGGCCUGAGAACUCAAUGCUCCCAUCAAAGUCGCCAACGGUCCAUGCCCAAGACCUCGGUACUGGUCCAUGGGUCCUAGACCGCCAUGCUUGGGUAAGUGACUUCCACACCCAAGUCACUAGCUCCCAAGCUCCCUUAACAGCCAACCUCCCUCAAGACCGUGCCAAAGACCUAGGUAUCUAUGCCCAAGUCCUUGAUACCGUUGCUUGGAUAAUGCUCAUGCCGCCAGGACGCAGUUGGGUAUCUCUUAUAUACUAUGAAUAGUGCAUGACUUUUUAGGAAAAUAAAAUCAAGUUUUUCUUUCUAAAUGAUAUAAUUUUCAAUUCAUUUUUAAAUUUCAGUUAAAUACCAUAAAAUAUUCUUAUUGCUGAAGAUCCCCAUCACUGCCAAGCUCGCCGGCUUUGUCGUCCACCUAUUGUCCCCUCCUUGCUUCUACACCAACUUUGUUAAAUGGACGGGAGAUGGCAAGAAAUUUUUCUGAGUGCGAAAAGCCUAAGACUUUUUUGUUUUCGGAGUGAUUAUUUUUUAAUCGUGAAUGCAUGACGUGCCUGUGACACGCCCGCAUUGAGAAAAUAUGAAGUGAGAGCAAGAUUUGAUGAAAAAUACUUUAAACCUUUAAGUUGCAUCCCAAAGAUACUUAAGCCCAAAAUAUGGGGGCAAAAACAAGAGGAAAUAGAAAGAAGCAGGAGAAAGAAGUCAAAUUUAUACUUAUUUUUGAAAGCCCAUACCCUUAUGAAGCCCAUCGAUCCUCAUCUUGGGCCGUGAGAGACCCGCCGUUCACCCGACCCGACUUGAUUUUCUUCCUCUCAUGUUUUCCCGGGAAAACCCUUCUUCCCCUCUCCAGCUUUCUCCGGGAAAAUUUUCCGAUCCGUUGCAAACCAUUCAUCAUCUUCCGUUCUGUAACAGAUCUCGACGACCUGCGAGGCUGCGAUGGAGAUUCGCAUCGGAAGAGGCUACGCGUGGGCCAUCGCUGCCGGAUUCAUGGCCGCUCUCGCCGCCAUCUCCGCCAAGUUCUUCUCCUCUCAGGUAACCCAACCUCAUCCGCGCGCUUGUCCGUGCGAGCUAAUUCGUGAUUGUCCCCCGCCGUUCUGCUUUGUCACUCGAGAUCGUGCGAUCGUUACAGCUAAUGCAAAUCGAAAUCUGGCGUGUGUGUUGGGCCGUGUCCCUAAUGUAUCUCCGGCAGAAGCACUCGACGUCGCGUGGCGCAAUUUUUGGUUGUUUGAGGAUUAGCGGGAGCUCUAAUUGAGGAAAGCUCCUGCCAAUCCUACUACUUCUGUGGAGAGUAGUUGAAUAGAUUACCCAGAGGGAAGCUUGGAAGCUAUCCGAGCGGCCUGUCGUGGCAAUCAGCGACGCCUGCUCAGUAGCAGAGGAGAGUUUCGAAAGUUGAGGGGACAAGCUUAGGAAAUUCGUGAAAUUCGUGCAAAAUCUCAGUUUAUGAGAUGGGGAUGUGGACAGAGAUUCUUGGUGAAAUUUAAAAGAAGAUAGCAUAGGAAAUAGGAAACGCGCCAACGCCUAGCAGGCUAGCAGGCAGGCCAGGCGGGGCGGGGUUGGGGCAUCCGGAGAACUCUGACUGGAUAUUUAGAAGGGGUUACUAUUGUACAAGCAUCUUCUCGAAUGUGAGCUUCGCAGAAUGGGUUGUUAUCUGUCAGGUUUAUAUCUUCACUGGGACGAAGAAGAAUAGCAAAGAGAGAGAAAACAGAGAAUCUGUUGCUCUUCUUUUCCCCAGUGGGUAAGUGCAUCUGUUAUUUGUGGUGUCAUUAGCUGCGGUUGUCAGCAUUUCCUAGUCAACUCAGUCUGAGAUCUGGUGCUUUUGCAGUGAACUAGUUAAGUCCUACCAUAAAUGGAGUUCAUUUGGUCGUAUCUACCUUAAACGUUUGAUUCUCUUUGCGAGAAAAAUGUUUCAAUGUCUGAGUCCAGUUAAUUAGAUUCCUAUGACUUGACCAAUGAGUGGUUACUGCACUGCACUAAAGCCUGUUAUUUGACAGGAAUCUUUUCCUCAUGCUACUCCUUUUCCUCCAUUUCUUGACUGUAGGGGCAGAUUGUUUAAAGAUAUUUUUCAUGUGUUUACUGAUUGUCUAAGAUGCACAGUUAAGCAUUUAUUCUGUCAUGAUACAUCUUCGAUGAAUUUUCCCAGUAACUGUUGCCAUUAGAUGGGUGUUGUUAAUAAAUUGUGCAGUUCAUGAACUCGGACAUAUUUUUCCUGGACUAACACCCAGACAUCUGAAUUUGUUAACAGGUCAUUAAGUAUGGUUUUGUCAUACUGUUCAAUGUUACAAUGUGGGGAUGUUAUGUCAACAGCCUAAAGAGUCUCUCGUCUCUUCAAGCCACAGUUACGAACUUUGCGACAAAUUUCCUCACUUCUGGAUUAGCUGGGUUCUUUUUGUUUGAUGAGUCAUUGAGAUACCAGGUACUUUGAUUAACUAUUUUCCUGCCCUGUUCUGCAAAGUUAUAUACUUCAAGGUUUGAUUUUUUACUGUGUUUAAAAUAAGAGGCAAGCUCUUAUUGUUACAGCCGGAGCUGUCAAAAGUAUUUUUCACUGAUACAAGUAAUAUCAUGACUGCAUUUAGUUCCCUUGAGAGAUAAAUUCUCUCUAUGGAAUCGGAACUGGUUAUCUUGAAAGUGGCAAGUAGGCUAAAAUUUAGGAGUCAAGUUAUGCAAUAGAUAACUUCCGAGUUUAUUAUCUCAUGAAUGCAUUGAGGGUAAUUAUGCCAUCACAAACGGGGGAUAAUAAAAUGGAGGGUUUUAUAUUUCAGAUGAAAGCUUCUGAGAUCAAUGUGGUUGCCAAGGAAAAGAGCUAGUUUGCUUCAUGCAAACCUGUUGUUCAGGGAUUCUUGGCGUAGUCUCCACCUUGCGAUAAAAGGUGUCGAGUACUUCCUAGUUCCUGAUAAUGACUCGAGUUUUAGGUUUAAUCAUUGCUAUCUUGACUCACAUUAUGGUUGUGAUAUGGUUGUGAAAUUGUGAUUAAAAGGAUGCAGUGAUUCGAGAUUCUCACUCCACUUAGUCUAUGAAUGCAGAUUUCACAAAAUUCACAUGAAGUCCCGUUCUUAGUGGUUUGCAGGUGCACUUUUCAUAGUGAUUGGCGUGCUAAUUCUCAGCAAAUCAAGUAUUGAGAAGAAAACUAGAGUUGAUUGAAAGUUCUCAGUUUAUGAGAGAUACCGUACGCCAUGCUUGAAGGUUGCCCCCUUUUGCUACUGACAACAGUUGCUCUGCUGCUCUGGUUUAUGCUUUUCUUUCCCUUCUCCCUUUUAAGUGCCCGAACUGCCUGUUCUCAUUUUUUUUUUUUUUUGUGGAUUUGCAGGUGACUUAGUAGAGAUCAGAAGUUCCAUUCUUGUGCCACUCUCAAGGAAAGGAGAAUGAAGUUGAGAAUUGAGGAUAUAAAGGGUGUUUCCUUCCUGGCCGGUGAUUCCGUGUGAACGAUCACUACUUGUCGUGACUGGCAGCACCGAGGAUGCUAAGCCAGGAUUGCUAUGUUACUGUUAAUGGUGACUAUACAAUAUAGCUACAAGGCAAGCUGCAAAGAAGACAGAUUUGUGUUUAGAGAUGGGAUCCUAUGCUACCUUUUCACCAUGCCAAACGAGUAGGCUAAAACAUUGGUAAGUGAACCCUAAUUUAGGCGCUGUCGAAAGGCUGAAUGCGUCGUGCGCGCUUCGUGAGCGUUAAGCUAAAAGAUCAUCUUUACAUUGAUAUAAAUCAAGGCCUUGAUGUGAGCUUACGCCGACAUGUGCUAUAAUUUUUAUUUUAUUUUUUUGAAUGCGGAGGAUUUAAUGGACAUCGGGCAUUACUGGGGCAAGGUCGUCCUCUAACUUACCCCGAACUGCUCUUUCUUUAACACCGUCCAUUCUUUUUGCUCUUUAUUAAUUUAUAAAAUAUGAAAAAAAAUUGAUUUUAUUGUAUAAUUGAAAUUUUAUCGAGAAAAAGAUCCUUUUUUUUUCAAUUUCUGCUUUGACAAAAGAGAAAUACGCGAGUUGGAUCUUUCAAUUACUUUGUCGAAAAGGUAAUUACGUUAUAGCGUGUGGUACUCAUUGCUAUAAUUGGAUAACAAAAAUAUAUCCAUGGAUGUGGCUCUAUAGAUGAAAUCAUGCUGUUAUAUUGUUAUCGUGGUAAAGGAAAUAAUAGCUUUUCCUAAAAAAACUCGGUUAAAUGUGUGAUUUGAAACAUGACAAUUUGCGGCGAAAAUAAUAGCUUUUUUCAUCACCAACCUAAACUUAAAAUUCAUAACAUCAAUUUGGCGAAAAGAUCGGGAAAUUGUUAAACUGUACGACUUUUUGGGUCCAAUUGUUGCAAUAAAUAAUUAUUCCGCCGUUUAGAUGACACCUAUAUGCCCUCUAACAUUGCAAAUACAAUAAUUUUGAUGUCGUAUUAGCGAAAGCAUGAUAUUCAACUUUCGUGCUAGAUGGAGUGAUGAUGGUCUAUUUGUUGUUAUGCUAUAAGAUAAGCGAGAUACUUAGAAAGAAAUAGUAGCCUAUAAUAAAGUGAUAAUCAAGAGGGUCUCGUGACUAAUCAGUGUCUAAAUAUUUUGAUGAGUCCUUUUAGUUAAAAAGAUUGAACAAAAAAAAUGAUCUCCACUCAAUCCAUUGAAAGUAGGUGAAUCACUCAGUUUAAUGGAAGAACCGGUACAUGAAUAAUGGUUAAGGGACUUUUUCUCGGGGAAUACACUCAAAUCCAUUAAAUUACCAAUUUUUAUCCAUGUGUUUUCCUAUUUGUUUUGUUUUUUUUUUGGUAACUGAGGAGCCGUUAUGGGGUCGCCCUCCGAUGCCCGGUGGCACUAUUGGUCGUCGUCACAAGUCACUAUUUAGACGUAAAACCUCGGAAAGUUGGCCUAGUAAUCCACCCUAAGACCCCCAGUUAAGUCAUAGAAUGCAACGAGAGAGUUCAAACCCUCGACCUCGGCGAUGAGAAAAAGUAUGCACACCAUUUGCUCUGCCCAUGGGUGGGUAUGUUUUCCUAUUUGUUGAUCGUCAAUUAAUACAUUAUAUAUGUGCAUUACUAAUACUCACCAAUCUGCUUCUUCACAAUCCAUUUAUAACAUAUGACUUUAGCUAGCUACAUGUUGAGUCCUUGCUCAGGAGCACGAUGUAACUAAUAUUAAAUUUAUCCAUAAAUUUAUUAAAUAAUUAGGCAAAACUAAAUUGCUUGAUUAGGAUAGAUUGUUUUGUGCUAUAGGCUUUUUGUUGGCUUGGCAGUCGUUGGGCCACCAAACUUAUGAUUGACUUCAAUUCGAUUGAUCUGCGUGCCUCGUUUUGACAUGGAGAAAUAUUUUACAAGGUCAUCUUUCAUGAGAAUACACGAGCUCAAGAUUAUUAAAGGAGCGUCAAGUACUCUUAUAUGCUUGACUAGCUAUAUUUCCAUAAAUUUGCAAAUUGCAUUAAUGGUUGUUCGAUUUGUGAAUAAUCUAUCUUUAAUAAAGAAUCAUUUGUUUUAGCGUGCCAAAAUUAGAUCUGGCAAACUGGUAAGUCGAGGUUGAGUCGAAAAUGAUCCGAAUCAAAAUCAACCAAUUUUAUGUGUAAUAUAAAUUUAGUGAUUGGUAUGUGACUUAAGAUCAAUUCUAAAUUUAUUUUUUUCAUUAGAUUAUUGAUUUUUGAGAAAACGAGCGGUUUCAUAAAUCGACUCGUUGAAGAAGAAAAAAAAUUAAUUCUCGUUAAAAAUUUAAAAUUCUUUCUUGUUUUUGCUUCAAGUUCUCGUCCCGUGACCCACCGUCGGAACGAGGGCAUGAAAUUUGAUGAAAAGUCCAAGGAGAGAUAAGGGGCGAAGGAUUUAAACCUAACGUGCAGAUCGGACGGUCAGCAGGUUCUAAGCAAAUCGAAUCUAACGGAGGAGACAGCAGCGUCGGCUUAAAGCCAUGUUAGAUAGAAGAAAAAAAGAAAAAGGGAAAAUUAGCGUUGACCACUCCGCAUUUCUUCAAAAUUCUUCCAAAUUUGCAAAUUCCCUAUGGCGGGGGCGCUCGUCGGCGGGGCAUUUCUCUCGGCUUUCCUCCAGGUGCUCUUCGACCGGAUGGCCUCCCGCGAGGUCGUCGACUUCUUCCGGUCGCGCAAGCUCGGCAAGGGGAGGCUGCUGCAGAAGCUGAAGGCCGCGCUCCUGUCCGCGAACGCCGUGCUGGACGACGCGGAGGAGAAGCAGAUGACCAACGACCACGUCAGGAAGUGGCUCGACGAGCUCAAGGACGCCGUGUACGACACCGACGACCUGUUCGACGAGAUCGCCACUGAAGAUGUGAAGCGCGAAGCCGGGGUCGAGCCUCGGGCUCUCGUUUGUAAGGUCUGGAGCUUUGCUGCAGACGCUCGUGGGAGUAAAUUGGGGGAUGAGUUAGAGAGGGUUCUGGAGAGAUUGGAGAGCGUAGUGAAGCAGAGAGAAGUGCUGGGCCUAGGGGAAAUUAUUCGCGAGAGGACGCCUAGAGUGACGACUUCGUUGGUCGACGAAUCGGGAGUUUUCGGGAGGGAAAAGGACAGGGAGGCGGUGAUCCAGUUGCUCUUGUCAGAUCGGGGCCAAAAGAACACCAGCGUGAUGGCCAUCGUUGGGAUGGGCGGUGUCGGUAAGACCACGCUAUCUCAACUCGUGUUCAACGAUGGUGCGGUGAAGGGGAGUUUCGAGUUGAGGGCGUGGGUUUGCGUGUCCGACCAAUUCGACAUCUGCAAGCUGACGGCGACGGCUCUCGAGGAGUUCUCCUCCUCAUCUAAGAAGGAGACUGAAAAUCUCGACCAGCUUCAGCUCCAACUGAAGAACUUCUUGACAGGGAAGAAAUUCCUAUUGGUGUUGGAUGAUGUUUGGAAUGAGGACUCAAAUCUUUGGGAUGCGUUCCUAGUUCCUUUUAUCUAUGGAGCAAGAGGCAGCAAAAUCAUCGUGACGACACGAAAUAAGAGGGUCGCAUCGGUUGCUCGUGCCGUCUCGACAUACCCUUUACGGAAGUUGCAAGACGAGGAAUGUUGGGACUUGUUCGCAAAACAUGCGUUUGACCAGCAAAACUUCAAGGCGCGCACGAGACUUGAAGAAAUCGGGCGAAGAAUUGUAAAGAGAUGUGAUGGAUUGCCUCUUGCGCUGAAGACUAUAGGUAGCUUGUUACGCUGUGAGUCUGAUAUCAGGGAGUGGGAAAGUAUUGCAGAGAGUUAUAUUUGGAAUUUGGCACCUGGACCAAAUGGAAUUCUCCCUGCGUUGUUGUUAAGUUAUCAUUACCUUCCUCCACAACUGAAACGAUGUUUUGCCUAUUGUUCAGUCUUCCCAAAGGAUUGUAUAUAUGAGAAGGACCAGCUGAUCUUACUUUGGAUGGCUGAGGGCUUGAUAGAACAACCUCACGACAGGACAUUAGAGCAAGUAGGUGAUCGGUGCUUCGAUGAUCUUGUGUCUAGAUCUUUGCUUCAUAGAGUAAGUGAUGUCGAAUCGAGCUUCUCGAUGCAUGACCUGGAAGUAAGCGAUGUCGAAUCGAGCUUUUCGAUGCAUGACCUGGUCAAUGACUUAGCAAGAUAUGUAGCUGGUCGUUCUUUUUUUAGCUUGGACGGAGGCAAUGCACACCACGUGUCCUCAAGCACUCGCCAUUUGUCAUUUGUAAGAACUCGAUAUGAUGUCGCUUCUAGAUUUAGAGUGUUAGCCGGGACAAUGAAUUUGCGUACUUUCCUGCCGCUAAACGUGGGUCGUGAGAGAUUUUACGAGUACAAUUUGUUGACUGAUGAGGUACUGCAUGUUCUGUUGCCGACCCUGAGACGGUUAAGGGUGCUAUCUUUGUCUCAUUAUCUGAAAAUCUCUACGUUGCCUAGUUCAAUUGGAUGUUUGAAGCAUCUGCGCUAUUUGAAUCUCACUUGUAAUUGGAGUCUAAUCAGAUUGCCUGAUACAAUUACAGCUCUAUACAACUUGCAAACCUUAAUUCUUGCUUACUGUGAGUCUCUCAUUGAGUUACCGAGCAACAUGGGCAGCCUAACCUGUCUGCGUCAUCUUGAUAUAAGGAAGACAUCCCUGAAGAGAAUGCCCUUGGGGAUGAACAGACUGAAGAAUUUGCAGAUAUUAACUAAUUUCGUGGUGACCGAAAACGGUGGGACCAGGGUUAGGGAGCUAGGGGAGCUAAGGGAUCUUAUGGGUACACUCUCCAUACAGGGUUUGCAGAAUGUUGAUAGUUACCAAGAUGCCGAGAUAGUCAAUUUGAAGGGAAAGAGGUACUUGAAAAAGUUAGUACUGGAAUGGGUUUAUGAUAACAAUAUUAUGCACCAAAAUUGCUUAAAUAUAUUGGACAAGCUGCAACCUCAUUGGAACUUGAGAGAGCUUGCCAUUAAUUUCUAUAGUGGUAGGUCAUUUUCCGAUUGGGUGGGACAUGGUUCAUUCUCUAAUAUGUCAGUCGUGUGUCUUGAAUCUUGCAAGCACUGUGUGUCAUUGCCUCCUUUAGGACAGCUACCAUCUUUGGAGAAGUUGAUAAUCAAAGGAUUUGAUGGAGUUAGGAGUGUGGGUACUGAAUUCAAUGGUAGCAACUGUAUACCUUUUCAGUCACUUAAGUACUUGGAAUUUGUUGACAUGUGCAGCUGGAAAGAGUGGGCUUCUUUUGCAAUAGAGACGGGAGGUCUUGCCUUUGCACAUCUGCAGGAGCUUUGUAUUAGAAAUUGCCCUGAGUUGAGUGGAGGUUUACCCAACCAUCUCCCUUCUCUAACAGCCUUGUCCAUUGAAAAGUGCCCACAGCUAACGUCUUCUCUACUAUUUGCACCACUUCUCCGUAAAAUCAAUUUGGAUGAUUGUGGAAAGGUUUCUGGAGUUGAGCCUCUCCUAAAUGGCACCGAGUUACGAGAUAUGAGAAUCAAGAGACUUUCAACCCUUCCCUUGAGGUUUCUUCCUCCUACCAUGACAAGACCUAAUCUUGAAGACAGUCCUGGAAUAGAGUUGCCACUGCACAGAUGCCAUGAAUCUCUCCAAUAUCUAAACUUGGAGUGGAGCUGCGAUACACUUAUAUCCUUUCCUCUGGAAAUUUUCCCCUCACUUAAAGAUAUUCAGUUGUCGGGGAUUAAAAAUUUGGAACAUCUUGCCAAUUCAGACGGUUCAUCACUUCUUCUCCAUUCGAUGGCCAUUUGUAAUUGCCCUGAAUUUAGAUCUUUCCCUGCGGGAGGAUUGGCUGCCCCAUCCCUCACUUCAUUAGAGUUGUAUAAUUGCUGUCAUCUAAAGUAUCUGCCAGAAAGCAUGCAGGCUCUCCUUCCUUCGCUUCGGUCACUGACAAUAUCCUUAUGUCCACAACUCGAGUCAUUUCCCGAGAGGGGUUUAUCCUCCAAGUUGGUCGCGCUUUCACUCUCUAAUUGUGAUAAGCUCAUCACUGGCCGCAAGGAUUGGGGUCUUCAAUCGCUAUGCUCUCUUGAAACUUUUUCCAUUGGGGAACAGAAAAAUAUCGAGUCAUUCCCUGAGAUAGGGCUUCUGCCAACCUCUCUUACCUCUUUGCAUAUCUCUUUCUUUGAGAAUCUGACGUCCCUGAACUCCAGAGCGCUUCAUAGCCUGAGCUCCCUUGAAAACCUCUCCAUUAUCGGAUGUCCUAAGCUCCAUUCCUUCCCAAAAGAGGGACAAAUUCUGCCUACUUCUCUUACCUCUCUGUCGAUUUAUUUUACGGGUCUAAAAUCACUGGAUAACUUAGGGCUCCACCACCUCACUUCUCUCAAAGAAUUUCGCAUAGAUUUCUGCUUCAAUCUUCGAUCCAUGCCAGCGGAGGGCUUGUCAUCCUCCCUUUCCAAUCUAUUUAUCAAUAAGUGCCCUAUGCUGGCGAAAAGAUGCCAGCGGAAGAAAGGGAAAGAUUGGCCCCUAGUUUCGCACAUUCGCUGCAUCGUGAUUGAAGGUGUGCUCGUCACAUAAUCGAAUAUCUUGCUUUACAAUCCCUCCUUUUACCAAGAUCUCACUCAGGUAUCUCCCUUGGCCCUACACUAAGUAAGCCAUUUAUUUAUUCUGGACAUACUUCGGUCACUCUGUGCUAUCCUUCCAGCUAAUGCAAAUCGAAAUCUGGCGUGUGUGUUGGACCGUUUCCCUAAUGUAUCUCCGGCUGAAGCAAUCGACGUUCUUAUGGCGCAAUGUGAGCUUCAGCCGGUAGCCAGUGCGCGGCAAUACGUCCAAUUUUUGGUUGUUUGAGGAUUAGCGGGAGCUCUAAUUAAGGAAAGGUCCUGCCAAUUCUACUACUUCUGCGGAGAGUAGUUGAAUUACCAAGAGGGAAGCUUGGAAGCUAUCCGAGCGGCCUGUUGUGGCAAUCGGUUGACGCCUGCUCAGUAGCAGAGGAGAGUUUCAAAAGUGGAGGGGACAAGCAUAGGAAAUUCGUGCAAAAUCUCGGUUUAUGAGAUGGGGAUGCGGACAGAGAUUUUUGGUGAAAUUUAAAAGAAGAUAGCAUAGGAAGUAGAAAAUGUACCGAACACCUAGCAGGUGGGCCGGGUGGGUUUGGGGCAUCCGGAGAACGCAGACCGGAUAUUUAGAAGCAAUAACUAUUGUACAAGCAUCUUCUCGAAUGUGAGCUUUGCAGACUGGAUUGGUAUCUGGCAGGUUUAUAUCUUCACCGGGAUGAAGAAGAAUUGCAAAGAGAGAGAUCAUAGAGAAGCAUCAUUUGAUUAUUUACCUGUUGCUCUUCUUUUUCCCAGUGGGUACAUGCAUCUGUUGUUUGCAGUGUUAUUAGCCGGGGAUGUCAGCAUUUCCUAGUCAACUCAGUCUGAGAUCUGGUGCUUUAGCAGCAAACUAGUUAAGUUCUACCAUGAAUGGAGUUCAUUUGGUUGUAUCUACCUUAAAUGUUAAGUCGUCAUUCCCUGGCAGAAUUACGUGAAAAGAAGUAGAUGUUUGUUUCUCUUUGUGAGGGAGAAGUUUCAAUGUCUGAGUCCGGUUAAUUAGAUUCCUAGGACUUGACAAUGAUUGGUCACUGCACUGCACUGAAGCCUGUUAUUUGACAGGAAUCUCUUCCUCAUCCUCUUCUUCUUCCUCCAUUUCUUUGGACUGUUGGAGCAGAUUUUCUAGUGAUAUUUUUCAUGUGUUUACUGAUUAUCUAAGAUGCACAGUUAAGCAUUUAUUCUGUCAUGAUACAUCAUUGUGACGAAUUUUUCCAGUAACUGUUGCCGUUAGAUUGGUGUUGUUAAUAAAUUGUGCUGUUCAUGAACUUGGACAUAUUUUUCCUGGACUAACACUCAGAGAUCCGAAUUUGUUAGCAGGUCAUUAAGUAUGGUUUUGUCAUACUGUUCAUUGUUACGAUUUGGGGAUGUUAUGUCAACAGCCUAAAGAGUCUCUUGUCUCUUCAAGCCACAGUUACGAACUUCUCGACAAAUUUCCUCGCUUCUGGAUUAGCUGGGUUCUUUUUAUUUGAUGAGUCAUUGAGAUACCAGGUACUUUGAUUAACUAUUUUCCUGCCCUGUUCUGCAAAGUUAUGUACUUCAAGGUUUGAUUUUUUAUUGUGUUUAAAACAAGAGGCGAGCUCUUAUUGUUAUACCUGGAACUAUCAAAAGUUUUUUUCACGUACACAAGUAAUAUCACGACUGCAUUUAGUUCCCUCAAGAGAAGAAUUCUCUCUAUGGAAUCGGAACUGGUAAUCUUGAAAGUGGCAAAUAGGCCAAAAGUUGGGAGUCAAAUUAUGCAAUAGAUAACUUCCGAGUUUGUUAUCUCAUGAAUGCAUUGAGGGUAAUUAUGCCAUCAUAAGUGGGGAACAACAGCAUGGAGAAGGAUUUUAUAUUUCAGAUGAAAGCUUCUGAGAUCAAUGUGGUUGCUAAAGAACAGAGCUAGUUUGCUUCAUGCAAACCUGUUGUUCAGGGAUUCUUGGUGUAGUCUCCACCUUGCGAUAAAAGGCAUUGUGUACUUCCUAGUUCCUGAUAAUGACUUGAGUUUAGGUUUAAUCAUUGCUAUCUUGACUCGCAUUAUGGUUGUGAUAUGGUUGUAAAAUUGUGAUUGAAAGGAGGCAAUGAUUUUUGAGAUUCUCACUCCACUUAGUCUAUGAAUGCAGAUUUCACGAAUUUCACAUAAAGUCCCGUUCUUAGUGGUUUGCAGGUGCACUUCUUAUAGUGAUUGGUGUGCUAAUUCUCAGCAAAUCAAGUAUCGAGAAGAAAAGUAGAGUUGAUUGAAAGUUCUCAGUUUAUGAGAGAUACCAUACGCCAUGCUUGAAGGUUGCCCCCUUUUGCUACAGGCAACAGUUGCCCUGCUUCUCUGCUUUAUGUUUUUCUUUCCCUUCUCUCUUUUAAGUGCCCGAACUGCCUGUACUCAUUUAUCUUUUGUGGAUUUGCUGGUGACUUAUAAAUGAGAAGUUACAUUCUCGUGCCACUCUCAAGGAAGGAAAAAAAGGAAGCUGAGAAUUGAGGAUAGAAGAGUGUUUCCUUCCUGGCCGGUCAUUCCGCGUGAAUGAUCACUACUUGCUGCGACUGGCAGCACCAAGGUUGCUAUGUUGUUAAUGCCAGGAUUGCUAUGUUACUGUUAAUGGUGACGGUAAGAUAUAGCUACAAAGCAAGCUGCAAACGAGUAGGCUAAAACAUUGGUAAGUGAACCUUAAUUUAGGCGCUCUGGAAAGGCUGAAUGUGUCGUGCGCGCUUUGAGAGCAUAAAGCUAAGACCCAACAAAGAUCAUCUUUACAUUAAUAUAAAUCAAGGUCUUAAUGUGAGCUUAUACCGACAUGUGCUAUGACGUAAUAGAAAACUUGCGGAGGAUUUAAUGGACAUCGUGCGUUACGGGGCCGAGGUUGUCUUCUAACUCACCUCGACCCGAACUACUCUUGCUAUAAGACCCUCCAUUCCUUUUGCCCCUUAUUAAAAGUUUGUUACUUGUAUGAUCUAAAACACGACAACGCAUGGCCAAAGUAAUAGUUUUUCUCAUUACCAAUCUAAACUUAAAAUUUGUAAAAUCAAUUCGGUGAAAAGAUCGGUGCACCAAAUUGGUGUUCCCCUCAAAAUGUGGAUUUUUGGCUGGCACAAUAAAAUAAUCAAGUAACCUAACAUUAUAUAUAUAAAGCAUUUUUUGGGGUUAACUUAUUAGAUUCAUGUUUAAUGAGUUUAUAAUGCAGCAUCGUAGCACGACGUGAGAAUACAAUAAUUUUGAGUGUGUUUGUUUCGUGGAAAAAGAAUAAUUUGAAAAAUAUAUAUUUUUAAAUAAUCGCUUAAAAGAAUUAAUGAGUGGAAAAUAUUUUUCAUUGUUCAUGAAAAUAUUUAGACAUAAAAUUAUUAGUAAUAAAAAUAUUUUUAUUGAUUAAUGAUUAUAAGCAAUAUAAACGCAGGCCUUAACGAGAAAAUGUGGCUUAUUUUUUCAUUUCUCAUUGAACUGUCACUGUUCAGGUAAGGCUCCGCCCGACAAAUGGGCUCGAGGCGCGAAACUGAGGAUGAAUCAGGACCGUUGCUCAAAGGCGAAGGGCUCGCCGACUAAAAUGCGUCCGCGCACACCGGAUCGCGGCUCACCGUCUCUCUCCUUCGCAUUUUCCCGCCAGAAACCCAUCCCCGUCGACCUUCAUUUACCGCCAAGUCUCUCUCUCCCGCCCUCUUCCCUGACCUAAACCCUCACUCGCGAGGCUCUGCGCGUAAUUGAUCGGCGGCGUUAUGCGAAUCCGGGAUCCAAUUUGAUGUUGUGAUGAAGCCGACAGCAAUCGCGAAGGAUUUCCUCUCGAACUUCGCCAACGCGAAUGGAGAAGCCAAGUACAUGAACGUCCUCGUAAGUUCCUCCUCUCUCGGCUCUUGUUUUUAUACUCGGACAUCCUUUUAAGCGCUGUAGAAUUGAGGCGAAAUCAAUGUUAAAGGUGCGUGCUUGAUCGCACGUCGUGCCCUAUCCUUUUCUGUUGUCCAUGAACUGCGGCUGCGGAGUCUCUUCCGUGUGCAAUAAUGCUCCAGUACUUAUAAAAUGAUUAACCCUAGAUUUCACAUUUGAGUCGAGCGUAGUUCCCUUUUUAUUUGCAAUUUAAAUGGCUCGCAUGAGGGUCGCCAUUCCUGAUUUCAGCAAGAAGUUGCAAAUCGAAAAAUUCGUGAUAUCCGUUUUAUUAUUCCGUGAUAUCUUUCAUUCAUAAGCUAUAUGUUUAAAAUAGAUAGUAAUUAGCUAAAUAAUCGGUGACACCAAAUAUUAAAUAUUUACCUAACAUCAUCAUAUUAUAAAGUUACUUUCGAUUCCGAGUAAUAAAAGCAGCACACAUCCUCUCUCUCUCUCUCUCACUCACUAACACAGUGGUCGAGGCGUCAGACGUGGUUGAGGCCCCCCUCAUCGUUGCAUGGCUGCUCCCGCUGGCCUGGCUCGUGAGCCGGAUGAUAGGCGCCGCAAGAUGAAGCGGCUGCUGCGAUUGGCUUCAGAAGAAGCCGUGCGAGUCGAGCUCAAGGCGUGGAUCGAGGCGUGGAUCGUGGCGUGGAUAGGCCCGAUUGAGGCCCUCAUCCUCUGCAUCAUAUGACUGCUACCACUCGUGGCAUUCCUCAUCCAGAGGAGUCGGUGAUGAUCGGUCAAGAGGAGCCUCAAGAUUGAGCGGCUGAGGCUCCAUCGGGUACAUAAGGUCGUCUCCCCUUUGCUACUGUCACUGUCCCGUUUGCUAUGGACGUGAUACCUAUAGAUGCUCACUGUCCCGUUUGCUAUGGACGUGAUACCUAUAGAUGCUCGCACCACCAAGCGACGCGAUGCUAGUGAUUUCGAUAGUUUAAUCAAUCAGUCGUGGCAUCUGGUGUAUGGUCGAUGAACAAUCACUAGCGAAAAAUUUACUAUGCCUAAUUUGGUUAUGUACAUACUAGUCAUUUAGGAAGAAUCAAUCAGUCAUGGCAUCUGGUGUAUGAUCAAUGAACAAUUACUAGGGAAAUUUCCAUUGUUUAUUACAAUAUUUCCUAUAUACAUUCGCCGUACCGUCGUCGCUCUCGCCCGUGGUUGCCCACGGUCGCGACCAACUCUCGUUGCCAUGGAGGGAGAGAGAAGGGCCGUGGCGACUGAGGGGACUGUGGGGACAGCGCUCCUGAAUUCGAGCAAUUCUCGAGACGGAGUCUAAGCUCGAAUAUGUCCGCGAAGGACGCGAUUUUCUUCGCUGCUGCGGCUAACGAAGUGGAAUCCUUACGCGAAAUCGCGUCGGGAAGUCCCACCACCAAGUACGAACCUGUCUCUUCGCUGAUGGAUCCUCCCGAUCAGCGGAAGGAGUCGAAGUCGAAGUUCGUCGUCGCCCAUUGUUCGCGACCACCCCACUCUCAAGACUCUCCAUUCAGCCACGGGUCCAAUUCUUCGCUGCCUGCGAUCGUAACUCGUUCCUACCAAAAUCUCAAGGGAGAUUUGACUACCAACGUCUCUCUCGUCCAGCGGUCUGUGUCUCUCCCUCUUCCCUCGAGCUUGCUCUAUGAUCAUGGGAGAGCGUGCGGGCCGAUGCUUCGCUUCGCUCCUCCGCUCGUAAGAAGGAAAGGAAAAAAAGAGCGAAAAAGAGAGGGAAAAUCACAAAAAAAAAGGAAAAAAAGAGGGGAAAAUAGGGAAGUUCCCAGGUUUGGUAGUUUGUUAGGGGCGUUGGCGGAUGAUAUGCCCACUUAACAUUUUGGAUCAUCAUCUCUACUGCGGUGAAUCAUUCAUCAUCGAAUGAGGAUUCACCAUCGAAUGAGGAGAGACUUGUGUCUGUGGAGACAUACAUGACAUUCAUGAUCUAAUCUACUUAAAAUAUGCUUGAUGAUUGUGCAUUUCUUCAAGCUUUAAUGUGAUGAUAUCUACAAAGGACAUAUAUGUUUCACCAGGGGAGCUCCAAAUAUGCAAAUGUCAAUGUUAACUACAAAAUCUUUCUGCUUGGAGAGCCUGCUAGCCAUCACUAGCCAAAAUGAAAAGAGGAAAAAAUUUUAAAAAGAAUUAAAAAAUUUCCACGUCAAUGCGAAUCACACCUUAUAAGAUAGCUAACUUUCAAAUCAAUGGAUUGGACUCAAUUGUCACAAAUAUAAAAAAUCAAUGAUUAAAUUAAUCUAAUCUAAAGAUUUAAAAGUGAAUUAGUAUUAAUAUAGUAUGUUUAAAUAUUGAUAAAACACAAAAUUGUACCAUGAAAUGUCACAUCACAAAAUUGAAGAACACUACAAAUAAGUAAAAAUCAUAAAAAUUGAAAAACACUACAAAUAAGUAAAAAUCAUAAAAAUUGAAAAAUAAACAUCAAAUAUGAAAAACAAAAAACAAAGAAAAAGAUGAAGUUUGCAGGGUUUAUAUGUCGUCCCAAUAAGGGUUGGCGAUCCUCAUCGAGGUCCAAUUGAGGGCAGUGAGCCCUCACACAAUAGUAGUUGCAAUAACCAUCAUUGGGCCCCAACAAGGGUCUAUCCAACAAAUUGUGCCCCACUGCUGCAAGGGGCAUUACCUCCGUCCAUCUCUAGGUGAGUCACCCUCACGGAUGCAAAGCCGCCCCCUUAUUGCCCCUAACAUUUUUUACUUUUCUGAAAUCAUUUCAAUCCUUUUUUUUUUUAAUAUUUAUGCUAUUUCGUCCUCUUUUUUUUUUUUUUUUUUUUUUCCUUUUUAGCAUUUGUCUUUUUGACGCGGUGCCUAUUCGACAGCGAGAGAGGAAGAGUGAACUCUCCAUUUUUGGGUCCACCGUUGGCUUUCUUUAUGAUUAUCUUAGGAUGGUUUGACAGUCCCAUUAACUCAAUGAGAGAGAGAAACUCUCACUCUUCACCUUAUAUGAACUUAAUUUGACCAAUCUUUUUUGCCUCUCUUUCUUUUUCCACUUUUUCCAAGAAGCUUCGCGGAAGCAUCUCGGGUCAUUAGUUUCGUCGAAUUUAAUGUCUGAAAAGGAAACUCCACGGCUUCUUGCAAUACCCGUCCUUGAUUUCCUUUGAAAUGAAGUUGCUCUCUUGAGCAAACCCUCUUCGAAGUAGUACUCAGGGCUGUCAAAUGAUUGGUUCGAAAAUGGUUAAGCCCUAAUUGAUCCAUGUAAUUUUGAUAAAAAAUGACCUAUAUAACUUCUUUUUUUUACUCAUUUAUAUGAAAUACAAAGUUAAUGUCCCAAUAUAGAGCCAUAAUUUUGACUGACGGAAGUGAAAUUUUCACUGUUAUGCAUCUUAAUUUUUUUUUCUAAUAUUUGUUACUAAUAGGUAUUUCAAAUGAAGUCAACUCAAUAAAUUAGUAAAAAAAAUUACAGAAGACUGAAAAAAAUUAACUCAACUAAAAUAGAAUAACUACUCAAAGUACAUUUUUUUAAAAACAAAAGUAAGAGUACCAAAAUUGCCAAAACAUCAUUACAAAUGAUAAAUUGAAGAAUUAAAAAUGGCAAAAAUUGAUACACCCCUUCCGUACAAAGAGUGCUUAGGCCCUUUCAACCUUUUCUUUUAAUUGAGGAGAGUGGGGAAGCAAUAACACUUAGACCGCCAACUUUUUUGAGAUUAGUGCAUUUAAAAUUUUAAACUCAUGGCAGAAGUGUAACUGAAUUUUAAAAUUUAAGAUAAUAUAAUCAAAUAUGAAAGUUUGCAAUCAAAAUUGAAGAUGCUUAAAAUAUUACUCUAGUACAAAUCAUCAAUAUGUGUUGUGUUGAAUGUUAAACGCAAACAAAACCUGAAAGUGUGAAACUCAUGGCAGAAGUGUAACUGAAUUUUAAAAUUUAAGAUAAUAUAAUCAAAUAUGAAAGUUUGCAAUCAAAAUUGAAGAUGCUUAAAAUAUUACUCUAGUACCAAUCAUCAAUAUGUGUUGUGUUGAAUGUUUGCUUUGUUGAUUUGAUAAUUGUAAUGUCCCCAUAAUCGUUUCAUCAAAUAUGUGAUGGAUGGAAAGUGUAGAAAAGAAGUAAAAAAAGAAUAAAUGCACAUAACAAUUUUUUUCAUAGUGUGAUUGUUUAGAUAUAACUGAACUUGUUGACCGAGAGCAACAUAAGUGUCCACCGGGUGUCUGGAUUGCAACGCUAAUGCUACUACAUGGCUACUAGAUGUUCUCUUUGAGAGAAAAUAUUGAAUAUACAAGUUGUGUCAGUGUAACAAAUUAAAAGCUCAUCUAUUAAGUGACAUGUGUUCUUAAAAAAUGCACUUGAAAUGGGAAUGCUCAUGUUUCAAAAUGGCGUGCAAGUCGCUCUCUCGAGGAAACCCUCUUCCUAAGUAGCACUUGGGCUAUCGAAUGGUGGAUUGGUUCGAAAAUGAUUAGACUCUAAUUGACCCAUGUGAUUUUGAUUAAAAAAUAAUCAAUAUAACCUGUUUUGACUCAUUUAUAUGAAAUAUGAACUUAAUGUUCCAUAAUAGCACCACAAUUUUGAGUGGUGGAAGUGAAUUUUUCACUAUUAUGCAUCUAAAUUUUUUAAUUAAUAUUUGUUACUAAUAAGUAUUCCAAAUAAAGUCAACUCAAUAAGUUUUCUAAUUUUUCAAUUUAUAUUUUUACAAUAGGUAUUUUAAAUAAAAUCAACUCAAUAAAUUUUCUUAUUUUUAAUUAAUAUUUGUUACAAAUAGGUAUUACUAAAAUGAAGUCAACUCAAUAAAUUAGUAAAAAAAAUUACAGAAAACCGAAAAAAUUAACUCAACCAAAUUAGAAUAAGUACUCAAAGUACCUUUAUUUUAAAAUAUAAGUAAGAGUGCACAAAUUGCCAAAACAUCAUUACAAAUGAUAAAUUGAAGAAUUAAAAAUGAUAAAAAUUGAAACACCCCUUCCAUACAAAGAGUGCUCAGACCGUCAACUUUUAUUUAUAGAUUAGUGCAUUUAAAAUUCUAAACUAAUGGCAAAAGUGUAACUGAAGUCUAAAAUUUUAGAUAAUAUAAUCAAAUCUGAAAAUUUACCAAAUUGAAGCAAUCAAAAUUUAAGAUGCUUAAAAUAUUACUCUAAUAUAAAUCAAUAAUAUGUGCUGUGUUUAAUGCUAAGCGCAAAACAAAUCCUCAAUGUGUGAUGUCACUCAUUGAUUGUGUAGAAUUUAGGCAACAUUUUUUUUUUGGUCGAAACUUAGGCAACAUUUCAAUAAGUAGAUUUGAUAAUUACAACGAUCCACAUAAUUGUUUCAUCAAUAUGUGAUGGAUGGAAAGUGAAAAAAAAAAGGAGUAAAAAGAGAAUAAAUAUGCAACAUUUUCUUUUCAUAGUGUAAUUGUCUAGGUAUUAUUGAACUUGAUGUUGACCGAGAGCAACUAAAUUUCCACCAAGUGUCUGGAUUGCAGCAUUAAUGCUACUACAUGUUCCUUGGGAGAAAAUAUUGGUUGUGCAUGUUGUGCCAGCGCAACAAAUUGAAAGCUUAUUCAUUGAACAACAUGUGUUCAUCUUCUUGCCCUUUCUCUGUUCUCCCACUGCUUUCUUCGUUCUUUUUGCAAGCCACGGAUGGUCUCUCUCCUCCGUAAACCCCUUCUCCUCCUUCGGCCCUCCCCCUCACUUGCCCGGGGCACGACAACGUCAUUCACCCGGCCUCUCCUUCACUUGAGCUCGACCUUUGUGCCUUCCCCACCAACAACAGCUCCACCAUUGAAAUCAUCCGCUGCCCCUGCGGCCCUUGGAUCCAAGAACAAGCCUAAGUCUCCCGUGCUCAUUGUCAUCACUCAUGAUCCCGAGCCCCUGCAUCCUUGAGAUCUUCUGUGCUCUGAGUCAUCCCUCCCUCCGUAGCUUACGGAUCUAACAAGGGCUUAGUCCUUUAUAGAUUUAGCGCAAGUGACCCUUACCCUAGUCGGGAGAGUCAACCCUCACCGAAUCCCCUCAUUAGAUUCGGCGAGAGCAACCCUAGCUUGUGGCCAGUCACCGGCCACAACCAAGUACUGGCCAUAGGUCAAAGGGAAAGAAAGUAAUUUAAAAAAAAAAAAGGAAGGGAGAAAUGGCAAAAAAGAAGAAGAGAAAUGGAGGUGCAAGUCUGUGAGAGGAGAGAAACGAAGGAAGAAUAGCUUGAUAAGUAAGGGCGCGAUUGGUAAUGUUUCUGUUCAAAAAUUGUUCCAGGGAACAGAAAAAAAAAAGUGUUUAUGUUCCGAGGAACAGUUUUUGAACAAAAGAACGCGUUUGGUAAGUGUAAAAAAAAACUGUUCUUGAAAUUAAAAAAAAAAAAAAAACAGAAACACGUUUGGUAACUGACUUAAUUUCUGUUCCUAGAAUAGAAAAAGAACAGAAACACGUUUGGUAACUGUACAAAAUUUAUGUUUUAAAUUUUUCAAAAAAUGUUUUUUUUUAAUAAAAUUUAAACUUGAUAUUGAAUUCUCAUUCUCAUGAAAUGCUCAUUAAUUUAAUUUUAUUCAUGGUGAAUAAAGACAAACAUUCUGAACAUGAUCACAUGACAUACUUGGUAGAAAAUUUUGUAAAUAAAGUUUGUAUCAAAUUUUUAUCAAAUACUUUAUUUUUUAUUUUUUAUUUUUUAUUUUUAUAUCAUAUCUAAAUGUUCAUAAACAAUCUCCAUUAUCCAAUCUGUUCCCUAGGAAGUUAAUUGACGUGAAAAUAAUCAAAAUCUAGAUGAGUUCUAGAUUCAGACUUUCUUUUGAAGGCUAAACUCACUGUUCUUGAUAAUAUAGCCCCCUUAUUCGGAAUCACUCAAACUGCAGGUGGGUGAUUGAAGCCUACAUCAGUCUUCGUUAUAAAUUUCGACCAUCACAUUCUAUAACAGAAUUUCUUUUAGGUAUGAGUCAUUUUAUAUCAUACCAAUUACUUGAUACGAAAUAACGUUGUCUUAUAGACAUAUAAUUAGAAUGACACAACAACAUUAGAACUACAUCGGCAAAGCCGCAAAGUUGAAAAUAUUCUAGAUUAUAUUGAAACACCUACAAUGAAUAAAAGACUGAAUUAAUAAUUUCUCUUUGGUGACUGCACUAAGAGUCUUAAAAUUUGCACUGCAAGUGUACUCAACGGGCUCAACGCAGAGCCAUGCAGACUCUGCAUCUUCAAGCUCGCUCUCUUGCGGAGUUAUCCCUGAGACCGCAUUGAAUUGGAUGUCCACGGGAGUUAAAAUCAUCGGAAUCCUGAGCCGGCCAUCCCCCACCGACCUGUCUCAAUGAAAGCUCCCCUUUUCCGUUCUUCGCUUCCAAAAUCCUCAACGUUUUCGACUUCCCACGGACAACCUCUAGCCCCUUCUUUGAGUACUUGGGUGCCACCAUAAUCUCGCAGAACAUCCGAGUUUCACCAUCCGUUGGGCUUGUGAACUCCUGGACUUCCCUCGCCAAGUUCUAUAUGCACAAUAGGACAUUGCAAGGUUAGUGUUGACAUUCAACUCAAUCAACUUUAUCAAGUGAAGCAUUACAAUACUGACUCAGCAAUAGGAGACCCGCACCUACACCAGUGUUGUUUCAAUUUUGAGGGAAGCCCGUGCUGAAUGAGGCUUAAAGUUUUAAAAGCUCACGCCCCUUUUUAUUUAUCAGAGAAUUAUAAUAUAUUAUGGAAUGUGACCAUGGCAUAACAUUUAGCCUAAUUUGCUCAAACUAGUUGACUCAAGAAUGAGCUUCAAUAUGGAACUCUAUGGAUUUAAAAAAUGAGGAGCCUUUUUCAGUUUAUUAUAUUUGGACUCGGUGGGUGUACUAUAUAAGGAAAUUCGAAUUUUCACUUUGUAACUUGCAUAAUGAAAUAAGCAUAUACCUCAUCAAUUUCUAUGUUGAAGGCCACGAUAUCACCAAAUGCACUGACUGGAUCUGCUUUGACUGCUAAUCUGAAUGCUUGAAGAAUAUCGGCGGGGGAAGCCACCCCAUGAGGAUUUGUAUGCUUUAUGACGAUGCAUGUAGGUCACUAAACUCGGAUACACGAUUCCAGGCAGCAUCAACAUCCAGAUAGUUAUUAUAUGACAUUUCCUGCAGCACCAAUACAUAAUUCACAACAAAUGAGAGAUAGAUAUGCUAUUGUUACCACGAUCUGUCAAUGGUUUAAACGAACUUUGCAGAACAAACUACUAUUGCAGUUGCUCAGAGACUUCUAAACAGCAUCCAGUCUCAUCUCAAAAACACAUGGUUAUGAUACUAAAAGGCAGCCAAUUAGUCCCCUGUAUCGCUAAUCUCCUUUGCAAAACAUUGUUAGUGUUUCAUUAUACCUAAACCUUUUGCACGCUCAAAUACACAGAUAGUUAUGUUGAAGAAGCAAAUAAAGUGCCAGAGAGAUUUGAAUUGAGUACCUCCUGUUCUAAUAACAUAUUGACUUCUUGAAGCCUUUGUUAAUUUAUCAAAAAGCUUUAGCUAUAACAUGAAGAUACUAUCUAUUAUUUAGAUUUAAUAACAAGAUUCCAUUUUAGAAACUGCCUCCUCUAUCUAAUGAAGUUUUCAAAGCUAGAUAAUUACUAGAUCCGCUGCAAUUUCAACUUCCUCAAAAGAUUGACCUUGAUGUAAAAAUAUGACAUCAAGGAAUCGCCUUCCAUGAUGUUGGAUUGCAGUUGCAAUACCACCUCCAUUAACCUUAGCAAGACUCUUGUCCACAUGUAGCCUUAUGGUGGGGAUUUUCACCAAUAUGAAGAGAACUUUUAAGAGAUAGAGGCAAUGUUAAGCUAGGAGGGAAUUUCUCUAUCAAAAGGAAGAGUCGUCAACCUCCACAUUUUCGGUUAAAAAACUAAUAGGGUAACAGAACCUACUGAAAUUACUGAUUUCCAAAAGAAACAAACAAAAGGAUACCAUCAGAACCAAGUCUCUAAAAAGCCCCUUACUUGCAUGUGUUUAGACCUACAUGCAUUUUUAAUUGCCUUAGUGGCUAUGACAUCAAUUGAGAACACGAACUAGACGAAUACCUCCAGUUGUUUGUCUCCAUAGCCACUCUGACACUGCAGAAUCAUAGGAAGCAACACUUUGAAAGGCCUUUCAAGCAAGUUUUCUACGGAACUGUUGAUCAUCUCCAUUACUCUUCAGGAACUCUAGCAGUGCAGGGUAGUCGUGUGAAUCAACCACAACAAGGACAUCUGAUGAUUCUGUUAGAAGACAAAUGCCAACAUCAAUUCAAAUUAAGGGCAUAUAAUGGUUCUUGACGCAAAAUUACAGAAAAAUUUACCACAUGCAUAUUGAUACAUAGAGGCGCAAAGCCAGCAACAAUUCUACAAAAAAAGUGCAACAUAUUGGACAUACCUACUUUAGUUUAUAAUUUAACAAGCAUCACAAGAGCAAUUGUUUAGUUUUAGCAUAAAAGCAUGAGAGAAAUCAUUACCCAAAUAGUAAGAAGAUAAUCUGGAGCCGCAAUCUCAAUGUAAAAGUUAACAUACUUUCAGUCAAUUACAUGCCUCGGUUACAAGUGCCGUUGUAGCAAAGUUUGCAUGAUAUCCGUGAGCCUAGAGUGACAGAAGACACCAAUACAAUCAUAAUCCCUCACAUGUCCAAAUUUGGGCGAGCAACGCUCGCUUGGGGCUCGAGCACGAGGGCUCGCUCGAGCGAGCGUCGUUGCUCUGCCGAGCGACCAAAGCAGCUCGAGCUCGGCAGAGCAGCUCCAACGAGCAACGCUCGCUUGGGGCUCGAGCACGAGGGCUCGCUCGAGCGAGCCUCUCGCAGAUCUGGGCAAGCGCUGGAUCGAGCGAGCUGUCGCGCUCGAGCCCCGAGCAGCCGUCGCCCAGAUCUGUGAGGGGUGGCUCUCGCUGAAGCCCUCGUCGAACGGAGAAGGAGGAGCAGCAGAAACUAACCUCGAUUCAGAAGCUUCAGCCGGUAGGAGCAGCAGCUGUCGGCGCCGGAGAGUCAGCCGAGUGGGGAGGCGCCGGAGAGUCAGCCGAGUGGGAGGCGCCGGAGAGUCAGCUGGUGGUGAACUUGUGAGAGACGCCGGAAAAGGGAGAGCGUUGUUUCGGGUAGGGCAUGAACGAAAGAGAAAGGGCACGAACGAAGGAGAAAGGGCACGAAAACGAAGCCCGAAGUGUUCCGGUUUUGUUCUUUUUAGGGCUUCAAGAAGUGUUUCUGGACUCCAGAAGUAAGUUUUUUUUUUUUAUUUAUCUUUUUUAUGUUUCAAUUUUGCUCUAGGAACCAAGGGUGCGAAUGGUAACGGAAACGUUAAAUAAACACGUUUCUGUUCUUUUUUGUUCCCAGGAACAAAAAAACCAAAAAACUGUUCAUAAACACAUUUCAGAAACAAAAACAUACAGGGCCUAAGCUUUUUAUGGACACAUAUUGUUCAAUAGAUAGGCUUUCAAUUUGUUGCGUUGGCACAACUUGUGUGGUCAAUAUUUUCUCCAUGUCUUAGUAGAAUGUAAAAAUAAGUAAAUGCUCAGCCCACGAACGCAUCUAUGUCCAUACACAUGUUUUCAGAAUUUUAUUAAUAUCAGCUAUACGAGAUUGUGCUAUAAAUAUAAUAACGCAAAGAGGCCUAAAAUCGGAAAAGCUCACCUAGAGAAACCCCGCAUUAUCUUCAAUCAAAUCCCUAGAAUGGGAAUGGAAGCUUUCUUGGCAUCGUCUGGUUGAUUGGAGCGAGGUGGAAUGGAAAUAAAAAUGGGGAAUAAAAAUUGCUUUAUUACUGCAUUUUUCGUUAACACGCGGGAAAGUGGAAAUGAGCGAUAAGGCAUGGGAAUGAGUUGACAGUCAAAGGUAAAUUGACAUGUGCACUAAGCUUCGUAUUUGGUAACUGUUGUUUGGACAUAAUAUGGCAAACAUACUUACCUAAUUUACUAUUAUAUAGCAAUUUAAAACGAUAAAAUUCCACCCAUUACUACAUACGUUCCAAUUCCGAUGUAUUAUCAAAUGCAGUGAUCUUCAAAUCAAUCGCUAUUCUGAUUCACUACAAGCAAUUCCAUUUCCCUCUAGUUAUCUCAUGCUUAUGUAACAAAUCAGCCAAAGAAACAAUUUAGAACUCGUAUGGACCACAUCCUCAUCUAAAAUUAAGAACAGAUCAAAGUGCAUGAACCGCAAAAAUUAGGACCAUGAGCGCACGCAUGUCUAGUCUGUCUAAUUCUAUAUUUAUAUAGUGGUAGAUAUAUCCAAUAUGACCUCACUACAUACAUCCAAUUUCCACUCUGGAAUACGUAAUUAAUUGAUUAGGCUUGUUCUUCAUGACUUAUUUUUCCUCCAAUUGCCUUCAUGUUACCUCUUUUGGAAGCAUUCAGUUGAUCUACAUGCAUUGUUUGGACAUGAAGAACUAUUUUAAUAGUUCAGUUUUCAUAAAAAUAUACCAGCUCGAGAUUAUCAAUGGUGUGUGUAUAUGUAAUCUUGUGUACUAAAACUAGCUAAACUCGAAUGAUAUUCCAAUUUGGAUCUAAAAUACCAUUGCCGGAUAAUUUAAUGGAAUGCCAUCAAAUUGUUUUCCCCUAAUGCUACGUUAAAGUACGUAUUGCAUAACUUAGAUACUUUUACCCAAAAUCAUUCCGAAAAAAAUAUAUCAGGACAAAUUCAGAAGUUUUAUAGGAGAUAAUCAUGGAUUAAUAUAGUUUCGUUCCAUUCUUAUAAGAACCAUUCAAAGGAAUUUAUUUCUUCACGUGGGGAGCAAACUCUGCCUUUUUUUAGUCAAUUGUUGACUUGGUUUUGAUUAAUUAGACAUAACUAAAUUCAUUUUUGCUCAAGGUUUGCUGUUUGACAUAUAAUAUCAAAAAUAUAUUUCAAAACUUCACCGCUACAUAUUUACAAUACCCCGCAACAUUGCACGAGAAGUAGCAAAGCUUUUGCUGUUCACAUACCCGUCUGAGCACCUGGGAAAGCCUACUCUCCCAUCUAAUACUGUACAAUUAAGUUAGGUCAAUAUAUCCAACUUCCAUGAUUUUAGGUAUGUGAAUGUGAAUCCACCAGUUGCCAAAUGAAGGACACGAAAGAAAAAGGAAAUAAGUUAACCACGCGGGCAGGAUUGAGAGAUGUGUAUUUUUGCAGGCUACGUAAUGUCUCCGAAUAUAUAGUCAUGAGAUACGGUCCACAAACAAAUGUACGACCAUUCAGUACUCAUUUUCCCAUUUGUCAACUAGGCAUAUUGCUGCAUUACUCAAUUGCAUUCAUUUAACUAUAUGUAAUUUAUUGUUGGAUGACGUACACAUUGCAUCGUAUAAUGUACAUAGAAAUUUCAAUAUUGUUACCGGUACCCACAUGAUCUCGUGAAACAAUAUUUCGAACAAUCUUCUAAAUCUUCUUGAUAAAUAUGCCAUGCACUUGGUACCAAACUAAAAAGCAUUCCGCAACUCUCCCGCUAUGUAAACAUAGUCGACUUGCUAUAUUACUAUCUUUACGAGCUUUUGGAGAAUCGAAGUCGCAAUGUCAUCCAAUAGCAGGGGAUCGAGAAGCAAGAAAAACAUAUUUAGCAAAGCAUGGAACGUGUUCAAGGGGAAACGGGGUUCUUGAGAAGUCUCGUCUAGCAGGACCUAUUGAGAUGUCACCACGUCACCGGUAAGCUCAUUGGUAAAGCCUAUUAAAUUAAUGUCUCGAGUUUGAAUUUGGAUAAUGAUUUGUAAAUCGAAUUUAUUGAUAAAAAUUUUUCAAAUAAAUUUUAAAUUGGAUGAAAAAAAAUUCGUUGGAUUCUUGAAGAUUUAUGAAGGAGGAAAUAAUAGUAUAAAGGAAAAAGGGGAGCAAAGUUUUCUUUAUCUGAGGAGGAGGCCGAAUAAGGUUUGUUACAUGGGGCCAAAGUCAAGUCUUGACUUUUGGGCACACAUAUAAAUAAAAGGCAAGUCUCCGGGAAGAAAAGCUGUCCAAACCUCUCUGCACGUGGAGCCGAAAAAAGAGCUGGUGAGCCCAAGUCAGAUAUUUGAAAAAAGAAUUGGUGAGCUCAGGUCAAAUAUUUGAAAAAAAGAGUGGUGAGCCCAGGUCAAAUAUUUGACCUUUGGGCUCACGAAUUUCCCUUUUUGGUGUGCGUGAAACGGCUUAAGAAAAACCCCCCACGAAAUAAAAGGAGCCGCCGCAGUCGUACAAGUGAAAAAGGAGCCGCACGUAGGAGAAUAUAGAAGCCACGGGAAGCUGUACAUAGAGCGUUUUGUUUUGAGCUUUGAUAAUUUUAUACCGUGAGUUAUAAAAACUUUGAAUUUAAAGUUAAAUCUAGAUAUAGAAAAUAUUUGAGCAUGUAAGUGAUUGUAAACUCUGAUUCUCUAAUUAUAGUGGAUUAUUUGCUGCUGAAUCUUCCCGUAGACGUAGGUACCGAUACUCGGACUGAAUUACGUAAAUUUCGGAUAUCCUUAUUAUUUCUCGUUUAUUUCUUUGGUGAUUUCGCGUUGAUGUAAAUUGCAAAAUCAUGUUGUUUCCGCGUAUUAUAUUUCAACAGAGCCUCAACGGAACUAUCGGGAUGUUGCCACGUCUCCGGUGAGCUGGAGAUCCUCAAGCAAGUCCCAGUCCCGAGUGAGUUCUCGGAGCUCACUGAUGGAGUCUCAGCGGAGAUCCUCGAGUGUCAGCCAAAGCGACGACCAUUAUUACAAUUCUAGUGAAGACAAUCCAUGGCGAGCAAGCUACAGGCAUGGCGCUCUCGCCUAUCGUGGUGAUUACGAUCAAGUGCGAGUGAGAUCGUACCCGUGACCACUCCGGCAGGAAUAUGAUUAUUUUUAUCACACUAGUAUGGGGCAGUAUUAUUCUUGGGGUCUUGACAAUGUCAAUAGUUACGUCCAUGACGACGCGUCUGUUCCACCAUAUCUGCCCCCGCAUACUUCUUAUGGUUAUCACCGUCCAUCCGAGUCUCCCCCGAAUAAUUGUGCGGUGAUGUGAGAUGCCUAAUAUAGUGUGGCUAUAGUUGGUAUUUACUAAUAUCUGGUGAAGUACGGGAUGAGCUAGGGGCAUGGUUGAGCCAUUGGUUUGUUAGCUUUCGCUUGUGAAUCUCAGUGAAGUUUCUUGUUUUAGUUAGUGGUUUCGAACGUGAUGGAGUUUGAUUGAAAUCGCUUUGCCAGUUAACGAAGGUUAUAUACUUAUUUUAUGAAGUUUCAUCUAGUUCGUAGAUGCUAAACAUUUCUAUUAAAAUUUUACUAAAAUUAAGGGCACUUAAUUCCAUCAAUUGUCUAGGGUUCUACUUCUAUGAACAGAUGUUCCCUAACCAAUCAUUUAUCACAAAAACUAAACCAAAUGAAAAACGAUUUAUAAAAAUAGUAAAAAAAAAAAGAAAAAGAAAAAUUGGCCACGCCAUUCCUUGGAAAUUCUUCAUUCUUCAAGGAAGACCUUUAAGGAUCCAAGCUUUCUUGUGAUCCUUCGUGUUCAAACUUCAAGUAGCUUUGAAUGUGCAGAUAUACAUUGAAAUUCGUCUUUCCAGAUGCUUAUGGCAUCUCCAUUGAGAUGCAUAUACAUGGAGGAAAAACUUUUCAAGCUCAUCCAUUUAAAAAUUGGGCUUCUUGCUUGAUGAAAUUCAGUGGACAAAGACGAAAGAAAACGUUUUCAGUUAAAAAGAUCAAAACCGAAAAUAUUCUCCACUCAGUCCGUCGGAAGCAAUUGAAUUGUUGAUGUAUCGACAUAAUAAUAAAACAGGAAAGAGAUUUAUUUAUUUCAAUAUCUUCUUUAGUGAAAAAUAUAGUAAUCUAUUUAUAAAUUUUAUGAAGUGACUAUCUGAAAUAACAAAAUAUUACACAUAUCAAUGACGAUCAAUGAAAAACCAUUCAAUGAUAUGCAUAAUCAAAUGAACAUAGUGCACAAUUAUGAUAGAUAUACAAAAUCAAUGGAGAUUUAAAGAAUCUACUUUAUAUAGAGACAUAGAAGAAGUCAAUUGCAGGUUGGUGCCUUAGUGAAUAUAUUAGCAGUCUUAUCAACUGAAGAAGUGGAGACAAGAUGCGCAAUGUCACGAAGCACGUGAUACACGUGAAACGAUAGUCUCUUUCAAUAUGUUUGGUGCUUUUAAAAAAAAAAACAUUAUUAUAUGCUUUUUGGAUCCAAUUGUCCUAAUAAAUAAGUAUUCUGCCGUUAAGAUGACACUUAUAUGUCCUCUAAUAACCAUUACAAAUACAGUAAUUUUGAUGUUGUAUUAGCAAAAGCAUGAUAUUCAGCUUUCAUGCUAGAUGGAGCGACAAUGGUCUAUUUAUCGUUAUGCUAUAAGAUAAGUGAGUUACUUAGAAAGAAGCAGUAGCGUGUAGUGAAGUAAUAAUCAAGAGGGUCUCCUGCCCAAUGAGCGUUAGAUUUAGUUAAAAAGAUUGAACUGAAAAAUGAUCUCCACUCAAUCUGUUGAAAACAAGUGAAUCACUUAGUUCAAUGGAAGAAUCGCCACAUGAAUAAUGGGUAAGGGAUUUUGUCUCAGGGAAUAAACUAUGAAUCCAUUAAAGCUCCAUUCGUUUCACGAAGCACAAUUUCCAGAAAAGUACUUUUUGGAUUUUCUGACAUUCAUUUCCUAAAAAAUGAACUAAUUGUGAAAAGCAUUUUCCAUCGACAAAAAGAGUUUUCUAAAAUAGAGAAAAUGGUUUCCACUUUUCAAGAUGAAGAAAACAUUUUUUCUUACUUAGUUUCUCUUAUCUCAUACCUAUGUCAACCUUUUCAUCUUUUUUCCUUGAAAAAAAUCGAAUUUUCAAUUAUUUUUCCUUUUCUUGUUUUUCACUUUCAAGCUCGAAACUCAUUGGAAUUUGGCGAGUCUUAAGCUCGCCUUUGGCCAGUCGCUGGCCAUCACCAUGGUUGAUCAAAGAAGAAGAAUAUAAAAAGAAAGAAAAGAAAAAGAAAAAUUAAAAUAAUUUAAAAAUCGAUUUCAAGAAAAAAAAUUUAAAAAAAAUUAUUGAAAAAGAGUGCAUGGAGGAAAACAUUUUUCUUAUCGAACAACAGAAAAUAUUUUAUAAUUUAUUUUCAAAUUUCAGUUGCACACUACAAAAUAUAGCUACCUUCUUGAAAAAUGGUUUCCUAGAAAAUAACUUUUGGAAACAUCACAUUUUAUGUGAAAAGAAUAGAAUCUUAAUUGAAAAAUGAUUCGUUUGACAUAGCCUGGAGAUAGGCUUCUUUGUCCAUUGGCAACUAGGAAUACAACCCCAAAGUGCCAUUAUUAUUAUUUUGCCCCAAUUUCAAAUGCAAAUAGGCCUUCUAUUUAUUUUAGGGAAAAUUGCAAAAAAGGGCUCGAAGUGUUCUCAUCUUCUCAAGUAAGAGCUCGAAGUGGACCUUAUUUCAAAUAAGCGCCUGAAGUGCUAUCACUUUAUCAAAUAAGGGAUUGAAUUGAAUUUUCUUUUGAAUAAGGGCUUGAAAUGGUUAUGCCCGUUUCAAAUAAGAGUCUAAAGUAAUUAUAUUUAUUUUAAAUAAGGGCUUUCUCUUCUUUUUUUCCCUUCCUUUUUUAUGGUUCUUCUUCUUCCUCUUCAUCGGUGGUCAAAAGGUUGGGCGAGGAUCGUCUUCACCCAAUUCGGCGAGUGCCACCCGUAUCAACCAAAAGUGAGGAACGGGUUCACCUAGGUGAGGCCACCCUUGCGGCCAUUUGCAAGGGCUCGACAACCUCGUCGGCCACGGGUGAGGGUGGCCUCGCUCACAAUCAGCAAGGGCUUGCAGGCCAUUGUUAGCCAUUCCUAGUAGCUAGCAAGAUCGUUGACCCCUUGCAAAGAAAAAAUAAGAUAAAAGAAAAGAAAAUUUGGAUGAAAACUUCUUGGCUGGUUGGAUAAUUUAGUUGGCCGACAACCGCCGAAGUCGGACCAUUAUUUAAAACAACAAUGGCUAUAUCAAUGCCUUUAUUUAAAACAAUUGAUGCCAUUUCAAAUUCUUAUUUGAAAUAAGGUCUAUUUCGGGUUUUUAUUUGAAAAAAUGAGGCACUACAAGACUUUUUUUUGAAAUUUUCCCUUUAUUUUAUUUUAGGUUGCAAUUCAUGCCCGUGGACUGAACUAAAAUAUACUCUUUCUCUCUCUCUCUUUUUUUUUUUUUUCAACUUAAAAAAGCCGCUUGAUCAAAUAUUAUUUAUCUUUAGCAAAUGCACCUUGAAUCAAGGGGGAAAUGACUUCGCAUUUCUUCAGAAGUCUUCCAAACGCAAGUGCUCAUGUCAACAUUUGCAUCAAGAUUUCUAACCUUUCGUUUCGAAAAAGUAUAGUUGCUGCGAUUUUUCUUUUCGUAUUUUAUAAAAUAAAAAUAAAAAGUCAAAAACACACGGCGCAUCACGUUGACCAUCAACAGUCAAUGCAUGCCGAUCAGCAGGCGCUGUCCAUGUCUCGAUCUCAUCGUCACAAGCGAAGAAUGUGAACCAAGCGAUCAACCAUCGAUCUUCGAAGGAGAAGACUUCACAGAUUGCGCUUCUUCCGUCGGCGAUCGUCCUCACUUCCUCUCCAAUCGCCUCCCAGCUUCCUCCUGCAUCCUGAAAAUCCGUAUGGCGGCGGCGCUCGUCGGCGGAGCAUUUCUCUCGGCUUUCCUCCAGGUGCUCUUCGAUCGGAUGGCCUCCCGCGAGGUCGUCGACUUCUUCCGGUCGCGCAAGCUCGACCAGGGGAGGCUGCUCCAGAAGCUGGAGGCUGCGCUCCUGUCCGCGAACGCCGUGCUGGACGACGCGGAGGAGAAGCAGAUGACCAACGACUCCGUCAGGAAGUGGCUCGACGAGCUCAAGGACGCCGUGUACGACGCCGACGACCUGUUCGACGAGAUCGCCACUGAAGAUCUGAAGUGCGAAGCCGGGGUCGAGCCUCGGGCUCUCGUUUCUAAGGUCUGGAGCUUUGCUGCAGACGCUCGUAGGAGUAAAUUGGGGGAUAAGUUAGAGAGGGUUCGGGAGAGAUUGGGGGAUAAGUUAGAGAGUAAAUUGGGGGAUAAGUUAGAGAGGGUUCUGGAGAGAUUAGAGAGCGUGGUGAAGCAGAGAGAAGUGCUGGGCCUAAGGGAAGGCAUUCGCAGGAGGACGGCUAGAGCUUUGCCGACCACUUCGUUGGUCGAGGAAUUGGGAGUUUUCGGGAGGGAGAAGGACAGGGAGGCGGUGAUCGACUUGCUCUUGUCAGAUCGGGGCGAAAAUAACACCAGCGUGAUGGCCAUCGUUGGGAUGGCCGGUGUCGGUAAGACAACGCUAUCUCAGCUCGUGUUCAACGAUGUUGCGGUGAAGGGGAGUUUCGAGUUGAGGGCGUGGGUUUCCGUGUCCGACCAAUUCGACAUCUGCAAGCUGACGGCGACGGCUCUCGAGGAGUUCUCCUCCCCGUCUAAGAAGGAGACCGAAAAUCUCAACCAGCUUCAGCUCCAACUGAAGGACUUCUUGACUGGGAAGAAAUUCCUAUUGGUGUUGGAUGAUGUUUGGAAUGAGGACUCAAAUCUUUGGGAUGCGUUCCUAGUUCCAUUUAUCUAUGGAGCAAGAGGCAGCAAAAUCGUCGUGACGACACGAAAUGAAAAUGUCGCAUCGGUUGCUCGUGCCUUCUCGAAAUACUAUUUACAGAAGUUACAAGACAAGGAAUGUUGGGACUUGUUCGCAAAACAUGCAUUUGACGAGCAUAACUUCGAGGCGCGCACGAGACUUGAAGAAAUCGGGCGAAGAAUUGUAAAGAGAUGUGAUGGAUUGCCUCUUGCGCUGAAGACUAUAGGUAGCUUGUUACGCGGUGAGUCUGAUAUCAGGAAGUGGGAAAAUAUUGCAGAGAGUUAUAUUUGGAAUUUGGCACCUGGAAAGAAUGGAAUUCUCCCUGCGUUGUUGUUAAGUUAUCAUUACCUUCCUCCACAACUGAAACGAUGUUUCGCUUAUUGUUCACUCUUCCCAAAGGAUUGUAUAUAUGAGAAGGACCAGCUGAUCUUACUUUGGAUGGCUGAGGGUUUGAUAGAACAACCUAACGACAGCAGGACAUUAGAGGAGGUAGGUGAUCAAUGCUUCUGUGAUCUUGUGUCUAGAUCUUUGCUUCAUAGAGUAAGUGAUGUCGAAUCAAGCUUCUCGAUGCAUGACCUGGGAGUAAGCGAUGUGAAAUCGAGCUUUUCGAUGCAUGACCUGGUCAAUGACUUAGCAAGAUAUGUAGCUGGUCGUUCUUUUUUCAGCUUGGACGGAGGCAAUGCACACCAAGUGUCCUCAAGCACUCGCCAUUUGUCAUUUGUAAGAACUCAAUGUGAUGUCGCUUCCAGAUUCAAAGUGCUAGCCGGGGCAACGAAUUUGCGUACUUUCCUGCCGCUGAACGUGGAUCAUGUGAGAUUUCGCGAGUGCAAUUUGUUGACUGAUGAGGUACUGCAUGUUCGGUUGCCGCCCCUGAGACAGUUAAGGGUGCUAUCUUUGUCUCAUUAUUGGAAAAUCUCUACGUUGCCCAGUUCAAUUGGACGUUUGAAGCAUCUGCGCUAUUUGAAUCUCUCCCAUAAUGAUAGUCUAAUCAGAUUGCCUGAUACAAUUACAGCUCUAUACAACUUGCAAACCUUAAUUCUUGCUUACUGUUGUUCUCUCGUUGAGUUACCGAGCAACAUGGGCAGCCUAACCUGUCUGCGUCAUCUUGAUAUAAGGAAGACAUCCCUGAAGAGAAUGCCACAGGGGAUGAACAGACUGAAGAAUUUGCAGAUAUUAACUAAUUUCGUGGUGGCCAAAAACGAUGGGACUAGGGUUAGGGAGCUAGGGGAGCUAGGGGAUCUUAUGGGUACACUCUCCAUACAGGGUUUGCAGAAUGUUGAUAGUUACCGAGAUGCUGAGACAGUCAAUUUGCGGGAAAAGAGGUACUUGAAAAAGUUAGUACUGCAAUGGGGUUCUGAUAACAAUAUUAUGCAGCAAAAUUGCUUAAAUGUAUUGGACGAGCUGCAACCUCACUGGAACUUGAGAGAGCUUAUCAUUACAUCCUAUAGUGGUAGGUCAUUUUCCAAUUGGCUGGGACACAGUUCAUUCUCUAAUAUGUCUGUCGUGCGUCUUGAGACAUGCAAGCACUGUGUGUCAUUGCCUCCUUUAGGACAGCUACCAUCUCUGGAGAGGUUGAUAAUCGAAGGAUUUGAUGGAGUUACAAGUGUGGGUACUGAAUUCAAUGGUAGUAACUGUAUACCUUUUCAGUCACUAAAGUACUUGGAAUUUGCUGACAUGCACAGUUGGAAAGAGUGGGCUUCUUUUGCAAUAGAGACAAGAGGUCUUACCUUUGCACAUCUGCAGCAGCUUUGUAUUAGAAAUUGCCCGCGGUUGAGUGGAGGUUUACCCGGCCAUCUCCCUUCUCUAACAACCUUGUCCAUUGGAAAGUGCCCACAGCUAGCGUCUUCUCUACCAAUUGCACCACUUCUCCGUGAGAUCAAGUUGGAUGAUUGUGGAAAGGUUUCGGGAGUUGAGCCUCUCGUAAAUGGCACUGAGUUACGAGAUAUUGAAAUCAAGAAUCUUUCAACUCUUCCCUCGAGGUUUCUUCCUCCUACCAUGACAAGACUCCAUCUUGAAGACUGUCAUGAAAUAGAGUUGCCAAUACAUAGAUGCCAUGAAUCUCUCCAACAUCUAAACUUAUGGCGGAGCUGCGAUUCACUUGUAUCCUUUCCUCUGGAAAUUUUCCCCUCGCUUAAGAAAAUUCAGUUGCGGGAGAUUCAAAAUUUGGAACGUCUUUCAAAUUCAUACGGUUCUCCACUUCUUUCGAUGUACAUUAGUUGUUGUCCUGAAUUUAGAUCUUUCCCUGCGAAAGAAUUUUCUGCCCCAUGCCUCACUUCAUUAGAGUUGGAUCACUGCUGUCAUCUAAACUAUCUGCCAGAAAACAUGCAGGCUCUCCUUCCUUCGCUUCGGUCACUGAAAAUAUCCUCAUGUCCACAACUCGAGUCAUUUCCCGAGCGGGGUUUACCCUCCAAGUUGGUGGCGCUUUCACUCUUUGAUUGUAACAAGCUCAUCACUAGCCGCCAGGAUUGGGGUCUUAAGUCACUAUGCUCUCUUGAAACUUUUGCCAUUGGGCAAGACAAAAAUAUAGACUCAUUUCCUGAGAUAGGGCUUCUGCCAACCUCUCUUACCUUUUUGAAUAUAUUUGGCUUUGAGAAUCUGACGUCCCUGAACUCCAAAGGGCUUCAUAGCCUGAGCUCUCUUGAAAAACUUUUUAUUAACCAGUGUCCUAAGCUCCAUUCGUUCCCAAAAGAGGGACAAAUUCUGCCGCCUUCUCUUACCAGUCUGGUGAUUUUUAAUGUGGGUCUAAAAUCACUGGAUAACUUAGGGCUCCACCACCUCACUUGUCUCAAAAACUUCCGCAUAGUUGGCUGCGGAAGUCUUCGAUCCAUGCCAGCGAAGGGCUUGUCAUCCUCCCUUUCCUAUCUAUUUGUCCAUGGGUGCCCUUUGCUGGCGAAAAGAUGCCAGCGGAAGAAAGGAAAAGAUUGGCUCCUAGUUUCGCACAUUCGCUGCAUCGUGAUUGAAGGUGUGCUCGUCACAUGAUCUUAUAUCUUGUUUUACAAUCCCUCCUUUUACCAAGAUCUCACUCAGGUGUCUCCCUUGGCCCUACACUAAGUAAGCUAUUUAUUUAUUCACGACAUACUUCAGUCGCUCUGUGAUCAAGCACUAACAUCUGCCUGUAUUUGCCACAUGCUACUCUAAUAAUGCUCCACAAUGGAGAUUAUAUGUAGUUUUACCGGCUUUCCAUUGUUGUUCCUACAAUUGGGCUGCAUAAUUUAUUUAUUGGUUGACGAAUUAUUUAGCUAGAGCGCCUACUUUUCCCCUUCUCCAUUCUCUCUAUAUAAAUCGCACUGCCAUACUUCAGCUAAGCAUCUGUCACAAUCUUUAUACCCUCAUCUGGAAAUGAUUAUUUUAUUGCUACUUUAUGUUGCCAUCAGUUAACAGUAGUUAAUAGAGCAAAGAGAUUCAUGGCCAUCUAAAGAAGGCCUAGCCUUGAUUGGGCCAUCCGGAUGAAAUUAUUUUUUCUCACGUCCUCAAGUUAAAAAGAGAAUAAAUUUGCUCUUAUCAACGCAUGCUUUCUGUUGCAUAAAGCUGGAUAAUAUUUCGAGGGAGACGUAAAUUCUUAAGACUUGGCAUGACUCAUGAAUGACCUGUGCUACGCUUGCUAGAACAGUGUGGUAUCAUGGGUGGAGUGUGUUUCUGUUUGCUUUAUAUUUUUAUUUGUCAAUUUCAGCUUAACAUCACUCUAAAGUUGUACAAUUUAACAAAUAUUCCCUACCGACAUGUAGAAUUCUAAUCCAUGGAAUGUGAAAAUGAACAGUUCAAGAGAUGCGAGUGACUCGGUUUUUUGUAGUGACAUCUCCACUUUUGUCACUAAUUAUAUCAUGAUAUCCAACUAAAUCCGUCAAACAGAAGUCUAAAAAAAGUGUGAAAAAGUUAGGUUUUUAUUUGUUGAAGUUGAAAGUUUGCAUCUCAAAAUGCAAUUUGAUCAAAUUAUAUGAACCUAUUGUAAUUUACCCUAUUUUGAGAGAAUAUAGUUUCUUUUGAGGGAAUUUAAGUGGUUUUAUGUGCACUAACUGUUGAGGAGCUUCUGUGGUUGGAGAUAGAGCUGGAAAUGUAUUGCUGGCUUUUAGCUCGAUUAGAGUAUCCUUUAGUUGUUAAUACUUGUCUUUCAAUCAUUGCAGGUGGAGUGCUUCUAGAUGGGGCUAGACUAACUAAUGUUCCAAAAAUACAUUAUGCAUCCACGAUUAGCAAUACAGGCACUUGCUUUAUUGAGAUGCAUGAAUGAAUUGUGUUAGAAAAAGUCGAACAAUGUGGGAUUAGUAUUGGCAUGGAAUAGUUAAUAUAUCUUAGUUGGCCAUUGCUUUAAGCUUUUGAGUAAAAGUGGCCUAACUGGAUUAAUUGAAAGGUUUGGACUUGGUCUCUCUCUUGGUUUCCGCUACGCGCUCCCAAGCCAAUCAUUGAUUGGUGGCAACCUGUUGGCGCAAAAGAAUACUUGGAUUAAGGAGGAAGUAUACUAAACAUCGAGCUUACAUGUAAGAGGGAGAUAAGAACUGAUGUGGUGUGGACUUAAUAUAUCUUAGUUGGUCCAUGAUUCAUUGACUUAAGCUUUUGAGUAUAUGUUAGGUCCGACUAUAUUUAUUGACGAGGUCGAACUUAGGUUCUCUCUUGGUGAUCUCCCAUGUGAUGGCAUUGGGUUUUUGCUAGGCACUACCAACAUGCAGUGGUGGAUGUCGAAUUCUGCUUUGGAUGGACCUAUUCUUCUCCCACGAUAUCAAGAUAGUUUCAGUAAGAGGGUUGUGAGACAGUAAUGCUCAGUCUUCGCAAGAUGAGUGGAUUCUGAGGAUAUGGAGCAGCAUAGGCAAUGGGAUGGUGGAAAUUGGCAAGGAAAACAAAUCCAUUUUUCAUGCAGUCAGCAAGCCAAGUGAUCACUGGAAAUGACAGAAUCAAGGUCAACUAGGAGUAUCGAAAUUUCAUUGUCACUUUGCAACUUGUGAGAAAUUGUUUACCGAUGAGUGCGAGUGCAGGAGAGGCACUCCAAUGCGAUUGCAACGUUUAAUUAAACGCAACAACAUGCCAUGGGGAAGUACUUGCCUAAUGGUUUGGUUCGAUUGUUGUUUAUGCAAGCUGACACUUGUCGUAGUGGAGAAACAAGAAACCAUUCAAGGUAAAGCGGAUCCAAAGCAUGACCUGUAGUUGUACAUCCCAGGUGUCGAUGUUGUAGCAUUGGAAGCAAGGAUCAUAUCGGAAACUGAUGAUGGGCAUGAGAUGAGUGGGUUAUGGAGAGAUUGUUUGAUAUAGCUUUUCGAUGGUAGUUGUGACAGUAAAACUGGAUGCUUUUGCUUUCGCAAGGUAACAUCUCAUAAUUAUCAUAUGGAACCGGGAAGCUGUCCCGUCUAGCUUUUAGCUGUUGCUAUGUGUUACUUGUGACAUCCUGAUUUCGAGUCUGAUUUCGAUGAGAUGAAAUGGGCUUUUCAUCGACGCGCUUAUAGCCUUAUUCUCUGAGAGGGGCCCUCAUGGGUGAAAUCAUUAAUGGAUUUUAACGCAAUAAACUUGAGAAUUCGACUAAGAGUCGACUACUCGACCGUGUUGAUUUGCAAGGGUCAUUACGACAUUGCCAGAAAUCGAUCAGGGACCAGAGUGUGGGUGAUUCCACCUGAUUGCAAAAUAAUCAUCGAUCGACACUAGACCGAUUUUUCUAUCGUUUUGGUACCCGGUACCCGUAAAUGAAAUCUCGAGAUUUUCACGACAAUUGAGGGUCGCCAAUAUGUCGAAGAUAUACAAUGUGACUCGAGAUAAAUUGAUCACAGGUCAAUUGCACCAAAAAUUCCUAGAAGUUAUCCGGUCAUGCUAAAAGCGUGCCGAAUUGAAAUUAAUCGCGAACUGGAACCUGAUUUCAGAAAUCGAAAGUUCUGUCAUGUUACAAUCUAUUUUAGGAAUUUCGACUCAUCCUUCAAAGAAUUUUCGGAGAUCCUGGUAUUUUUAUGGAAAUUUGUUUCAGACGUUGCGGAAAAUUAGCGGAAAUUCGGAUGAACCAAAUUAAAAAAAAUUGGGACUUCCAAGCCGAGCCUUUGAGCGUCAGAGACUUACAGAAAAUUGUUUGGGUUGUUUCCUUGGCAAAAUUGGACCUCAAUACGGAGAUUUGAGUGAGGAAUUGAAGUUAAUAUUGGUAAAAUUCGGAUUAAGGCAUGGGGAAGCAUCUUUGGCUUCAAAAAUUGGAUAAUUGGUGGUUUAUUUUGUGGAUUAUAAGGCUGGAAAGUAUUAUGAGACAUUAGAAUAUUUGUGAGGAGUUUGAGGGGACCAAGCAAUCAAUGGAAGGGAUAGAAUUGGUGGGCUUCUUUAGCAAGUCAAGGCCGCCGCCCUCCUCCUUCUUGCGUUUCAAUCCGUCGACCCCUUCUGCUUUUGCUCUCGCUCUCAUUAUUUGCUUUCUACCUCAUCCCCAUUUUCAUUUAUUCCUCACGCCUCUUCCCAUCAUCAUCACCAAUCCAUCAUCCAACGUCCACCAAUUUCUCCACUCACUCUCUUCCUCGCAGCCAUAUAAGCCCACGAACGAAGCCUCCACUAAGUCAAACUUUCUUGGCCUAUUUUGGUUGUUGACUCCUCUUGCCGGGCGUCUUUCAAUCCACGAGACUGCAGCUCCACCACUUCCUCUCUCUCUCUCGUUGAACCCUCUGCCAUCUCACGUCCGAAGUUCCAUCCCUCUUCUCCACCGAAAUUCAACAACAGCUGAAGACCACUGAAGCCACGAAACAGCUUCCGUUCAUCCACCGAGAUCCCAUCUCUUAACGUGCUGCUGCCUGCCACUCCAUGCUAGCGCCUUUUGAAGACCGAGCAAAUCAACGCCUCCAUGAUUUCCAUUUGUCCAGCAACCGAAUCUACACGUCCCAGCUUCUUCGGUCAAAACCCCAAGUCGAAGCCCUUCCAUCAUCGACCGAAGCCGUCCCACGAAUCGUCCAGCAGCUUCGGUCUAUUUCAUCUCGUGGAUCAGCCGCAACAAAGUCUGCAGCCCAUCCAACCUGUUCUCAGCCCAGUUGAAGUCUUCAAGUCCAGCAAGUGUCUUCGGCCCAUUGGAUUUUGGCCCAAUCUAGCGAAGCCCAACAAGAUCAGAAGCCCGCAAUUUUGGGGCCCAAGCCCACAAAGUCAGCCCGCUUCAGGCCCGGUCCAAUUCAAAAACAAAUCUCAUAGUGGACUAAGAUUUGUUGGGCCCGUUUUAGACUCGACCCGAGUGUUCGCCAACGCCGCCGAAAAUUCAGAUUUCGGCCGUUGUCGCGUCGUCAUUGCGGUGAACCGGUUUCCGCAAUUAACCGGUGAGUUUAUUUACUAAACUCUUCUUAGUAGACUAAUGACGUCUAAGGGGUGUUUAGAUUUAUUUAAUUAGAAAUUAGGUGGUUAGUUAGAUUAAUUUAGUGAUUUAAUUAUGUACUUAUGCAUGUUAGGUGGUUAAAUUAGAUUAAGUGAGGCCUAGAUAAAUUGUGUUAUUUAUCUAGAAGGGUUCGGGAAUUUUCCGGGUCCGUAUUGGUAUUUAAUUUAGUGAUUUUGGCCUAGGUUGGCAUUUUAGUAUUUAAAUUGAUUUAUUUAAUUAAUUUUAGAAAUUAUUUAAUAAUUAAUUCUUUUUCGGAAAUUAGUCCUGGAUAGCUGGUGACUGGAGUUGCGUACUGAUUGCAAUGGUGUGUUCAAUUUUUGCAGUUGGAUGUUAAUUUGUGCAAAUUGAGUGCUGAUUCAAUUCCAAAAAUUAUGAAUUUCGAUAUUUAUUCAGAAAAUCCCGAGUAUUGGGUUUUAACACCAAAAAUAGUUUUAUACACUAUAUAAACCAGUGGGAUUUUAAAUUGGAGAUAUCAAUUUUUCUAGUGUAAAUUGACCGUGUACCCAUACACAACUAUUUUACCGUGUAUUUAUAAUACGAAGAAAAUAGGCCAGGUUCACUAUUUUAAUUGAGACAUUUGAGUACAAUGCACAGUGUCCUGGGUCGAGAUUGAUUGGUCGUGUGUUGGUUAAGAAAAACUGUCAUAGGCUAUUAAGCCGGACGUUACCCAUUCAUUGGGACUCGGGUCGUAGUAGAUUUUGGACCUACGCUCCUUUGGGAAAGCCGUCUAAUUGAGAGACGUCGUCGUGCUCAUGGUGGGAGACAAAGCCUGGUUAUGCCAGAAGACACCAAACUUAUGAGUAGGUUGUACUCAGGUUGCAGUAGAUUUUGGACCUACGCCCCUUCAGGGAAGUCGUCUAAUGGAGAGACGUCAUCGUGCUCAAAGGAGGUGAGACGACGCCUGGCAAUGCCAAAAGACCGCCAAUUUUGGAGUUAGCCGUACCUUUAACUGGUAUAAUUAACAAUUGGAACACAUGAUGGUUGAGUUUGAUGCACUUGAUUAUGAGAUCAAAACUGUGUGGCGUGGAACAGGUUCCUAGUGAUUAAUUGAAUUGAUGAGAUGUUCCAGUUGUUAUGUGCAUUAGUUAUAUGCAUUGCGAUAUGAAUUAUACUGACCUGCAUGAAGGAACUGAGGCGAGGUAAGUUCCUUGUUCUAAUUGUAUGGUUGUGUGGCUAGAGCGCCCUGAAGCGUAUUUCCCUCCUAAUCAGGGUUUAAUGGGUGUACUUGCUAAAACAUUGUUUCACUGGUUAUUGAAUAACCAUUUUCAGGUCCUUAGAAGGCGGUCGUGGAAGACCAAGGUCUCAAAGUCUAAGGAGGAGAAAUAUGGAGGACCAGUGGAUAUGUCCUAUCAGUAUGUCGUAGAACAGCCUCUUGUGAGAGUCGAUCAUUUUCUAGGCUUUCGACUAAACUCGUUUUGUGCCUGAAUCUCGUUGUUUAUAGAAGUGUGCUUUUAUGAAUUGAUAUCAUUCUUUUCUAUCCUGAGAUAAUUAUUGUUAGGGGAUUUAUUUUCACUUCCGCAUGUGCUUAAAAAUCAAUGGGUCGGCGACUCGUCUGGGGAAGUCACAAAAUUUUAUCGACCAGAGAGGGAUGGGCACGCGCUUAGGGUUCGAGGCGUGACAUUACCAAAUGAUCGCAACUACGAUUAUACCAAACGGGCCCCGAGUUGAGCUUCAUAGUCUAUACAAGAUCGGGAGGGUUUGAAGAAUUGGUUGGUUGAUUCUUCCCUCUCUUUGGUUGAGUGGUUCAUCUCUUCUUCAAAAGCACCUCUAAUUCUCUAGGACAGACUUAAGCAAGGAGAGGGUAUAUCUCCUCCAUUCAAGCGUGUACCCCCAUUCAAGUGUGUACUCGUUUUGCUAUAGGAGGGUAUAACAUAUAAUGAAUAAGUGAAUUUGGGGUCUUGUACGAGUCGACUUAUUUGUCAUGUUUGAGUUUGAAAUCAUCAUAUGUACAUCAAAAGUAGUGGUGUAUGUAUAUAUAAGGAUGAACAACCUGAUUUGAAUGAAUCACAUAGUUAAGAAAGAUGAAUCAAAUAACCUUCAUUUCCAAUUUCAAAAUCUGUAAAGGCGUCAUUUCUCGAUAUGGAGAACCAGUACAGAAACCUUGUGGCUAUGCAAGAUAGACAAUUAUUUUGAAACGAUGUAGUGUAUUCUACUAGUCAACGCCGGCAUAACUAGCAGUGGAUGCCGAUCCUGAUGUAACUAUUUUGAAAUGAUGUAGUGUAAUAUAUCAACUCCAGCACAACUAGUAGGUGGAUGCUGAUCCUGAUUUAACUCCCACAAAUUCGCAAGUGAGAAGGGGAGAUGAAGCAUCUAAGAAAGAGAAAAACUCUUUCGCUCGCUAAAUAACUUGGACAUAUAGACCAACAAGAAUUGUGAUCUUCCUAGCACUAGCGUUCACCCAACCAAAACACCCACAGCAACUCGAAAGUGAUCGGGAAAAAGAUAGACUGCAAGACAAGAUGCACGACGCAAGUCAUAUCUCGCAACAUAAUAUCAUCAGGGUAGUUAACAAAUAGCAUCUCCUAGUCUCAAUUCGUCCAACUGAGGAACAACAUAGCACGACCCCUGUUUUAAACUGAAAUUUAUCAAUUUCUAGCAUCGCAUUCCCGAGCAUCAACUAGGCUAGACAUGUGCAUAAGAGUGAAGUCGUGCAUGAUUGUGCAGCAAACAGAGCACAAGAAGAAAACCACCUAACUGAUCCAACCAAACCUCAAAAACAGAAAUGGUUAUGGGUACGUACAGUCGUGAGGCAAACUCCUAUUGGACAGUUCCAAAAUGACCACCUAGCUCAAUACAGUUCUCCAUAGUUUACCGUAUCACUUGAUUAAAUAUCGUUUAUCUUGGGCGAAUGCACCUUAUUUUAGAAGGGAAAUGACCCCGCAUUCUUCAAAAGCCUUCCAAACGCAAGUGCUCAUGUCGAUAUUUGCAUCAACGUUUCCAAUGUCUCAGUUUCAAAAAAUUACAGUUUUUCUUUUUUAAUAAAAAAAACAGUCGAAACCACAUGGUCCAUCACGUUGACCCAUCGUUGGUCAACGUAUAUGCCAACCAGCAAGCGCUGUCCAUGUCCACUUCGAAGGAGAAAGACUUCACAGACCGCUGCUUCUUCUUCUUCUUCCGUCGGCGAUCGUCUUCACUUCUUCUCCAAUCGGCUUCCAGCUUCCUCCUGCAUCCUGAAAUUCCCUAUGGCGGCGGCGCUCGUCAGCGGAGCAUUUCUCUCGGCUUUCCUCCAGGUGCUCUUCGACUGGAUGGCCUCCCGCGAGGUCGUCGACUUCUUCCGGUCGCGCAAGCUCAGCAAGGGGAGGCUGCUGCAGAAGCUGGAGGCUGCGCUCCUGUCUGCGAACGCCGUGCUGGACGAUGCGGAGGAGAAGCAGAUGACCAACGACUCCGUCAGGAAGUGGCUCGACGAGCUCAAGGACGCCGUGUACGACGCCGACGACCUGUUCGACGAGAUCGCCGCCAACGAUCUAAAGCGAGAAGCCGGGUACGAGCCUCGGGCCCUCGCUUGUAAGGUCUGCAGCUUCGCUUCGGACGCUUGUACGAGUGGACUAGGGGAUAAUUUAGAGAAGGUUCUGGAGAGAUUGGAGAGCGUGGUGAAGCAGAGAGAAGUGCUGGGCCUAAGGGAAGGUAUUCGCGAGAGGACGCCUAGAGCUUUGCCGACCACUUCAUUGGUCGAGGAAUCGGGCAUCUUCGGGAGGGAGAAGGACAGGAAGGCGGUGAUCGAGUUGCUCUUGUCGGAUCGGGGCGAAAAGAACACCAGCGUGAUGGCCAUAGUUGGGAUGGGCGGUGUUGGCAAGACCACGCUAUCUCAGCUCGUGUUCAACGAUGAUGUGGUGAAAAGGAGUUUCGAGUUGAGGGCGUGGGUUUCAGUGUCCGACCAAUUCGACAUCUGCAAGCUGACGGCGAUGGCUCUCGAGGAGUUCUCCUCGUCUAAGAAGGAGGCCGAAAAUCUCAACCAGCUUCAGCUCCAGCUGAAGAACUUAUUGACAGGGAAAAAGUUUCUAUUGGUCUUGGAUGAUUUUUGGAAUGAGGACUUCAAUAUUUGGAAUGCGUUCCUAGUUCCUUUUACCUAUGGAGCAAGAGGCAGCAAAAUCAUCGUGACGACACGAAAUGAAAGAGUCGCAUCGGUUGCUUGUGCCGUCUCAACAUACCCUUUACAGAAGUUGCAAGACAAGGAAUCGUGGGACUUGUUCACAAAACAUGCGUUUGACCAGCAUAACUUCGAGGUGCGCUCGAGACUUGAAGAAAUCGGGCGAAGAAUUGUAAAGAGAUGUGAUGGAUUGCCUCUUGCGCUGAAGACUAUAGGUAGCUUGUUACGCAGUGAGUUUGGUAUCAGGAAGUGGGAAAUAAUUGCAGAGAGUGACAUUUGGGAUUUUCCACCUGGAAAGAAUGAAAUUCUCCCUGCGUUGUUGUUAAGUUAUCAUUACUUUCCUCCACAACUGAAACGAUGUUUUGCCUAUUGUUCAGUCUUCCCAAAGGAUUGUAGAUAUGAGAGGGACCGGCUGAUCUUACUUUGGAUUGCUGAGGGCAUGAUAAAACAACCUAACGACAGCAGGACAUUAGAGGAAGUAGGUGAUCAGUGCUUCUGUGAUCUAGUGUCUAGAUCUUUGCUUCAUAGAGUAAGCGACGUCGAAUCAAGUUUCUGGAUGCAUGACCUGGUCAAUGACUUAGCAAGAUAUGUAGCUGGUCGAUCUUUUUUUAGCUUGGAUGGAGGCAAAGCACACCAGGUGUCCUCAAGCACUCGCCAUUUGUCAUUUGUAAGAACUGAGUAUGAUGUCGCUUCUAGAUUCAGAGUGUUAGCUGGGGCAAUGAAUUUGUGUACUUUCCUGCCGCUAAACAUGGGUCAUGUGAGAUUUUACGAGUACAAUUUGUUGACUGAUGAGGUACUGCAUGUUCUGUUGCCGACCCUGAGAUGGUUAAGGGUGCUAUCUUUGUCUCAUUAUCAGAAAAUCUCUACAUUGCCUAGUUCAAUUGGAUGUUUGAAGCAUCUGCGCUAUUUGAAUCUCUCCAAUAAUGCUAGUCUAAUCAGAUUGCCUGAUUCAAUUACAUCUCUAUACAACUUGCAAACCUUAAUUCUUGCUUACUGUUGGUGUCUCGUUAAGUUAUCGAGAAACAUGGGCAGCCUAACCUGUCUAUGUCAUCUUGAUAUAAGGUGGACAUCCCUAGAGAGAAUGCCGUGGGGGAUGAACAGACUGAAGAAUUUGCAUAUAUUAACUAAUUUGGUGGUGGCCAAAAACGGUGGGACCAGGUUUAGGGAGCUAGGGGGGCUAGAGAAUCUUAUGGGUACACUCUCCAUACAGGGUUUGCAUAAUGUUGAUAGUUACCGAGAUGCCGAGAUAGUCAAUUUGCAGGGAAAGAGCUACUUGAAAAAGUUAGUACUGGAAUGGGGUUAUGAUGACAAUAUUACGAAGCAAACUAGCUUAAAUGUAUUGAACAAGCUGCAACCUCAUUGGAACUUGAGAGAGCUUAUCAUUAUAUCCUAUGGUGGUAGGUCAUUUUCCACUUGGCUGGGACACGGUUCAUUCUCUAAUAUGUCAGUCGUGCGUCUUGAAUCUUGCAAGCACUGUGUGUCAUUGCCUCCUUUAGGACAGCUACCAUCUCUGGAGAAGUUGAUAAUCGAAGGAUUCGAUGGAGUUACAAGUGUGGGUACUGAAUUCAAUGGUAGUAACUGUAUACCUUUUCAGUCACUUCAGUACUUGGAAUUUGGUGGCAUGUGCAGCUGGAAAGAGUGGGCUUCUUUGGCAAUAGAAACAGGAGGUCUUGCCUUUGCACAUCUGCAGGAGCUUUGUAUUACAAAUUGCCCCCAGUUGAGUGGAGGUUUACCCAGCCAUCUCCCUUCUCUAACAGCCUUGUCCAUUGAAGGGUGCUCACAGCUAACGUCUUCNNNNNNNNNNNNNNNNNNNNNNNNNNNNNNNNNNNNNNNNNNNNNNNNNNNNNNNNNNNNNNNNNNNNNNNNNNNNNNNNNNNNNNNNNNNNNNNNNNNNNNNNNNNNNNNNNNNNNNNNNNNNNNNNNNNNNNNNNNNNNNNNNNNNNNNNNNNNNNNUAAUCUCGAGGGCAGUCAUGAAAUAGAAGUGCCAUACACAGAUGCCAUGAUCUCUCCAAUAUCUAAACUUGAAAAGGAGCUGCGAUUCACUUAUAUCAUUUCCUCUGGAAAUUUUCCCCUCACUUAAGAAUAUUCAGUUAAGGAAGAUUAAAAAAUUGGAACAUCUUAAAAUUCUGACAGUUCUCCACUUCUUCUCCAUUCGAUGGACAUUGCUGAUUGCCCUAAAUUUAGAUCUUUCCCUGCGGGAGGAUUGGCUGCCCCAUGCCUCACUUCAUUAGAUUUGAAUGACUGUCGUCGUCUAAAGUAUCUGCCAGAAAACAUGCAAGCUCUCCUUCCCUCGCUUCGGUCACUAACAAUAUCCUCAUGUCCACAACUCGAGUCAUUUCCCGAGAGGGGUUUACCCUCCAAGUUGGUCACGCUUUCACUCUCUAAUUGUGACAAGCUCAUCAUUGGCUACAAGGAUUGGGGCCUUCAAUCACUAUGUUCUCUUAAAACUUUUGUCAUUGGGCAAGAGAAAAAUAUAGUCAUUUCCUGAGAUAGGGCUUCUCCCAACCUCUCUUACCUCUCUGCAUAUCUCUGGCUUUGAGAAUCUGACAUCCCUAAACUCCAAAGGGCUUCAUAGCCUGAGCUCCCUUGAAUACCUGACCAUUGGCAAAUGUCCGAAGCUCCAUUCCUUCCCAAAAGAGGGACAAAUUUUGCCCGCUUCUCUUACCACUCUGUCAAUUUAUGGAGUGGGUCUAAAAUCACUGGAUAACUUAGGGCUCCACCACCUCACUUGUCUCAAAGAAUUUCGCAUAGAUAGCUGCCGAUGUCUUCGAUCCUUGCCAGCGGAGGGCUUGUCAUCCUUCAUUUCCAAUCUAUUUAUCCAUCGGUGCCCUUUGCUGAUGAAAAGAUGCCAUUGGAAGAAAUGGAAAGAUUGGCCCCUAGUUUCGCACAUUCGCUGCAUCGUGAUUGAACGUGUGCUCGUCACACGAUCAUAUAUCUUGCUUUACAAUCCUCCUUUUACCAAGAUCUCACUCAGGUAUCUCCCCUGGCCCUACACUAAGUAAGUCAUUUAUUUAUUCAGGACAUACUUCAGUCGCUUUGUGGUCAAGCACUAACAUCUGACUGUAUUUGCCGCAUGCUACUCUAAUAACACUUCACAAUGGAGAUUAUUUGUAGUUUCACCGGCUUUCCAUUGUUGUUCUACGAUUGGGCUGCAUAAUUUCUUUAUUGGUUGCCGAGUUAUUUAGCUGGAGCGUCUGCUUUUCCCCUUCUCCAUUCUCUCUAUAUAAAUCACACUACCAUACUUCAGCUAAGUGUCUGUCAUGGUCUUUAUAGUCUCACCUGGGAAUGAUUAUUUCAUUGCUACUUUAUGUCGCCAUCAGAUUAUUUCAGCUUUAAGAUCUCACUAUUGUCCACACCUACAAAUGCCAACUUAUAGAACCGUUUGUGCGUGAGCUGACAAUAGUAAAUAGAGCAAAGAGAUUCAUGGUCAUCUAAAGAAGGCCUAGCCUUGAUUAGGCUAUCUAGAUGAAAUUAUUUUUUCUCGAACUCUGGCACGUCCUCAAGUUAAAAAGAGAGUAAAUUUGUUCUUAUCAACAAAUGCUUUAUGUUGUGUAAAGCUGUAUAAUAUUACGAGGGAGACGUAAAUUCUUAAGACCAGGCAUGACUCAUGAUUGACUUGUAUUACGCUUGCCAGUGUUGGCAAAAUAUGCAUCGAAAUUGGGUAGUACAAUGAAAUCGGAUCGAGUAAAACAACUCGGACUUUGAGGCGUGAUAUCACUUUCUUUAAGAAUUUAUUUGCCCCCACAACGUUGCUAAUGGUCACCGACAAAAAUCCUCCAGGAUACAACAAAAUCUCGGAUGAGAAUACUAAAUAGCAAUUCUAGUAUUUCUCCAGGGUCUCUCUAAGAAAACAAUCGAAAAUUUGGCUACAGUUUUUCAGAAAGAAGACUCGAAAAAUGACCACACUUUUCUUUCCAAAAAAUGACAAGUAUAUAUAUGAAACAGUCUUGCAACUCUUCGUGAAAAUUGCGAACAAACAUUUUUUAAAUAGCAAGGGAUUAAGUGCUAAGUGCUAAGUACGCCAAAAUCGCGCAAUUAUUCGCGCACCCACUGCGGGUAUGGUGGGGUCUAGCCCUACCUAAUCACUCCUUUAACUACAAAAGGGAAAUCCCACUUUUUUAAACUGACCCUCCUACUCCCACUUUUUCUAUGUGGGACAAAGUAAAAAGCACUCAUUUUGUUUUAACAAACAAAAUUCCAACAGCCAGAACAGUGUGGUAUCAUAGGUGGAGCAUAUUUCUAUUUGCUUUGUAUGUUUAUUUGUCAAUUUCAGCUAAACAUCACUCUAAGGUUGUACAGUUUAACAAUUUCCCUCACUGCAUGCAGAAUCUUGAUCCAUGGAAUGUGAAAAUGAAACAGUUUAAGAGAUACGAGUGACCCAGCAUUUUGUAGUGGCAUAUCCACUUUUUUCACUAAUUAUAUCAUGACGUCAACUAAAUUCAUCAAACUGAAGGUCUAAAAAGAGUGAAAAAGUUAGGUUUUUAUUUGUUGAAGUUGAAAAUUUGCAUCUCAAAAUGCAAUUCAAUCAAAAUAUAUGGACUUAUUGUAAUUUACCCUAUUUUGAGAGAAUCUAGUUUCUUUUGAGGGAAUUUAAGCGAUUUUAUGUCCAUUGACUUUUGAGGAGCUUCUGUGGAUGGAGAUAGAGCUGGAAAUGUAUUGCUAACUUUUAGCUCGAUUAGAGUAUCCUUUAGUUGUUAAUACUUGUCUUUCAAUCAUUGCAGGUGGAGUGCUUCUAGAUGGGGUAAGACUAACUAAUGUUCCAAAAAAUAAAUGAUGCAUCCAUGAUUAGCAAUACAUGCACAUGCUGUGUUGAGAUGGACGUGUGAAUUGUGUUAGAAAAAGUCCAACAACGUGGGANNNNNNNNNNNNNNNNNNNNNNNNNNNNNNNNNNNNNNNNNNNNNNNNNNNNNNNNNNNNNNNNNNNNNNNNNNNNNNNNNNNNNNNNNNNNNNNNNNNNUGGCCAACUAGAUAUGUUGAAAGUUUUGGACUUGGGCUCUCUCUUGGCUUCCACUACGCGCUCCCAAGCCAAAUUGGUGGCAACCUGUUGUUGCAAAAGAAUGCUUGGAUUAAGGGAGAAGUAUACAUAACAUUGAGCUUACAUGUAAGAGGGAGAUAAGAAUUGAUGUGGUAUGGAGUAAGAGGGAGAUAAAAAUUGAUGUGGUGUAGAGUACUUAUUAUCUCCUAGUUGACCCAUGAUUCAUUGACCGAAGCUUUUGAGUAUAUGUUAGGUCCAACUAUAUUUGUUGAUAGGGUCGAACUUGGGUUGUUCCUUGGCGAUCUCCCAUGUGAUGGCAUCGAAUUUCUGCUAGACACUACCAACAUGCCACGGUGGAUGUCGGAUGCUACUUUGGAUGGACUUAUUCUUCUCCCACGAUAUCAAAAUAGUUUCAGUAAGAGGGUUGUGGUGAGAAAACAAAAUGUUGCUCAGACUUCACAAGACGAGUGAAUUAUGAGGAUCAGGAGCAACAUAGACAAUGGGAUGGUGGAAAUCGGCUAGGAAAACAAAUCCAUUUUUCAUGCAAUCAGCAAGCCAAGUGAUCGACUCUGGAAAUGUCAUAAUCGAGCUCAAUUAGGAGAAUCAAAAUUUCACUGUCGGUUUGCAGCUUGUGAGAAAUUGUUUACCAAUGAGUGCGAGUGCAGGAGAGGCACUCCAAUGCAAUUGCAACGUUUAGUUGAAUGCAACGACAUGCCAUUUGAGAAGUAUUUGCCUGAUGGUUUGGUUGGAUUGUUGUUUUAGCAAGCUGAUACUUGUCACAAUGGAGAAAUAAGAAACCAUUCAAGGUGAAACGGAGCUAACGCAUGGUCUGUAGAGGUACAUCCCAUGUGUUCGAUGUUGUAGCAUUGGAAGCGGAUCGUAUUUGAAACCGAUGAUGGGCAUGAGAAGAGUGGGUUAUGGAGAUAUUGUUUGAUACAGCUUUUCGAUUGUAGCUGUGACACGUAAAACUGUAUGCUUCCGCUUUCGCAAGGUAACAUCUCAAAGCUAUCAUCUGGAACCAGAAAGCUGUCCCAUCUAGCUUUCAGCUUUGUCGCCGUUUGUUACCAAUUGAUCGCAACUAUGAUUGUACCACAUGGGCCUUGAGUGGAGCUUCAUAGCCUAUACAAGAUUAGGAGGGGCUGGAGGAUUGAUUGAGUGAUACUUCUCUCUUUGGUUGAGUGGUUCUUCUCUUCUUCAAAAGCACCUCUAAUUCUCCGGGACACACUUAAAGCAAAGAGCAGGAAUAACUCGUGCAUGCAAGCAUAUACCCGUUUCGUGCUAUCGGAGGGUGUAACAUAUAGUGAAUAAGUGAAAUUUAAGGUCAUGUACAAGUCUUAUUUAUCAUGUUCAAGUUUGAAAGUCAUCAUAUGUAAAUCAACAGUGGCUGUGUAUGUAUAUAUAAGGACGAGCAUUCUGAUUGGUAUGCAUAACAUAGUCGAGAAAGAUGAAUCAAAUAACCUUCAUUCCAGCUUCAAAAUCUGCAAAGACGUCAUUUCCCGAUAUUUUUCAAACUUUUUGAGCAUUGCCCUAGCCAUAGAACUAAUAGCCUCAUCCUCAGUAUCCCUUGCCUGUAUUAAACGAAGCUGAAUCUGCCAUACUCCAUAAAAAUAUAAAUUUGCCGUGGGAUAUCUAACUCCAGAGAACAGAGUAGAAAUAUCAUAAAAGGGUUUUAACAACAAAGCAAUUUUCUUUCCUCUAACCCAAUCUUCAGAAGAUGGACAUGUGACAAAGUUACAGUCAAUUAACUUCAAAUGCGAAAAUGCACAUUCAAAGAAAAGGGCACCCUCAAGCAUUAGGUAUGUAGAAUUACAUCUGGUGGCCACAUCUUGACGUACCUUUUUACUGGUCUUUAAGCACGACUGCAAUAUACAUUCGGCAAAUUUAACUCUCCUCCCUUGUGUAGCCCUCACAUACUUGACAGCUUCUCUAAUAUUAUGUAAGGAUCCAUCAAUAACCUUUAAACCUUCCUGUACAAUUAGACUUAAAACAUGUGCACCACAACGCACAUGAAAAAAUUGUCCAUCACAUAACAAAGAAGAUCUCACAGAAGGUGUAUUUCUCCAAAUAUCAAUCAUACUGUCAUUGUAUGAUGCAUUAUCUAAAGUGAUGCUGAAGAUCUUUCUCUCAAUGCCCCAUUCUCUCAACAAAGACAGCAAUUUUUCUAAAAGUAUGACACCACUAUAUGGAGGUGGCACAUAGGAGAAACACAAGACUUUUGAUUGCAAUUCCCAAUCAUCAUCAAUAUAAUGAGCAGUGACGGUCAUAUAAUGAUCCGUAGUAAUAGAAGUCCAUAGGUCAGAAGUCAAACAUAUUCGGCUCGAAAGAGACAAUAAUUUGGAUUUCAAAAUUCCCUUCUCUUUCUCAUAAACUUUUAGCACAUCACUUCUUGCUGUAUUCCUUGAUAUGUGCUUCACAUUAGGGUUGAGGUAACUAAACAAUUCUCUUGUUCCCUCAUGCUCUACAAAAGAGUAUGUAUAAUUGUGUUUGAUUAUCGCUCUUGCAAGCAUAUCUCUAAACACACCUCGGUCAAAUUGUACCACAGAACCAUCAACAUUAACCUCUCGGUUGGGACAAGUAUUUAAAUGACGCAACAAGUUUUUUGUCCCAUGGCUAGCCAUAUAAGUUACUUCACACCAUUUACAUUUAGCCUUACUCAUGCCAUCACCAUCUGUGAAUUUUUCGAAUUCAGACCAUACAACCGAAGUGUGUUUUCUUGAACGCUUAGAGGAAGUAGAGAUAUCUUCCUCAUCCUCAUGAACUAAGGAUGUAACUCUCUUGGAUCGGUCGGUAGUUGAAUAUUCUCCUUGAUCCUCGCUAUGUCUUGACAUGUCAACUAACAAAUCUUAAAUCAUAAGAUAAGCCCCACCUCAAUAUUUGGGCGAACAACACAAACAAGCUCCCCACAAACUCGUAAUGCUUCUGCUGUGACUUUGUAAUAUCUCUCACAAAUAGUAGAUAAAACAGGGGAGGAAAGCACCUAAAAUAUCAUAAUAAAAACAGAGAAAGUAAACACCCUGCAGCUGAUUUUGUAUAAACCCAACUCAGAAGCAGGUAGCAUAAACAGUUUAUAUACACAGCAAAGGUAGGAAUUAUACCGUCGAACAAAAGAUGACAGAAAACCGUCGAACAGUUACAAACUUUCCAAUAUAGAACCUAAUUCAGCAGCCCGAAACAGAAUGACCCAAUAAACAAAUCAAUCCGGAAGGCAAGAACAGAGAAACCAAACCGGAUCACCGAAAAGACCCUGCGCACCAGCUCAAGCAAUAGCAAACUGCAAAAUGCUGGAACAAAACAACAGCUAGUGCACGGAGCUCCCACUCUGCGCGGGAUGAUGGGACAGGUCCGACCACUUUGGUUAUAAUGUACACAGAUUUUUGCAAGAAAAUUAUUUCUGCGACUCGAACCAGAGGUCACACAGCAACAACUUUUACCUGAAAUGCUAGUCCUAAAUGUAACCAAAUGCGUCGCUGCAGUUUAAAAAGCAAUGCAGACACUUUCAUAACAAGACCAAGGAAUCAAGUAAUAAUUUUUCUAUUUCACGUAGGUCCUUUUGAAAAAAUACAUGCGCACAAUUUCAAGAACACUGUUCUUAUUGUAAAGAUCACAAGAACAAACAGACGAAACAACAUGAAUGAAUCACUUUGGCCCUAGCUACCAUCCGCUUAGCAACAGUCAUGAGUUCCAUGAUUCAAUUUCUUGGCUUUCAAAUGAAGAACACGUAUCUACGGAGCCCGUGAUUGAGGUUAAGCUGCAUUGUAUUGGUAAUGAAAGACCCGUCGUUUCACCCGAAGAAUAAGAACCUUUGGAGCCCCCAAUCAAGGUUAACCAAUCGAAAAACCAAUCGGAAUGACCCACAUUGCAACUCAAUCCAAUAGAAAAACCCAGCAAGCCCCACGCCCCGAUCAGCUUGCCACCAAAGAAGAGGCCAAACCCAGAAACGAGACAAGCGAGAAGGGCGUGCCCGCGACACGAUUACUUACCCGGCUGUUACGAAAACGGCUUAGGUUUGCGGCUGAACUGCGCCGGACGACGGCGACGGAGAUCUAAAAAAGACCGCAGAUUCGCCCAAUCAAAGCGCAAUCGCUUUCCGCGGACGGCGAAGACGGCGACGACGGCGGCGGCUGCGGCAACUGACGGCGGAAGGAGAAGGAGUGCUCGGAAAAAGACAGGAAUUCACCGGCGAGCUCUCGGCCUCUGAGUCCCGACUUGCAGUACGUCGUACGAUGGAGGGAAAGCGAGAAAACGAAGACGUCGAAGAGGGAGAGUAAAUGGGUUCGCUUUAGUGGGUUGAUAAGUGGGUCAUAAAUGGGUUGAGAGCAGACUCAGACCCAUUUAAAACCCAUUUAUUUCAGCUUUUUUACUUUUAAAACUCAUUAUGGGUGCAAGCUUGACCCAUUAACGACCCAUUUAGCUAUAAAUGGGUCUAUAAAUGGGUCAUUGACCCAUUUUUGACACCCAUAGCUAUGAUAAAGAGAGAUAUUUAUUUAAAUGUUUUCUGUUUGGAGACUUUAAUUUCUCGAUACCUUUUUAUUUUCGUAAAAAAUGACUUGCACUAUGGAAAUUAAUCGAGAUGUGUGAAAUAUGGGCUAAAUCUUGGAUUUCCGAAAUUGAAAUUGAAUGAAAAGAAAACGUGAGUGAUUUGAUGAAAGAGAAUAGCCAUUUGGAAAUUGAUGGUGAAAAUAUGUAGAACAGCUCUUGAUUGGAAAAUAGGGAUGGAAAUCAAAGUGGAUAUUGUAUUUGGCGAUUGCAAGCAUUGCAUCAUGAAAUACUAUUGGAAAAAUAUCACCACAAUUCAUUUAUUUCACAAAAAAAUGAAUGAUUUGAAAAAAUGGAACUUAAUAAAUGAUACCCGCCACGACUUAGAGCUAACUAUCGGCUCCCAAGGGGCAAACCUAGAAUACUGUGCGCAAAAUAUUUCAUAUCAAGGCUAAAAUUACAUUGUAUUAGCAUGAGACGUAACAAACUCGAAAUGCAUAACUAUCGGCUCCCAAGGGGAAAACCCUUCUUUCCCUUUCUAGCUUUCUCCGGGAAAAUUUUCCGAUCCGUUGCAAACCGUUCAUCAUCUUCCGUUCUGUAACAGAUCUCGACGACCUGCGAGGCUGCGAUGGAGAUUCGCAUCGGAAGAGGCUAAGCGUGGGCCAUCGCCGCCGGAUUCAUGGCCGCUCUCGCUGCCAUUUCCGCCAAGUUCUUCUCCUCUCAGGUGACUCGACCUCAUCCCUUCAUCUCCGAUUGCGCGCUUGUUCGUGCGAGCUAAUCUAUAGUUGUCCCCCGCCGUUCUGCUUCGGCACUCGAGGCUGUGCGAUUGUUCCAGCCAAUGCAAAUCGAAAUCUGGCGUGUGUGUUGGACCGUGUCCCUAAUGUAUCUCCGGCCGAAGCACUCGACGUCGCGUGGCGCGAUGUGAGCUGCGGCCGAUAGCCGGUGCGCGGCGAUACGUCCAAUUUUUGGUUGUUUGAGGAUUAGCGGGAGCUCUAAUUGAGGAAAGCUCCUGCUAAUUCUACUACUUCUGUGGAGAGUAGUUGAAUAGAUUACCGAGAGGGAAGCUUGGAAGCUAUCCGAGCGGCCUGUCGUGGCAAUCGGUCGACGCCUGCUCAGUAGCAGAGGAGAGUUUCGAAAGUUGAGGGGACAAGCUUAGGAAAUUCGUGCAAAAUCUCAGUUUAUGAGAUGGGGAUGCGGACAGAGAUUCUUGGUGAAAUUUAAAAGAAGAUAGCAUAGGAAAUAGGAAAUGUUCGCCUAGCAGGCAGGCCAGGCGGGGCGGGGUUGGGGCAUCUGGAGAACUCUGACUGGAUAUUUAGAAGGGAUUGCUAUUGUACAAUCAUCUUCUCGAAGGUGAGCUUCACAGACUGGGUUGUUAUCUGUCAGGUUUAUAUUUUCACUGGGAUGAAGAAGAAUAGCAAAGAGAGAGAAAACAGAGAACGAUUAUUUACUGUUGCUCUUCUUUUCCCCAGUGGGUAAGUGCAUCUGUUAUUCGUGGUGUCAUUAGCUGCGGAUGUCAGCAUUUCGUAGUCAACUCAGUCUGAGAUUGGUGCUUUUGCAGUGAACUAGUUAAGUCCUACCAUGAAUGGAGUUCGUUUGGUUGUAUCUACCUUAAACGUUAAAUCGUCAUUCCCUGGCACAAUUAUGUGAAAAGAAUUAGACGUUUGAUUCUCUUUGCGAGAAAAAUGUUUCAAUGUCUGAGUCCAGUUAAUUAGAUUCCUAGGAAUUGACGAUGAGUGGUCACUGCACUGCACUAAAGCCUGUUAUUUGACAGGAAUCUUUUCCUCAUGCUCCUCCUUUUCCUCCAUUUCUUUUGACUGUAGGGGCAGAUUGUUUAAAGAUAUCUUUCAUGUGUUUACUGAUUGUCUAAGAUGCACAGUUAAGCAUAUAUUCUGUCAUGAUACAUCAUUGAUGAAUUUUCCCAGUAACUGUUGCCAUUAGAUGGGUGUUGUUAAUAAAUUGUGCAGUUCAUGAACUCGGACAUAUUUUUCCUGGACUAACACCCAGACAUCUGAAUUUAUUAACAGGUCAUUAAGUAUGGUUUUGUCAUACUGUUCAAUGUUACAAUGUGGGGAUGUUAUGUCAACAGCCUAAAGAGUCUCUCGUCUCUUCAAGCCACAGUUACGAACUUUGCGACAAAUUUCCUCACUUCUGGAUUAGCUGGGUUCUUUUUGUUUGAUGAGUCAUUGAGAUACCAGGUACUUUGAUUAACUAUUUUCCUGCCCUGUUCUGCAAAGUUAUAUACUUCAAGGUUUGAUUUUUUACUGUGUCUAAAAUAAGAGGCAAGCUCUUAUUGUUACAGCCGGAGCUGUCAAAAGUAUUUUUCACUGAUACAAGUAAUAUCAUGACUGCAUUUAGUUCCCUCAAGAGAUAAAUUCUCCCUAUGGAAUCGGAACUGGUUAUCUUGAAAGUGGCAAGUAGGCUAAAAUUUAGGAGUCAAGUUAUGCAAUAGAUAACUUCCGAGUUUAUUAUCUCAUGAAUGCAUUGAGGGUGAGGAGGGUUUUAUAUUUCAGAUGAAAGCUUCUGAGAUCAAUGUGGUUGCCAAGGAAAAGAGUUAGCUCGCUUCAUGCAAACCUGUUGUUCAGGGAUUCUUGGCGUAGUCUCCACCUUGCGAUAAAAGGUGUCGAGUACUUCCUAGUUCCUGAUAAUGACUUGAGUUUUAGGUUUAAUCAUUGCUAUCUUGACUCACAUUAUGGUUGUGAUAUGGUUGUGAAAUUGUGAUUAAAAGGAUGCAGUGAUUGGAGAUUCUCACUCCACUUAGUCUAUGAAUGCAGAUUUCACAAAAUUCACAUGAAGUCCCGUUCUUAGUGGUUUGCAGGUGCACUUUUCAUAGUGAUUGGCGUGCUAAUUCUCAGCAAAUCAAGUAUUGAGAAGAAAAGUAGAGUUGAUUGAAAGUUCUCAGUUUAUGAGAGAUACCAUACGCCAUGCUUGAAGGUUGCCCCCUUUUGCUACUGGCAACAGUUGCUCUGCUGCUUUGGUUUAUGCUUUUCUUUCCCUUCUCCCUUUUAAGUGCCCGAACUGCCUGUUCUCAUUUAUCUUUUGUGGAUUUGCAGGUGACUUAGUAGAGAUCAGAAGUUCCAUUCUUGUGCCACUCUCAAGGAAAGGAGAAAAUGAAGUUGAGAAUUGAGGAUAUAAAGGGUGUUUCCUUCCUGGCCGGUGAUUCCGUGUGAACGAUCACUACUUUUCGUGACUGGCAGCACCGAGGAUGCUAUGUUGUUAAUGCCAGGAUUGCUAUGUUACUGUUAAUGGUGACUAUACAAUAUAGCUACAAGGCAAGCUGCAAAGAAGACAGAUUUGUGUUUAGAGAUGGGAUCCUAUCCUACCUUUUCACCAUGCCAAACGAGUAGGCUAAAACAUUGGUAAGUGAACCCUAAUUUAGGCGCUCUCGAAAGGCUGAAUGUGUCGUGCGCGCUUCGUGAGCGUGAAGCUAAAAGAUCAUCUUUACAUUGAUAUAAAUCAAGGCCUUGAUGUGAGCUUAUGCCUACAUGUGCUAUAAUUUUAUUUUAUUUUUUUUAAAUGCGGAGGAUUUAAUGGACAUCGGGCAUUACUGGGGCAAGGUCGUCCUCUAACUUACCCCGAACUGCUCUUUCUUUAACACCGUCCAUUCUUUUUGCUCUUUAUUAAUUUAUAAAAUAUGAAAAAAAAAUUGAUUUUAUUGUCUAAUUGAAAUUUUAUCGAGAAAAAGAUCCUUCUUUUUUUUUUUUUCAAUUUCUGCUUUGACAAAAGAGAAAUGCGCGAGUUGGAUCUUUCAAUUACUUUGCCGAAAAGGUAAUUACGUUAUAGCGUGUGGUACUCAUUGCAAUAAUUGGAUAACAAAAAUAUAUCCAUGGAUGUGGCUCUAUAGAUGAAAUCAUGCUGUUCUAUUGUUAUCGUGGUAAAGGAAAUAAUAGCUUUUCCUCAGAAAACUCGGUUAAAUGUGUGAUUUGAAACAUGACAAUGUGCGGCGAAAAUAAUAGCUUUUUUCAUCAUCAACCUAAACUUAAAAUUCAUAAAAUCAAUUUGGCGAAAAGAUCGGGAAAUUGUUAAACUGUACGACUUUUUGGGUCCAAUUGUUGCAAUACAUAAUUAUUCCGCUGUUUAGAUGACACCUAUAUGCCCUCUAAUAAACAUUGCAAAUACAAUAAUUUUGAUGUCGUAUUAGCGAAAGCAUGGUAUUCAACUUUCGUGCUAAAUGGAGCGAGAAAGCAUGAUAUUCAACUUUCGUGCUAGAUGGAGCGACGAUGAUCUAUUUGUUGUUAUGCUAUAAGAUAAGUGAAAUACUUAGAAAGAAAUAGUAGCCUAUAAUAAAGUGAUAAUCAAGAGGGUCUCGUGACUAAUCAAUGUCUAAAUAUUUUGAUGAGUCCUUUUAGUUAAAAAGAUCGAACCAAAAAAAUGAUCUCCACUCAAUCCAUUGAAAGUAGGUGAAUCACUCAGUUUAAUGGAAGAACUGGUACAUGAAUAAUGGUUAAGGGACUUUUUCUCGGGGAAUACACUCAAAUCCAUUAAAUUACCAAUUUUUAUCCAUGUGUUUUCCUAUUUGUUUUUUUUUUAGUAACCGAGGAGCCGUCGGAGACUCCCUUACGGGGUCACACCGCCCUUCGAUGCCCGGUGGCACCAUUGGACGUCGUCGCAAGUUACUAUUUAGACGUAAAAUCUCGGAAAGCUGGCCUAGUAAUCCACCCUAAGACCCCCAGUUAAGUCAUAGAAUGCAACGAGAGAGUUCAAACCCUCGACCUCGGCAAUGAGAAAGAGUAUGCACACCAUCUGCGCUGCCCAUGGGUGGGUGUGUUUUCCUAUUUGUUGAUCGUCAAUCAAUACAUUAUAUAUGUGCCUUACUAAUACUCACCAAUCUACUUCUUCACAAUACAUUUAUAACAUAUGACUUUAGCUAGCUACAUAUUGAGUCCUUGCUCAGGAGCACGAUGUAACUAAUAUUAAAUUUAUCCAUAAAUUUAUUAAAUAAUUAGGCAAAAGUAAAUUGCUUGCUUAGGAUCGAUUGUUUUGUGCUAUAGGCUUUUUGUUGGCUUGGCGGUCGUUGGGCCACCAAACUUAUGAUCGAGUUCAAUUCGAUUGAUCUGCUUGCCUCGUUUUGACAUGAAGAAAUAUUUUACAAGGUCAUCUUUCAUGAGAAUACACGAGCUCAAGAUUAUUAAAGGAGCGUGAAGUACUCUUAUAUGCUUGACUAGCUAUAUUUCCAUAAAUUUGCAAAUUGCAUUAACGGUUGUUUGAUUUGUGAAUAAUCUAUCUUUAAUAAAGAAUCAUUUGUUUUAGAAGUGCCAAAAUUAGAUCCGGCAAACUGGUAAGUCGAGGGUUGAGUUGAAAAUGAUCCGAAUCAAAAUCAACCAAUUUUAUGUGUAAUAUAAAUUUAGUGAUUGGUACGUGACUUAAGAUCAAUUCUAAAUUUAUUUUUUUUCAUUAGAUUAUUGAUUUUUGAGAAAACGAGCGGUUCAUAAAUCGACUCGUUGAAGAAGAAAAAAAAUUAAUUCUCGUUAAAAAUUUAAAAUUCUUUCUUGUUUUUGCUUCAAGUUCUCGUCCCGUGACCCACCGUCGGAACGAGGGCAUGAAAUUUGAUGAAAAGUCCAAGGAGAGAUAAAGGGCGAAGGAUUUAAACCUAACGUGCAGAUCGGACGGUCAGCAGGUUCUAAGCAAAUCGAAUCUAACGGAGGAGACAGCAGCGUCGGCUUAAAGCCAUGUUAGAUAGAAGAAAAAAAGAAAAAGGGAAAAUCAGCGUUGACCACUCCGCAUUUCUUCAAAAUUCUUCCAAAUUUGCAAAUUCCCUAUGGCGGGGGCGCUCGUCGGCGGGGCAUUUCUCUCGGCUUUCCUCCAGGUGCUCUUCGACCGGAUGGCCUCCCGCGAGGUCGUCGACUUCUUCCGGUCGCGCAAGCUCGGCAAGGGGAGGCUGCUGCAGAAGCUGAAGGCCGCGCUCCUGUCCGCGAACGCCGUGCUGGACGACGCGGAGGAGAAGCAGAUGACCAACGACCACGUCAGGAAGUGGCUCGACGAGCUCAAGGACGCCGUGUACGACGCCGACGACCUGUUCGACGAGAUCGCCACUGAAGAUCUGAAGCGCGAAGCCGGGGUCGAGCCUCGGGCUCUCGUUUGUAAGGUCUGGAGCUUUGCUGCAGACGCUCGUAGGAGUAAAUUGGGGGAUGAGUUAGAGAGGGUUCUGGAGAGAUUGGAGAGCGUAGUGAAGCAGAGAGAAGUGCUGGGCCUAGGGGAAGUUAUUCGCGAGAGGACGCCUAGAGUGACGACUUCGUUGGUCGACGAAUCGGGAGUUUUCGGGAGGGAAAAGGACAGGGAGGCGGUGAUCCAGUUGCUCUUGUCAGAUCGGGGCGAAAAGAACACCAGCGUGAUGGCCAUCGUUGGGAUGGGCGGUGUCGGUAAGACCACGCUAUCUCAACUCGUGUUCAACGAUGGUGCGGUGAAGGGGAGUUUCGAGUUGAGGGCGUGGGUUUGCGUGUCCGACCAAUUCGACAUCUGCAAGCUGACGGCGACGGCUCUCGAGGAGUUCUCCUCCUCAUCUAAGAAGGAGACUGAAAAUCUCGACCAGCUUCAGCUCCAACUGAAGAACUUCUUGACAGGGAAGAAAUUCCUAUUGGUGUUGGAUGAUGUUUGGAAUGAGGACUCAAAUCUUUGGGAUGCGUUCCUAGUUCCUUUUAUCUAUGGAGCAAGAGGCAGCAAAUCAUCGUGACGACACGAAAUAAGAGGGUCGCAUCGGUUGCUCGUGCCGUCUCGACAUACCCUUUACGGAAGUUGCAAGACGAGGAAUGUUGGGACUUGUUCACAAAACAUGCGUUUGAUGAGCAUAACUUCGAGGCACACACGAGACUUGAAGACAUCGGGCAAAGAAUUGUAAAGAGAUGUGAUGGAUUGCCUCUUGCGCUGAAGGCUAUAGGUAGCUUGUUACGCUGUGAGUCUGAUAUCAGGGAGUGGGAAAAAAUUGCAGAGAGUUAUAUUUGGAAUUUGGCACCUGCAAAGGAUGGAAUUCUCCCUGCGUUGUUGUUAAGUUAUCAUUACCUUCCUCCACAACUGAAACGAUGUUUUGCCUAUUGUUCAGUCUUCCCAAAGGAUUGUAUAUAUGAGAAGGACCAGCUGAUCUUACUUUGGAUGGCUGAGGGCUUGAUAGAACAGCCCAACGAAAGCGGGACAUUAGAGGAAAGUAGGUGAUCAGUGCUUCCGUGAUCUUGUGUCUAGAUCUUUACUUCAUAGGGUACGUGAUGUCGAAUCAAGCUUUUCAAUGCAUGACCUGGUCAAUGACUUAGCAAGAUAUGUAGCUGGUCGUUCUUUUUUUAGCUUGGAUGGAGGCAAUGCACACCGCGUGUCCUCAAGCACUCGCCAUUUGUCAUUUGUAAGAACUCACUAUGAUGUCGUUUCUAGAUUCAGAGUGUUAGCCGGGGCAAUGAAUUUGCGUACUUUCCUGCCGCUAAACGUGGCUCACGUGAGACUUUGCGAGUACAAUUUGUUGACUGAUGAGGUACUGCAUGUUCUGUUGCCGAGCCUGAGACGGUUAAGGGUGCUAUCUUUGUCUCAUUAUUGGAAAAUCUCAACGUUGCCCAGUUCAAUUGGAUGUUUGAAGCAUUUGCGCUAUUUGAAUCUCUCCUAUAAUGAAAGUCUAAUCAGAUUGCCUGAUUCAGUUACUGCUCUAUACAACUUACAAACCUUAAUUCUUGCUUACUGUCGCUCUCUCAUUGAGUUAUCGAGCAACAUGGGCAGCCUAACCUGUCUACGUCAUCUUGAUAUAAGGGAUACAUCCCUGAAUAGAAUGCCGUUGGGGAUGAACAGACUGAAGGAUUUGCGGACAUUAACUAAUUUCGUGGUGGCCGAAAACGGUGAGACCAGGGUUAGGGAGAUAGGGGAACUAGGGAAUCUUAUGGGUACACUCUCCGUACAGGGUUUGCAAAAUGUUGAUAGUUACCGAGAUGCCGAGAUAGUCAAUUUGCGAGAAAAGAGGUACUUGAAAAAGUUAGUACUGGAAUGGGGUUCUAAUAACAAUAUUACGCAGCAAAAUAACUUAAAUAUAUUGGACAAGCUGCAACCUCAUUGGAACUUGAGAGAGCUUACCAUUAUAUCCUAUAGUGGUAGGUCAUUUUCCGAUUGGCUGGGACACGGUUCAUUCUCUAAUAUGUCAGUUGUUCAUCUUGAAUCUUGCAAGCACUGUGUGUCGUUGCCUCCUUUAGGACAGCUACCAUCUCUGGAGAGGUUGAUGAUCGAAGGAUUUGAUGGAGUUACAAGUGUGGGUACUGAAUUUAAUGGUAGUAACUGUAUAUCUUUCCAGUCACUUAAGUACUUGGAAUUUACUGACAUAUGCAGCUGGAAAGAGUGGGCUUGUUUUGCAAUAGAGACAGGAGGUCUUGCCUUUGCACAUCUGCAGGAGCUUUGUAUUAGAAAUUGCCCGCAGUUGAGUGGAGGUUUACCCAGCCAUCUCCCUUCUCUAACAGCCUUGUCCAUUGGAAGGUGCCCACAGCUAAUGUCUUCUCUACCAUUUGCACCACUUCUCCGUGAGAUCAAAUUGGAUGAUUGUGGAAAGGUCUCUGGAGUUGAGCCCCUCCUAAAUGGCACUGAGUUACGAGAUAUGAAAAUCUGGAAUCUUUCAACCCUUCCCUUGAGGUUUCUUCCUCCUACCGUGAUAUAUAUAUAUAUGUGGGAGCUGCGAUUCACUUAUAUCCUUUCCUCUGGAAAUUUUCCCCUCACUUAAAGAUAUUAAGUUGUUGGGGAUUAAAAAUUUGGAACAUCUUGCAAAUUCAGACGGUUCAUCACUUCUUCUCCAUUCGAUGGCCACAACUCGAGUCAUUUCCCGAGCGGGGUCUACCCUCCAAGUUGGUCGAGCUUUCACUCUUUGAUUGUGACAAGCUCAUCACUGGCCGCAAGGAUUGGGGUCUUCAAUCGCUAUGCUCUCUUGGAACUUUUUCCAUUCGGGGAGAGAAAAAUAUAGUCAUUUCCUGAGAUAGGGCUUCUGCCAACCUCUCUUACCUCUCUGCAUAUCUCUUUCUUUGAGAAUCUGACUUCCCUGAACUCCAGAGCGCUUCAUAGCCUGAGCUCCCUUGAAAACCUCUCCAUUAUCGGAUGUCCUAAGCUCCAUUCCUUCCCAAAAGAGGGACAAAUUCUGCCCGCUUCUCUUACCUCUCUGUCGAUUUAUUUUACGGGUCUAAAAUCACUGGAUAACUUAGGGCUCCACCACCUCACUUGUCUCAAAGAAUUUCGCAUAGAUUUCUGCUUCAAUCUUCGAUCCAUGCCAGCGGAGGGCUUGUCAUCCUCCCUUUCCAAUCUAUUUAUCAAUAAGUGCCCUAUGCUGGCGAAAAGAUGCCAGCGGAAGAAAGGGAAAGAUUGGCCCCUAGUUUCGCACAUUCGCUGCAUCGUGAUUGAAGGUGUGCUCGUCACAUGAUCGAAUAUCUUGCUUUACAAUCCCUCCUUUUACCAAGAUCUCACUCAGGUAUCUCCCUUGGCCCUACACUAAGUAAGCCAUUUAUUUAUUCAGGACAUACUUCGGUCGCUCUGUGCUAUCCUUCCAGCUAAUGCAAAUCAAAAUCUGGCGUGUGUGUUGGACCGUUUCCCUAAUGUAUCUCCGGCUGAAGCACUCGACGUCACGUGGCGCAAUGUGAGCUGCAGCCGGUAGCCGGUGCGCGGCAAUACGUCCAAUUUUUGGUUGUUUGAGGAUUAGCGGGAGCUCUAAUUAAGGAAAGGUCCUGCCAAUUCUACUACUUCUGCGGAGAGUAGUUGAAUUACCGAGAGGGAAGCUUGGAAGCUAUCCGAGCGGCCUGUUGUGGCAAUCGGUUGACGCCUGCUCAGUAGCAGAGGAGAGUUUCGAAAGUGGAGGGGACAAGCAUAGGAAAUUCGUGCAAAAUCUUGGUUUAUGAGAUGGGGAUGCGGAGAGUGAUUUUUGGUGAAAUUUAAAAGAAGAUAGCAUAGGAAGUAGAAAAUGAGCCGAACACCUAGCAGGUGGGCCGCGUGGGUUUGGGGCAUCCGGAGAACACAGACCGGAUAUUUAGAAGGGAUAACUAUUGUACAAGCAUCUUCUCGAAUGUGAGCUUUGCAGACUGGAUUGGUAUCUGUCAGGUUUAUAUCUUCACCGGGAUGAAGAAGAAUUGCAGAGAGAGAGAUCAUAGAGAAGCAUCAUUUGAUUAUUUACUGUUGCUCUUCUUUUUCCCAGUGGGUACAUGCAUCUGUUGUUUGCAGUGUUAUUAGCCGGGGAUGUCAGCAUUUCCUAGUCAACUCAGUCUGAGAUCUGGUGCUUUAGCAGCAAACUAGUUAAGUUCUACCAUGAAUGGAGUUCAUUUGGUUGUAUCUACCUUAAAUGUUAAGUCGUCAUUCCCUGGCAGAAUUACGUGAAAAGAAGUAGAUGUUUGUUUCUCUUUGUGAGGAAGAAGUUUCAAUGUCUGAGUCCGGUUAAUUAGAUUCCUAGGACUUGACAAUAAUUGGUCACUGCACUGCACUGAAGCCUGUUAUUUGACAGGAAUCUCUUCCUCAUCCUCUUCUUCUUCCUCCAUUUCUUUGGACUGUUGGAGCAGAUUGUCUAGUGAUAUUUUUCAUGUGUUUACUGAUUAUCUAAGAUGCACAGUUAAGCAUUUAUUCUGUCAUGAUACAUCAUUGCGACGAAUUUUUCCAGUAACUGUUGCUGUUAGAUCGGUGUUGUUAAUAAAUUGUGCUGUUCAUGAACUCGGACAUAUUUUUCCUGGACUAACACUCAGAGAUCCGAAUUUGUUAGCAGGUCAUUAAGUAUGGUUUUGUCAUACUGUUCAAUGUUACGAUUUGGGGAUGUUAUGUCAACAGCCUAAAGAGUCUCUCGUCUCUUCAAGCCACAGUUACGAACUUCUCGACAAAUUUCCUCGCUUCUGGAUUAGCUGGGUUCUUUUUGUUUGAUGAGUCAUUGAGAUACCAGAUACUACGAUUAACUAUUUUCCUGCCCUGUUCUGCAAAGUUAUGUACUUCAAGGUUUGAUUUUUUAUUGUGUUUAAAACAAGAGGCGAGCUCUUAUUGUUAUACCUGGAACUAUCAAAAGUAUUUUUCACAUACACAAGUAAUAUCAUGACUGCAUUUAGUUCCCUCGAGAGAACAAUUCUCCCUAUGGAAUCGGAACUGGUAAUCUUGAAAGUGGCAAAUAGGCCAAAAGUUGGGAGUCAAAUUAUGCCAUAGAUAACUUCCGAGUUUAUUAUCUCAUGAAUGCAUUGAGGGUAAUUAUGCCAUCAUAAGUGGGGAGCAACAGCAUGGAGAAGGAUUUUAUAUUUCAGAUGAAAGCUUCUGAGAUCAAUGUGGUUGCUAAAGAACAGAGCUAGUUUGCUUCAUGCAAACCUGUUGUUCAGGGAUUCUUGGUGUAGUCUCCAGCCUGUGAUAAAAGGCAUUGAGUACUUCCUAGUUCCUGAUAAUGACUCAAGUUUAGGUUUAAUCAUUGCUAUCUUGACUCGCAUUAUGGUUGUGAUAUGGUUGUGAAAUUGUGAUUGAAAGGAGGCAAUGAUUUUUGAGAUUCUCACUCCACUUAGUCUAUGAAUGCAGAUUUCACGAAAUUCACAUAAGUCCCGUUCUUAGUGGUUUGCAGGUGCACUUCUUAUAGUGAUUGGUGUGCUAAUUCUUGCAAAUCAAGUUUUGAGAAGAAAAGUAGAGUUGAUUGAAAGUUCUCAGUUCAUGAGAGAUACCAUAUGCCAUGCUUGAAGGUUGCCCCCUUUUGCUACAGGCAACAGUUGCCCUGCUUCUCUGGUUUAUGUUUUUCUUUCCCUUCUCUCUUUUAAGUGCCCGAACUGCCUGUACUCAUUUAUCUUUUGUGGAUUUGCAGGUGACUUAUAAAUGAGAAGUUACAUUCUCGUGCCACUCUCAAGGAAGGAAAAAAAGGAAGUUGAGAAUUGAGGAUAGAAGAGUGUUUCCUUCCUGGCCGGUCAUUCCGCGUGAAUGAUCAUUACUUGCUGUGACUGGCAGCACAGCACCAAGGUUGCUAUGUUGUUAAUGCCAGGAUUGCUAUGUUACUGUUAAUGGUGACUGUAAGAUAUAGCCACAAAGCAAGCUGCAAAGAAGGCAGAUUUGUGUUUGGCGAUGGGAUCCUAUCCCACCUUUUCACCAUACCAAACGAGUAAGGCUGAACGUGUCGUGCGCGCUUUGAGAGCAUAAAGCUAAGACCCAACAAAGAUCAUCUUUACAUUAAUAUAAAUCAAGGUCUUAAUGUGAGCUUAUACCGACAUGUGCUAUAACGUAAUAGAAAACUUGCGGAGGAUUUAAUGGACAUCGUGCGUUACGGGGCCAAGGUUGUCUUCUAACUCACCUCGACCCGAACUGCUCUUGCUAUAAGACCCUCCAUUCCUUUUGCCCCUUAUUAAUUCAUAAAAUAUGAAAAAAAAUAAAAAUCGAUGGAUGAUUUUUUUCUUUUAAUAGACUUCAUGGAUUAUAUUUUCUUCACUUGAUGUUUUUGUCGGAUUGAAAUUUUAUGGAAAAAAAGAUUCUUAUUUUCAAUUUCUGCUUUGACAAAAGAGAAAUGCAUGAGUUAGAUCUUUCAAUUACUUUGUGGAAAAGUUAGUUAUGCCAUAGCGUGUAGUACUCAUUAAUUUGAUUGGAUAAUGAAAAUAUAUCAACUGGUGAGGUGCCAUAGAUGAAAUCAUGUCGUAGUACUAUUGCUAUUGUGGUAAAGGAAAUGGUACCUUUUCCUCGGAAAACUUUGUUACUUGAAUGAUCUAAAACAUGACAACGCGUGGCCAAAGUAAUAGUUUUUCUCAUUACCAACCUAAACUUAAAAUUUGUAAAAUCAAUUCGGUGAAAAGAUUGGUGCACCAAAUUUAUUGGCUAUCUUGAAAAAUUAGAUUUGUGAGGAAGGGGUGUCUGCCUCAAAGUGUGGAUUUUUUGCUGGCACAAUAAAAUAAUCAGGCCACCUAAGCAUUUUUUGGGGUUAAUUUAUUAUAUUCAUGUUAAUGAGUUUAUAAUGCAGCAUUGUAACAUGACGUGAGAAUACAGUAAUUUUAAGUGUGUUUAUUUCGCGAAAAUUGAAUGAUUUGAAAAAUGUUUUUUUAAAAAUAAUCGCUUAAAAUAAUUAAUGAAUGGAAAAUAUUUUUCAUUGUUCAUGAAAAUAUUUAGGAAUAAAAUUAUCAAUAAUAAAAAUAUUUUUAAUUGAUUAAUUAUUUUAAAUAAUAUAAACGCAAGCCUUCACGAGAAAACAUGGCUUACUUUUUCCAUUUUUCAUUUAACUGUCACCGUUCAGAUAAGACUUCCCCGACAAAUGGGCUCGAGGCGCGAAACUGAGGAUGAAUCAGGACCGUUACUCGAAGGCAACGGGCUCACCGACUAAAGUGCGUCCGCGCACACCGGAUGGCGGCUCACCGUCUCUCUCCUUCGCAUUUUCCCGCCAGAAACCCAUCCCCCUCGACCGCCAAAUCUCUCUCCCUCUCUUCCCCUUCCCUUACCUAAAUCCUCACUCGCGAGGCUCUCUCUCUCCCUGUGCCGCCCUCUCCCUGUCACUCCGGUGAAGCGAAGCCAUGAAGGACCUCGACUUCAAGGGCGACAAAGGUCAGUCCCUCUCUCUCUCUCUCUGUGGCGUUGUGUUUUCGUGGGUAUGCGUGGAAUUUAAUCCGGGAUCCAAUUUGAUGUUGUGAUGAUGCCGACAGCGAUCGCGAAGGAUUUCCUCUCGAACUUCGCCGACGCGAAUGGAGAAGCCAAGUACAUGAACGUCCUCGUAAGUUCCUCCUCUCUCGACUGUCCUUUUUAUACUCGGACAUCCCUUUAAGCGCUGUAGAAUUGAGGCGAAAUCAAUGUUAAAGGUGCGUGCUUGAUCGCACGUCGUGCCCAAUCCUUUUCUGUUGUCCAUGAACUGCGGCUGCGGAGUCUCUUCCGUGUGCAAUAAUGCUCCAGUACUUAUAAAAUGAUUAACCCUAGAUUUUACAUUUGAGUCGAGCGUAGUUCCCUUUUUAUUUGCAAUUUAAAUGGCUCGCAUGAGGGUCGCCAUUCCUGAUUUCAGCAAGAAGUUGCAAAUCGAAAAAUUCGUGAUAUCCGUUUUAUUAUUCCAUGAUAUCUUUCAUUCAUAAGCUAUAUGUUUAAAAUAGAUAGUAAUUAGCUAAAUAAUCGGUGACACCAAAUAUUAAAUAUUUACCUAACAUCAUCAUACUAUAAAGUUACUUUCGAUUCCGAGUAAUAAAAGCAGCACACAUCCUCUCUCUCUCUCUCACUCACUAACACAGUGGUCGAGGCGUCAGACGUGGUCGAGGCCCCCCUCAUUGUUGCAUGGCUGCUCCCGCUGGCCUGGCUCAUGAGCCGGAGGGGCCGGCAAGUGGAUGAUAGGUGCCGCAAGAUGAAGCAGCUGCUGCAAUUGGCUUCGGAAGAAGCCGUGCGAGUCAAGCUCAAGGCGUCGAUCGUGUCGUGGAUAGGCCUGAUUGAGGCCCUCAUCCUCUGCAUCAUAUGGCUGCUACCACUCGUGGCAUUUUUUCGUCCAGAGGAGUCGGUGAUGAUCGGUCGAGAGGAGCUCCAGGAUCGAGCGGCUUCGGGAGCUCGGAGGGCCAAGACCAGAGGCUCCAUCGGGUACACAACGUUGUCUCUUCCUUUACUACUAUCACUGUCCCGUUUGCUAUGGAUGCGAUACAUAUAGAUGCUCACACUGUCUGGUGAUGCGGUGCUAGUGAUUUCGAUAGUUUGAUAUCUAACUCCACUAUGUACAUGUUAGUUAUUUAGGAAUAAUCAAUCAGUCAUGGCGUUUGGUAUGGUCGAUGAACAAUCACUAGCGAAAAAAAUACUAAUGUCUAAUUUGAUUAUGUACAUACUAGUCAUUUAGGCAUAAUCAAUCAGUCAUGGCAUCUGGUGUAUGAUCAAUAAACAAUUACUAGAGAAAUUUCCGUUGUUUAUUACAACAUUUCUUAUAUACAUUUGUCUUACCGUCGUCACUCGCCCAUGGUUGCUCUCGGUCGCGACCAACUCUCGUUGCCAUGGAGGGAGAGAGAAGGGCCGUGGCGACUGAGGGGACUGUGGGGACUGUGGGGACCGCGCUCCUGAAUUCGAGCAAUUCUCGAGACGGAGUCUAAGCUCGAAUAUGUCCGCGAAGGACGCGAUUUUCUUCGCUGCUGCGGCUAACGAAGUGGAAUCCUUACGCGAAAUCGCGUCGGGAAGUCCCACCACCAAGUACGAACCUGUCUCUUCGCUGAUGGAUCCUCCCGAUCCGCGGAAGGAGUCGAAGUCGAAGUUCGCCGUCGUCCGUUGUUCGCGACCACCCCACUCUCAAGAUUCUCCAUUCAGCCACGGGUCCAAUUCUUCGCUGCCGGCGAUCGUAACUCGUUCCUACCAAAAUCUCAAGGGAGAUUUGACUACCAACGUCUCUCUCGUCUAGCGGUCUGUGUCUCUCCCUCUUCCCUCGAGCUUGCUCUAUGAUCAUGGGAUAGCGUGCGGGUCAAUGCUUCGCUUCGCUCCUCCGCUCGUAAGAAGGAAAGGAAAAAAAGAGCGAAAAAGAGAGGGAAAAUCACAAAAAAGAAAAGGAAAAAAAUAAAAGGGAAAAUAGGGAAGUUCCCAGGUGUGGUAGUUUGUUAGGGGCGUUGGCGGAUGAUGUGCCCACUUAACAUUUUGGAUCAUCAUCUCUACUGCGGUGAAUCAUUCAUCAUCGAAUGAGGAGAGACUUGUGUCUGUGGAGACAUACAUGCCAUUCAUGAUCUAAUCUACUUAAAAUAUGCUUGAUGAUUGUGCAUUUGUUCAAGCUUUAAUGUGAUGAUAACUACAAAGGACAUAUAUGUUUCGCCAGGGGAGCUUCAAAUAUGCAAAUGUCAAUGUUAAUUGCAAAAUCUUUCUGCUUGGAAAGCCUGCUAGCCCUCACUAGCCAAAAUGAAAAGAGGAAAAAAAAUUAAAAAAUUUCCACGUCAACGCGAGUCACGCCUUAUAAGAUAGCCAACUUUUAAAUCAAUGGAUUGGACUCAAUUUUCACAAAUAUAAAAAAAUCAAUGGUUAAAUUAAUCUAAUCUAAAGAUUUAAAAGUGAAUUGGUAUUAAUAUAAUAUGUUUAAAUUUUUUUUUAGUACUUUUCCCUUAAUUGUCAUUUCAAUCUUUUUGAUACAACACAAAAUUGUUCCAUGAAAUGUCACAUCACAAAAUUGAAGAACACUACAAAUAAGUAAAAAUCAUAAAAUUGAAAAAUAAACAUCAAAUAUGAAAAACAAAAAACAAAGAAAAGGAUGAAGUCUGCCAAGAGACGAGAGCUUGGGAAUGGAGAAAUAAUGGGGGUUUAUAUGCCGCCCCAAUAAGGGCUGGCGAUCCUCGUCGAGGUCCUAUCGAGGGCAGUGAGCCCUCACACGAUAGUUGUUGCAAUAACCAUCACCAUCAUUGGGCCCUGGCAAGGGUCUAUCCAACAAAUUUUGCCCCACUGCUGCGAGGGGCAUUACCUCCGUCCAUCUCUAGGCGAGUCGCCCUCACGGAUGCAAAGCCGCCCCCUCAUUGCCCCUAACAUUUUUUACUUUUCUAAAAUCAUUUCAAUCCUUUCUUUUUUUUAAUAUUUAUGCUAUUUCGAUCCUUUUUUUUUUUUUUUCCUUUUUAGCAUUUGUCUUUUUGACGCGGUGCCUAUUCGACACCAAGAGAAGAAGAGUGAACUCUCCAUUUUUGGGUCCACCAUUGGCUUUCUUUAUGAUUAUCUUAGGAUGGUUUGACAGUCCCAUUCUCAGGAGGAAUUGGGGUGGGGACGAUUUCGUGGGUUUCGACUCCCACGCCCUGUAAGGAGGUAAGGACAAAAGCCUGAGAGUGAGUGUUAGAAUAGGAUUAUAGUAGGACUGACAAAAAAAAAAAAAAAAACUUAAUUUGACCAAUUUUUUUGCCUCUCUUUCUUUUUCCACUUUUUCCAAGAAGCUUCACGAAAGCAUCUCGGGUCAUUAGUUUCGUCGAAUUUAAUGUCUGAAAAGGAAACUCCACGGCUUCUUGCAAUACCCGUCCUUGAUUUCCUUUGAAAUGAAGUUGCUCUCGAGGAAACCCUCCUCGAAGUAGUACUCAGGGCUGUCAAAUGAUUGGUUCGAAAAUGGUUAAGCCCUAAUUGAUCCAUGUAAUUUUGAUAAAAAAAUUACCUAUAUAACUUUUUUUUUUACUCAUUUAUAUGAAAUACAAAGUUAAUGUCCCAAUAUAGAGCCAUAAUUUUGACUGACGGAAGUGAAAUUUUCACUGUUAUGCAUCUUAAAUUUUUUUUUAAUAUUUGUUACUAAUAGGUAUUUCAAAUGAAGUCAACUCAAUAAAUUAGUAAAAAAAAUUACAGAAGACUGAAAGAAAAUUAACUCAACUAAAAUAGAAUAACUACUCAAAGAACAUUUUAAAAAAAAACAAAAGUAAGAGUACAAAAAUUGCCAAAACAUCAUUACAAAUGAUAAAUUGAAGAAUUAAAAAUGGCAAAAAUUGAUACACCCCUUCCGUACAAAGAGUGCUUAGGCCCUUUCAAUCUUUUCUUUUAAUUGGGGAGAGUGGGGAAGCAAUAACACUUAGACCGCCAACUUUUUUGAGAUUAGUGCAUUUAAAAUUUUAAACUCAUGGCAGAAGUGUAACUGAAUUUUAAAAUUUAAGAUAAUAUAAUCAAGUAUGAAAUUUUGCAAUCAAAAUUGAAGAUGCUUAAAAUAUUACUCUAGUAGAAAUCAUCAAUAUGUGUUGUGUUGAAUGUUAAACGCAAAACAAAACCUGAAAGUAUGAUACCACUCAUUUAGAGUCACUUAGGCAUUAUAAUUUUUUUUUUGGGUUGAAAUUUAGACAACAUUUCAAUAAGCAGAUUUGAUAAUUGUAAUGUCCCAACAAUCGUUUCAUCAAAUAUGUGAUGGAUGGAAAGUGUAGAAAAGAAGUAAAAAAAGAAUAAAUGCACACAACAAUUUUUUUCAUAGUGUGAUUGUUUAGAUAUAACUGAACUUGUUGACCGAAAGCAACAUAAGUGUCCAUCGGGUGUCUGGAUUGCAACGCUAAUGCUACUACAUGGCUACUAGAUGUUCUCUUUGAGAGAAAAUAUUGAAUAUACAAGUUGUGUUAGUGUAACAAAUUAAAAGCUCAUCCAUUGAGCGACAUGUGUUCUUAAAAAACGCACUUGAAGUGGGAACGCUCAUGUUUCAAUAUGGCAUGCAAGUCGCUCUCUCGAGGAAACCCUCUUCCUAAGUAGCACUUGGGCUACCGAAUGGUGGAUUGGUUCGAAAAUGAUUAGACUCUAAUUGACCCAUGUGAUUUUGAUUAAAAAUAAUCAAUAUAACCUGUUUUGACUCAUUUAUAUGAAAUACGAACUUAAUGUUCCAUAAUAGCGCCACAAUUUUGAGUGGUGGAAGUGAAAUUUUCACUAUUAUGCAUCUAAAUUUUUUAAUUAAUAUUUGUUACUAAUAGGUAUUCCAAAUAAAGUCAACUCAAUAAGUUUUCUAAUUUUUCAAUUAAUAUUUUUACAAUAGGUAUUUUAAAUAAAAUCAACUCAAUAAGGUUUCUUUUUUUUAAUUAAUAUUUGUUACAAAUAGGUAUUUCAAAUGAAGUCAACUCAAUAAAUUAGUAAAAAAAUUACAGAAAACCGAAAAAAUUAACUCAACCAAAUUAGAAUAAGUACUCAAACUACCUUUAUUUUAAAAUAUAAGUAAGAGUGCACAAAUUGCCAAAACAUCAUUACAAAUGAUAAAUGGAAGAAUUAAAAAUGAUAAAAAUUGAUGCACCCCUUCCAUACAAAGAGUGCUCAGACCGUCAACUUUUAUUUAGAGAUUAGUGCAUUUAAAAUUCUAAACUCAUGGCAAAAGUGUAACUGAAGUUUAAAAUUUUAGAUAAUAUAAUCAAAUCUGAAAAUUUACCAAAUUGAAGCAAUCAAAAUUUAAUAUGCUUAAAAUAUUACUCUAAUAUAAAUCAAUAAUAUGUGCUGUGUUGAAUGCUAAGCGCAAAACAAAUCCUUGAUAUGUGAUAUCACUCAUUGAUUGUGUAGAAUUUAGGCAACAUUUUUUUUUGGGUCGAAACUUAGGCAACAUUUCAAUAAGUGGAUUUGAUAAUUACAACGAUCCGCAUAAUUGUUUCAUCAAUAUGUGAUGGAUGGAAAGUGAAAAAAAUAAAAAUAAAAAAAGGAGUAAAAAGAGAAUAAAUAUGCAACAUUUUUUUUUUCAUAGUGUAAUUGUUUAGGUAUUAUUGAACUUGAUGUUGACCGAGAGCAACUAAAUUUCCACCAAUUGUCCGGAUUGCAGCAUUAAUGCUACUACAUGUUCUUUGGGAGAAAAUAUUGGUUGUGCAGGUUGUGCCAGCGCAACAAAUUGAAAGCUUAUCCAUUGAGGAACAUGUGCUCAUCUUCUUGCCCUUUCUCUAUUCUCCCAUUGCUUUCUUCGUUCUUUUUGCAAGCCACAGAUGGUCUCUCUCCUCCAUAAACCCCUUCUCCUCCUUCGGCCCUCCCCCUCACUUGCACGGGGCACGAUAAUGUCAUUCACCCGGCUCUCCUUCACUUGAGCUCGACCUUUGUGCCUCCCCCACUAACAACAGCUCCACCAUUGAAAUCGUCCGCUGCCCUGCGGCCCUCGGAUCCAAGAACAAGCCUAAGUCUCCCGUGCUCAUUGUCAUCACUCAUGACCCCGAGCCCCUGCAUCCUUGAGAUCUUAUGUGCUCCGAGUCAUCCCUCCCUCCAUAGCUUCCGGAUCUAACAAGGGCUCAGUCCUUGCCAGAUUCAGCGUGAGCGACCCUUACCCUAGCUGGGAGAGUCAACCCCCACCAAAUCCCCUCAUCAGAUUCGGCGAGAGCAACCCUAGCUUGUGGCCAGUCACCGGCCACAACCAAGUACUGGCCAUAGGUCAAAGGGAAAGAAAGUAAUUAAAAAAGAAGAAGAAGAAGAAGAAGGGAGAAAUGGCAAAGAAGAAGAAGAGAAAUGGAGGUGGGAGUCUGUGAGAGGAGAGAAACAAAGGAAGAGUAGCCUGAUAAGUAAGCUUUUUAUGGACACAUAUUGCUCAAUGGAUGGGCUUUCAAUUUGUUGCGUUGGCACAACUUGUGCGGUCAAUAUUUUCUCCAUGUCUUAGUAGGGUUUAAAAAUAAGUAAAUGCUCAGCCCACGAACGCAUACAUGUCCAUACACAUGUUUUCAGAAUUUUAUUAAUAUCAGCUAUACGAGAUUGUGCUAUAAUAUAAUAACACAAAGAGGCCUAGAAUCGGAAAAGCUCACCUAGAGAAACCCCGCAUUAUCUUCAAUCAAACCCCUGGAAUGGGAAUGGAAGCUUUCUUGGCAUCGUUUGGUUGAUUGGAGCGAGGUGGAAUGGAAAUAAAAAUGGGGAAUAAAAAUUGCUUCAUUACUGCAUAUUUCGUUAACACGCGGGAAAGUGGAAAUGAGCGAUAAGGCAUGGGAAUGAGUUGACAGUCAAGGGUAAAUUGACAUGUGCACUAAGCUUCGUAUUUGAUAACUGUUGUUUGGACAUAAUAUGGCAAACAUACUUACCUAAUUUACUAUUAUAUAGCAAUUUGAAAAGAUAAAAUUCCACCCAUUACUACAUACGUUCCAAUUCCGAUGUAUUAUCAAAUGCAGUGAUAUUCAAAUCAAUUGCUAUUCUGAUUCACUACAAGCAAUUCCAUUCCCCUCUAGUUAUCUCAUGCUUAUGUAACAAAUGGGUCAAAGAAACAAUUUAGAACUCGUAUGGACCACAUCCUCAUCUAAAAUUAAGAACAAAUCAAAGUGCAUGAACCGCAAAAAUUAGGACCAUGAGCGCACGCAUGUCUAGUCUAUCUAAUUCUUGUUAAAACUCAUAAAAACAACAAUCAAAACAGAAAAAUUUCUGUUUUUGAGAGAGAGAAAAGAUAUAAAAAAAAAAAAAACAGAGCACUUCAUACGUCUUGUGCUUAAAAAAAACUGUCGAGUACAACCACUAAAUACAAAACAAAAACUGUUCACAUACGUGCAACACAUAACUGCACACAAACGUGCUAUUAACUUCCUAGAAAAUAGCAAAAACACUAAAUACGUAACUAAAUGAACUUGGCUGUUUUUUAAUAAAAAAAACAGAGUAAAACAGAGUAAAAAGAAAACUGAAAACAGCAGAAAACAGAGACAUUAUAAUCCAACAAACUUCUCCUUGGAUCAGUUGCUGCUGCAUACUCCAAUUUUCUUUCUUAAUACUUCAAAUCUUCCUGCUUGAAGUGGUUUUGUGAACAUAUCUGCAAGCUGAUCUUCAGAUCUGCAAUAGACCAACUUAACUUCGCCACUUUGUUGCACCUCAUGCAAAAAGAAAAAUUUGACUUUGAAAUGCUUGGUUUUGCCAUGGAAAACUGGAUUCUGAGAUAUUGCUAACGCCGCCUGAUUAUCCACAUUAACUUCAAUGCAAUCACUAGAAUUCAACCACAGAUCCUUCAUUAUCUUUUUCAGCCACAAAGCUUGAUUUGCANNNNNNNNNNNNNNNNNNNNNNNNNNNNNNNNNNNNNNNNNNNNNNNNNNNNNNNNNNNNNNNNNNNNNNNNNNNNNNNNNNNNNNNNNNNNNNNNNNNNNNNNNNNNNNNNNNNNNNNNNNNNNNNNNNNNNNNNNNNNNNNNNNNNNNNNNNNNNNNNNNNNNNNNNNNNNNNNNNNNNNNNNNNNNNNNNNNNNNNNNNNNNNNNNNNNNNNNNNNNNNNNNNNNNNNNNNNNNNNNNNNNNNNNNNNNNNNNNNNNNNNNNNNNNNNNNNNNNNNNNNNNNNNNNNNNNNNNNNNNNNNNNNNNNNNNNNNNNNNNNNNNNNNNNNNNNNNNNNNNNNNNNNNNNNNNNNNNNNNNNNNNNNNNNNNNNNNNNNNNNNNNNNNNNNNNNNNNNNNNNNNNNNNNNNNNNNNNNNNNNNNNNNNNNNNNNNNNNNNNNNNNNNNNNNNNNNNNNNNNNNNNNNNNNNNNNNNNNNNNNNNNNNNNNNNNNNNNNNNNNNNNNNNNNNNNNNNNNNNNNNNNNNNNNNNNNNNNNNNNNNNNNNNNNNNNNNNNNNNNNNNNNNNNNNNNNNNNNNNNNNNNNNNNNNNNNNNNNNNNNNNNNNNNNNNNNNNNNNNNNNNNNNNNNNNNNNNNNNNNNNNNNNNNNNNNNNNNNNNNNNNNNNNNNNNNNNNNNNNNNNNNNNNNNNNNNNNNNNNNNNNNNNNNNNNNNNNNNNNNNNNNNNNNNNNNNNNNNNNNNNNNNNNNNNNNNNNNNNNNNNNNNNNNNNNNNNNNNNNNNNNNNNNNNNNNNNNNNNNNNNNNNNNNNNNNNNNNNNNNNNNNNNNNNNNNNNNNNNNNNNNNNNNNNNNNNNNNNNNNNNNNNNNNNNNNNNNNNNNNNNNNNNNNNNNNNNNNNNNNNNNNNNNNNNNNNNNNNNNNNNNNNNNNNNNNNNNNNNNNNNNNNNNNNNNNNNNNNNNNNNNNNNNNNNNNNNNNNNNNNNNNNNNNNNNNNNNNNNNNNNNNNNNNNNNNNNNNNNNNNNNNNNNNNNNNNNNNNNNNNNNNNNNNNNNNNNNNNNNNNNNNNNNNNNNNNNNNNNNNNNNNNNNNNNNNNNNNNNNNNNNNNNNNNNNNNNNNNNNNNNNNNNNNNNNNNNNNNNNNNNNNNNNNNNNNNNNNNNNNNNNNNNNNNNNNNNNNNNNNNNNNNNNNNNNNNNNNNNNNNNNNNNNNNNNNNNNNNNNNNNNNNNNNNNNNNNNNNNNNNNNNNNNNNNNNNNNNNNNNNNNNNNNNNNNNNNNNNNNNNNNNNNNNNNNNNNNNNNNNNNNNNNNNNNNNNNNNNNNNNNNNNNNNNNNNNNNNNNNNNNNUGUAGGUUGUUUUUCGAACUGUGCUGUUCUGCACUCUUUCCUUCCAUCCAAAUCACUCAUCUCCUCUAGAAAAACAACAUAUCUGCUUACAGUCACUUUCUCUGUCAUAGGGUGAAAAAUUCUGUAAGCCUUUGAUUGGAGACUGUACCCAAUGAAGAUUCCAAGCUCUGCUUUCUUAUCCCAACAUGUCCCUCUUGACCUCAGGAACAUGAGUGUAACACAAAUACCCAAAAACCUUCAAAUUUUUCACAGAAGGUUUAACACCAUACCAGACUUCAAAAGGUGUUGACCUCUCUAAGGCCUUUGUGGGCAAUCUGUUCAACAGGAACACUACAGUAUUAGCUGCUUCAGCCCAGAACUUCUUAGGCAACAUCUUCUCAUGCAUCAUACAUCUGGCCAUCUCCAUAAUACUUCUGUUUUUCCUCUCACUGACCUCAUUCUGUUGAGGUGAAUAGGGAGCAGUGAACUGCUGCACAAUUCCUGCUUGCUCACAAUUCAACUUAAACUUGUGAGCAGUAUACUCAGAACCAUUAUCAGACCUGAGCAUUUUAAUUUUCUUCCCACUCUGAUUCUCAACUAAGGCUUUAAACUUCACAAACACAUCAGCAACUUCAGACUUGGCUCGCAGAAAAUAAAUCCAACUCAUCCUAGUCAUAUCAUCAGUGAAGGUAAUGAAAUACCUGCUACCAUUGAGAGAAGACUCAGACAUAGGUCCACAUAGAUCUGUGUGGACUAAUUGCAGCUUCUCACAUGCUCUCCAGCCUCCUCCUUUGAAAGGAAAUAUGACUUGCUUGCCAAGAAGACAAGUUCUGCACUGUGGAAAUUCCUCCUCCAAACUUGGCAAGUCAUCUGCCAAGCUAUUUCUCUGCAUAAACGACAUGCUCUUCCUGUGAACAUGCCCAAGUCUUUUAUGCCAUAUCUCUGCAUUUUCUUCUUUGCACUUUAAAGCCAUUUGUUGCAUCUCUUGUGGCUUGAACAUGAAACUCUUGUCCUUCAUUGGGAUUCUUAGCACUUCUUUGCUAUCUGCAUUAUUAAUAAGACAUUCCUUCCCUUCGAACUUCACUUUAUAGCCCUUCUCAACUAAUUGACCAACACUUAACAAAUUAUGGUCAAUAUUUGGCACAAAAAGAACAUCACUGAUCAGCUUCACCUCCUGAUUUCCUUCAAUAGCCACUGUACCCUUCCCUUGCACUUCGAUAUACUGUCCGUUGCCAAUUCUGACUCUGGACCUGACUGACCUGUCUAGAAUCCUAAACAGCUUCGAAUUGCCAGUCAUAUGAUUGGUACAGCCACUAUCCACCAACCAUGCAUCAUUCCCAAUAGAAGAUUCAGAAAAAAGAAGCUACAAACAAGUGCUCUUCCUUAGUUUCAUUCACUGCUACCUGGGCUUUUCCUGCUUGCUGGUAAUUUUUUUUCUUUGCAGAUGGCUUCCAUGUGACCCAACUUGUGACAUGUUCUGCAUCUAGCAUCAGGCUUUCUCCAACAUCUAAAAAACUGAUGAUUAGUUCCACCACAGUAUUGACAAGGCUUUUUGUUCAUCUUCCAUUUGCUAGACCCACCAAAAUUUCCUUCUUUUGCUACAAACUUGGAGUCACCAGGAUUUUCUCUAGACUGAAUCCAUUUCUUCCCUUUGCCUCCAUCAUUUGACUUCACUUUAGCUUGCAGCGCACCCUCUACAAACUCUUCUUUUCUCAUCAAUCUUCUGUGCUCCUGUGCCUGCAGAGCAUUUAACAAUUCUGCAAGCUUUAUAUCAGCUAAGUCUCUUGUAUUUUCCAGAGAUGCUAUGGUGGCUUCGAACUUCUCUGGAAGAGACACCAGGAUCUUCUGAACAAGCCUUUCAUCCUUCAAGGCAGUCCCUAAAACUCUGAUUUUUUCAGCUAUCCCAACCAACCUAUCAAAGUACUCCUUCACUGACUCUGAAUCCUUCAUCUGCUGUCUCUCAAACUCCCUCAAGAGAUUCAGCACCUUCAUGCCUCUUAUCUUCUCAUCUCCCUCGUAUUCAUCCUUCAAGAAAUCCCAUAUUGCCUUUGCAGAAUCACAUCUCAUGAUCCUUGUGAAGAUAGUGGGUGAAACAGCAGCGUACAGGCAUGACUUUGCCUUGGCCUUCCUUGUGAUUCUCUAUUUAUGGUACUUUAUCUGAUUCAAGGUCGGAUUGUCUGGAAGUGGAGCAACCUCAUAAUCAUCUACCACAGCCUCCCAUAAAUCAUGACCCUCCAAGAAUGCCGUCAUCUUGACAGCCCAAGCCUGAUAAUUUUCCCCAGAAAAGACUGGAGUUGCCAUUGCAGAGAAUCCACUCGAUCCUGCCUCCAUCAGCUUUUUCUUUGCAAAUCGGAAGCAAUCUUCACUCAAUUACCCUCACUUCACAGUCCCUUAAGAUCCCACAAACGCUCUGAUACCAAUGUUAAAACUCAUAAAAACAACAAUCAAAACAGAAAAAUUUCUGUUUUUGAGAGAGAGAAAAGAUAUAAAAAAAAAAAAAAACAGAGCACUUCAUACGUCUUGUGCUUAAAAAAAACUGUCGAGUACAACCACUAAAUACAAAACAAAAACUGCUCACGUACGUGCAACACAUAACUGCACACAAACGUGCUAUUAACUUCCUAGAAAAUAGCAAAAACACUAAAUACGUAACUAAAUGAACUUGGCUGUUUUUUAAUAAAAAAACAGAGUAAAACAGAGUAAAAAGAAAACUGAAAACAGCAGAAAACAGAGACAUUAUAAUCCAACAAUUCUACAUGUAUAUAGUGGUAGAUAUAUCCAAUAUGACCUCACUACAUACAUCCAAUUUCCACUCUGGAAAACGUAAUUAAUUGUUUAGGCUUGUUCUUCACUACUUAUUUUUCCUCCAAUUGCCUUCACGUUACCUCUUUUGGAAGCAUUCAGUUGAUCUACAUGCAUUGUUUGGACAUGAAGAAAUGUUUUAAUAGUUCAGUUUUCAUAAAAAUAGACCAGCUCGAGAUUAUCAAUGGUGUGUGUAUAUGUAAUCUUGUGUACUCAAACUAGCUAAACUCGAAUGAUAUUCCAAUUUCGAUCUAAAAUACCAUUGCCGGAUAAUUUUAAUGGAAUGCCAUCAAAUUGUUUUCCCCUAAUGCUGCGUUAAAGUACGUAUUGCAUAACUUAGAUACAUUUACCCAAAAUCAUUCCGAAAAAAAUAUAUCAGGACAAAUUCAGAAGCUUUAUAGGCGUUAAUCGUGGAUUAAUAUAGUUUCGUUUCAUUCUUAUUAGAACUAUAUAAGGAAUUUAUUUCUUCACGUGGGAAGCAAACUCUGCCUUUUUUAGUCAAUUGUUGACUUCGCUUUUGAUUAAUUAGACAUAACUAAAUUUAUUUUUGCUCAAGGUUUGCUGUUUGACAUAUAAUAUCAAAAAUAUAUUUCAAAACUUCACCACUACAUAUUUACAAUACCCCGCAACAUUGCACGAGAAGUAGCAACCAUGUGCGGUUCACAUUCCCGUCUGAGCACCUGGGAAAGCCUACUCUCAUCUAAUACUGUACAAUUAAAUUAGGUCAGUAUAUCCAACUUCCAUGAUUUUAGGUAUGUGAAUGUGAAUACACCAGUUGCCAAAUGAAGGACACGAAAGAAAAAGGAAAUAAGUUAACCACACGGGCAGGAUUGAGAGAUGUGUAUUUUUGCAAGCUACGUAAUGUCUCCGAACAUAUAGUCAUGAGAUACGGUCCGCAAACAAAUGUAAGACCAUACAGUAUCCAUUUUCCCAUUUGGGACACAAGAUCAACUAGGUAUAUUGCUACAUUACUCAAUUGCAUUCAUUUAACUAUAUGGUAAUUUAUUGUGGGAUGGCAUACACAUUGCAUCGUAUAAUGUACAUGGAAAUAUCAAUAUUGUUAUCAGUACCCACAUGAUCUCAUGAGAUAAUAUUUUGAACAAUCUUCUAAAUCUUCUUGAUAUAUAUGCCAUGCACUUGGUACCAAACUAAAAAGCAUUCCGCAACUCUCCCGCUAUAUAAACAUAGUGGACUCGCUAUAUUACCAUAUUUACGAGCUUUUGGAGAAUCAAAGUCGAAUGUCAUUCAACAACAGGGGAUCGAGAAGCAAGAAAAACAUAUUUAGCAAAGAAUGGAACGUGCUCAAGGGGAAAUGGGGAUCUCGAGAAGCCUCGUUGAGCAGGACCUAUCGGGACGCCGCCACGUCACCGGUGAGCUCACUAGCAGAGCCCCAACGGAACUAUCGGUGGAGUCUCAGCGGAGAUCCUCGAGCGUCAGCCAAAGCGACGACCAUUAUCACAAUUCUGGUGAAGACGAUCCAUGGCGAGCAAGCUACAAGCAUGGCGCUCUCGCCUAUUCUGGUGAUUACGAUCAAGGGUGAGUGAGAUCAUACCCGUGACCACCCCAGCAGGAAUAUGAUUAUUCUUAUCACACUAGCAAGGGCAGUAUUAUUCUCAGGGUCUUGACAAUGUCAAUAGUUACGUCCGCGACGACGCGUCUGUUCCAUCAUACCUGCCCCGCAUACCUCUUAUGGUUAUCACCAUCCAUCCGAGUCUCCCCCGAAUAAUUGCUUGGUGAUGUGAGAUGCCUAAUAUAGUGUGGCUAUAGUUGCUAUUUACUAAUAUCUGGUGAAGUACGUGAUGAGCUAGGGGCAUGGUUGAGCCAUUGGUUUGUUAGCUUUCGCUUGUGACUCUCAGUGAAGUUUCUUGUUUUAGUCAAUGGUUUCGAACGUGAUGGAGUUUGAUUGAAAUCGCUUUGAAAUCACGAGCGAGGAACGGCCUCACCUGGGCGAGGCCACCCUUGCCCUGGGGGAGGCAGCCCUUUGCGGCCAUUUGCAAGGGCUCAAUGACUUCGUCGGCCACAGGCAAAGGUGGCCUAACAGGCCCUUGUUGGCCAUUACUAGCGGCCGGCAAGAUCAUUGAACCCUUGCAAAGAAAAAAGAAAAGAAAAUUUGGAUGAAAACUUUUUGACCAGUUGAAAAAUUUAGCCGGCCGACGACCGCCGAAGUUAGACUCUUAUUUGAAAUAACAAUGGGUACAUCAGGCCUUUAUUUAAAAAAAAAAUGAAUGCCACUUCAAGUCCUUAUUUGGAACAAGAUCUAUUUGGAGUCUUUAUUUGAGAAAAUGGCACACUUCAAGCCCUUCUUUAAAAUUUUCCCUUUAUUUUAUUUUAGGUUGCAAUUCUUGCCCGUGGAAUGAACUAAAAUAUACUCUUUUUCUCUCUCUCUUUUUCCCACUUAAAAAAGCCGCUUGAUGAAAUAUUAUUUAUCUUGAGCAAAUGCACCUUGAAUCAAAAGGGGGAAAUGACUUCGCAUUUCUUCAGAAGUCUUCCAAACGCAGGUGCUCAUGUCAACAUUUGCAUCAAGAUUUCUAACGUUUCGUUUCGAAAAAUUAUAGUUACUGCGAUUUUUCUUUUCGUAUUUUAUAAAAAAAAAAAAGUCAAAACGGCGCAUCACGUUGACCCAUCAUCAGUCCAUGCAUGCCGAUCAGCAGGCGCUGUCCCUGUCCCGACCUCAUCGUCACAAGGGAAGAAUGUGAACCAAGCGAUCAACCAUCGAUCUUCGAAGGAGAAGACUUCACACAUCGGCGCUUCUUCCGUCGGGCGAUCGUCCUCACUUCCUCUCCAAUCUCUUCCCAGCUUCCUCCUGCAUCCUGAAAAUCCCUAUGGCGGGGGCGCUCGUCGGCGGAGCAUUUCUCUCGGCUUUCCUCCAGGUGCUCUUUGACCGGAUGGCCUCCCGCGAAGUCGUCGACUUCUUCCGGUCACGCAAGCUCGACAAGGGGAGGCUGCUGCAGAAGCUGAAGGCCGCGCUCCUGUCCGCGAACGCCGUGCUGGACGACGCGGAGGAGAAGCAGAUGACCAACGACCACGUCAGGGAGUGGCUCGACGACCUCAAGGACACCGUGUACGACGCCGACGACCUGUUCGACGAGAUCGCCACUGAAGAUCUGAAGCGUGAAGCCGGGGUCGAGCCUCGGGCUCUCGUUUGUAAGGUCUGGAGCUUCGCUGCAGACUCUCGUAGGAGGAAAUUGGGGGAUGAUUUAGAGAGGGUUCUGGAGAGAUUGGAGAGCGUAGUGAAGCAGAGAGAAGUGCUGGGCCUAAGGGAAGGUAUUCGCGAGAGGACGGCUAGAGCUUUGCCGACCACUUCGUUGGUCGAGGAAUCGGGAGUUUUCGGGAGGGAGAAGGACAGGGAGGCGGUGAUCGAGUUGCUCUUGUCAGAUCGGGGCGAAAAGAACACCAGCGUGAUGGCCAUCGUUGGGAUGGGCGGUGUCGGUAAGACCACGCUAUCUCAGCUUGUGUACAACGAUGGUGUGGUGAAAGGGAGUUACGAGUUGAGGGCGUGGGUUUCCGUGUCCGACCAAUUCGACAUCUGCAAGCUGACGGCCACGGCUCUCGAGGAGUUCUCCUCCUCGUCUAAGAAGGAGACCGAAAAUCUCAACCAGCUUCAGCUCCAGCUGAAGAACUUCUUGACAGGGAAGAAAUUCCUAUUGGUGUUGGAUGAUGUUUGGAAUGAGGACUUCAAUAUUUGGGAUGCGUUCCUAGUUCCUUUUACCUAUGGAGCAAGAGGCAGCAAAAUCGUCGUGACGACACGAAAUGAGAGCGUCGCAUUGGUUGCUCGUGCCGUCUCGACAUACCCUUUACAGAAGUUGCAAGACGAGGAAUCUUGGGACUUGUUCGCAAAAAAUGCGUUUGACCAGCAUAACUUCGAGGCACGCACGGGACUUGAAGAUAUCGGGCAAAGAAUUGUAAAGAGAUGUGAUGGAUUGCCUCUUGCGCUGAAGACUAUAGGUAGCUUGUUACGCUGUGUGUCUGAUAUCAGGAAGUGGGAAAUAAUUGCAGAGAGUGACAUUUGGGAUUUGGCACCUGGAAAGUAUAAAAUUCUCCCUGCGUUGUUGUUAAGUUAUCAUUACCUUCCUCCACAACUGAAACGAUGUUUUGCUUAUUGUUCAAUCUUCCCAAAGGAUUGUAGAUAUGAGAAGGACCAGCUGAUCUUACUUUGGAUUGCUGAGGGCUUGAUAAAACAACCUAACGACAGCAGGACAUUGGAGGAAGUAGGUGAUCAGUGCUUCUGUGACCUUGUGUCUAGAUCUUUGCUUCAUAGAGUAAGUGAUAUCGAAUUGAGCUUCUCGAUGCAUGACCUGAUCAAUGACUUAACGAGAUAUGUAGCUGGUCGAUCUUUUUUUAGCUUGGACGGAGGCAAUGCACACCAGGUGUCCUUGAGCACUCGCCAUUUGUCAUUUGUAAGAACUCAAUAUGAUGUCGCUUCUAGAUUCAGAGUGUUAGCCAAGGCAAUGAAUUUGCAUACUUUCCUACCGCUAAAUGUGGGUCAUGUGAGAUUAGGCGAGUGCUCUUGGUUGACUGAUGAGGUAUUGCAUGUUCUGUUGCCGACCCUGAGACGGUUAAGGGUGCUAUCUUUGUCUCAUUAUCAUAAAAUCUCUACGUUGCCCAGUUCAAUUGGACGUUUGAAGCAUUUGCGCUAUUUGAAUAUCUCCUAUAAUACAAGUCUACACAGAUUGCCUGAUUCAGUUACUGCUCUAUACAACCUGCAAACCUUAAUUCUUGCUCACUGUUGUUCUCUCAUUGAGUUACCGAGCAACAUGGGCAGCCUGACCUGUCUGCGUCAUCUUGAUAUGAGGGGGACAUCCCUGAAGAGAAUGCCAUUGGGGAUGAACAGACUGAAGAAUUUGCAGACAUUAACUAAUUUCGUGGUGGCGGAAAACGGUGGGACCAGGGUUAGGGAGUUAGGGGAGCUUGGGAAUCUUAUGGGUACACUCUCCAUAGAGGGUUUGCAGAAUGUUGAUAGUUACCGAGAUGCCGAAAUAGUCAAUUUGCAGGGAAAAAGGUACUUGAAAAAGUUAGUACUGCAAUGGGGUUCCGAUAACAAUAUCACGCAGCAAAAUUGCUUAAAUGUACUGGACAAGCUGCAACCUCAUUGGAACUUGAGAGAGCUUAUCAUUAUAUCCUAUAGUGGUAGGUCAUUUUCCAAUUGGGUGGGACAUGGUUCAUUCUCUAAUAUGUCAGUCGUGCGUCUUGAAUCUUGCAAGCACUGUGUGUCAUUGCCUCCUUUAGGACAGAGACCAUCUCUAGAGAAGUUGAUAAUCGAAGGAUUUGAUGGAGUUACAAGUGUGGGUACUGAAUUCAAUGGUAGUAACUGUAUACCUUUCCAGUCACUUAAGUACUUGGAAUUUGCUGACAUGUGCAGCUGGAAAGAGUGGGCUUGUUUUGCAAUAGAGACAGGAGGUCUUGCCUUUGCACAUCUGCAGGAGCUUCGUAUUAGAAAUUGCCCGCAGUUGAGUGGAGGUUUACCCAGCCAUCUCCCUUCUCUAACAGCCUUGUCCAUUGGAAGGUGCCCACAGCUAACGUCUUCUCUACCAUUUGCACCACUUCUCCGUGAGAUCAAUUUGGAUGAUUGUGGAAAGGUCUCUGGAGUUGAGCCCCUCCUAAAUGGCACUGAGUUACGAGAUAUGAAAAUCUGGAAUCUUUCAACCCUUCCCUUGAGGUUUCUUCCUCCUACCGUGACAAGACUCAGUCUUGAAGACAGUCCUGAAAUAGAGUUGCCAAUGCACAGAUGCCAUGAAUCUCUCCAAUAUCUAAACUUGAUGUGGAGCUGCAAUUCACUUAUAUCCUUUCCUCUGGAAAUUUUCCCCUUGCUUAAGAAUAUUCAGUUGGUGGGGAUUGAAAAAUUGGAACAUCUUUCAAAUUCAGACGGUUCACCACUUCUUCUCCAUUCGAUUGACAUUAGAUAUUGCCCUGAAUUUACAUCUUUCCCUGCGGGAGGAUUGGCUGCCCCAUGCCUCACUUCAUUAGAGUUGAAUGACUGCCGUCAUCUAAAGUAUCUGCCAGAAAACAUGCAGGCUCUCCUUCCUUCACUUCGGUCAUUGACAAUAUCCUCAUGUCCACAAAUCGAGUCAUUUCCUGAGUGGGUUUUACCCUCCAAGUUGGUCACGCUUUCACUCUCUAAUUGUGACAAGCUCAUCACUGGCCACAAGGAUUGGGGUCUUCAAUCACUAUGCUCUCUUAAAACUUUUGUCAUUAGGCGAGGGAAAAAUAUAGAGUCAUUUCCUGAGAUAGGGCUUCUGCCAACGUCUCUUACCUCUUUGGAUAUCUUUGGCUUUGAGAAUCUGACGUCCCUGAACUCCAAAGGGCUUCAUAGCCUGAGCUCCCUUGAAAACCUGUCCAUUGGCGAAUGUCCUAAGCUCCAUUCCUUCCCAAAAGAGGGACAAAUUCUGCCUGCUUCUCUUACUACUCUGUGGAUUUAUGAUGUGGGUCUAAAAUCACUGGAUAACUUAGGACUCCACCACUUCACUUGUCUCAAAGAAUUUCGCAUAGAUGACUGCCGAAGUCUUCGAUCCAUGCCAGCGGAGGGCUUGUCAUCCUCCCUUUCCAAUCUAUUUAUCCAUGGGUGCCCUUUGCUGGCGAAAAGAUGCCAGCGGAAGAAAGGGAAAGAUUGGCCCCUGGUUUCGCACAUUUGCUGCAUCGUGAUUGAUUUUGUGCUCAUCACAUGAUCGAAUAUCUUGCUUCACAAGCCCUCCUUUUACCAAUAUCUCACUCAGGUAUCUCCCUUGACCCAACACUAAGUAAGCCAUUUAUUUAUUCACAACAUACUUCAGUCGCUCUAUGGUCAAGCACUAACAUCUGGCUGUAUUUGCCACAUGCUACUCUAAUAACGCUCCCCAGUGGAGAAUAUUUGUAGUUUCACGGGCAUUCCAUUGUUGUUCCUACUAUUGGGCUGCAUAAUUUGUUUAUCGGUUGCCGAGUUAUUUAGCUGAAGCAUCUGCUUUUCCCUACUCCAUUCUCUCUAUAUAAAUCACACUUCCCUUCCUAUACUUCAGGUGAGCUUCUGUCAUGGUCUUUAUAGUUUCGCCCGGGAAAUGAUUAUUCAUUGCUACUUUUGUCGUCGUCAGACUAUUUCGGCUUUAAGAUCUCACUCAUAUCAUGAUUGUCAACACCUACAAAUGCCAACUUAUGGAACUGUUUGUGCAUGAGCUAACAAUAGUAAAUAGAGCAAAGAGAUUCAUGGCCAUCUAGAGAAGGCCUAGCCUUGAUUAGGCUAUCCAAAUGAAAUUAUUUUUUUCACGAACUCUAGCAUGUCCUCAAGUUAAAAAGAGAGUAAAUUUGCUCUUAUUAACAAAUGCUUUCUGUCGUGUUAAGCUGUAUAAUAUUGUGAGGGAGAUGUAAAUUCUUAAACCAGGCAUGACUCAUGACUGACCUGUAUUACGCUUGCCAGAAUAGUGUGGUAUCAUGGGUGGAGUGUAUUUCGUUUGCUUUGUACUUUAUUUGUCAAUUUCUACAUAACAUCACUCUAAAGUCGUACAGUUUAACAAUUUCCCUGCCUACAUGUAGAAUUCUUAUCCAUGGAAUGUGAAAAUGGAACAGUUUAAGAGAUGCGAGUGACCCGGCAUUUGGUAGUGGCAUAUCCACUUUUGUCACUAAUUAUAUCGUGACAUCAACUAAAUCCAUCAAACUGAAGGACUAAAAAAAGUAUGUAAAAGUUAGGUUUUUAUUUGUUGAAGUCAAAAGUUUGCAUCUCAAAAUGCAAUUCCAUCAAAAUAUAUGGACCUAUUGUAAUUUACCCUAUUUUGAGAGAAUAUUUUUUUCUUUUGAGGGAACUCAAGCGGUGUUAUGUGCACUAAUAAUUGAGGAGCUUCGGAGGAUGGAGAUAGAGCUGGAAAUGUAUUGCUAGCUUUUAGCUUGAUUAGAGUAUCCUUUAGUUGUUAAUACUUGUCUUUCAGUCAUUGCAAGUGGAGUGCUUCUAGAUGGGGCUAGACUAACUAAUGUUCCAAAAAUACACGAUGCAUCCACGAUUGGUAAUACAAGCACAUGCUGUGUUGAGAUGCACGUAUGAGUUAUGUUAGAAAAAGUCCAACGACGUGGGAUUAGUAUGGUGUGGAAUAGUUAAUAUAUCUUAGUCGGGCAUUGCUUUAAGCUUUUGAGUAAAAGUGGCCUAAUUGGAUGUGUUGAAAGGUUUGGACUUGGGCUCUCUCUUGGCUUCUGCUAUUCGCUCCCAAGCCAAUCGUUGAUUGAUGGCAACCUGUUGGUGCAAAAGAAUGCUUGGAUUAAGGGGGACAUAUAUUGAACAUUGAGCUUACACGUAAGAGGGAGAUAAAAAUUGAUGUGGUGUAGAGUACUUAAUAUAUCUUAAUUGGCUCAUGAUUUAUUGGCUUAAGCUUUUGAGUAUAUGUUAUCUUCAACUAUAUCUAUUGAUGGGGUCAAUCUUGGGUUCUUUCUUGGCGAUCUCUCAUGUAAUGGUAUCAGGUUUCUACUAAGCUUUACCGGCAUGCUGUAGUGAAUGUCGGAUGCAGCUUUGGAUGGACCUAUUCUUCUCCCGCGAUAUCAAUAUAGUUUCAGUAACAAGGUUGUGGUGAAAAAAAGAAGGGUGCUUAGUCUUCACAAGACAAGCGGAUUAUGAGGAUCAAGAGCAGCAUAGGCAAUGAGAUGGUGGAAAUUGGCAAGGAAAACAAAUCCAAUUUUCACGCAGUCAGCAAACCAAGUGAUCGACUCCUAGAAAUGAAAGAAUCGAGGUCAAUAUAGAAGUUCCAAAAUUUCAUUGUUGGUUUGCAGCUUGCGAGAAAUUGUUUACCAAUGAGUGCAAGUGUAGAAGAGGCACACCAGUGUGAUUGCAACGUUUAGUUUGAUGCAGCGACAUGUCAUGUAAGAAGUACUUGCCUAAUGGUUUGGUUUGAUUGUUGUUUUUACAAGCUGAUACUUGUCGCAAUGGAGAAACAAGAAACCAUUCGAGGCGAAACGAGCCAACACGUGAUCUGGAAUUGUACAUCCCAGGUCUUUGAUGUUGUAGCAUGGGAAUUAAGGAUCAUAUCUGAAACUGAUGAUGGGCAUGAGAUGAGUGGGUUAUGGAGAGAUUGUUUGAUACAGCUUUUGGAUGGUAGCUAUGACCGUAAAACUGGAUGCUUCCGCUUUCGCAAGGUAACAUCUCAAAGCUAUCAUCUGGAAAUAGAAAGCCAUCCCAUCUAGCUUUUAGCUGCUACUGUGUGUUACCAAAUGGGAUGGUGGAAAUCGGCAAGAAAAACAAAUGCAUUUUUCAUGCAGUCAGCAAGCCAAGUGAUCGGCGCUUGGAAAUGUCAGAAUCGAGGUCAAUUAGGAGUAUCGAAAUUUCAUUGUCGAUUUGCAGCUUGUGAGAAAUUGUUAACAACAAGAGCAAAUGUAGGAGGGGCACUCAAAUGCGAUUGUAACGUUUAUUGUAACACAGCGACAGUGUAACACAACGACAUGCCGUGUGAGAAGUACUUGCCUAAUGGUUUGGUUGGAUUGUUGCUUUUUUCAAGCUGAUACUUGUCAAAGUGGAGAAACAAGAAAGAAUUCAAGGUGAAACGGAGCCAACGCAUGAUCUGUAGUUGUACAUCCCAGGUAUUCAAUGCUGUAGCAUUGGAAGCAAGGAUCGUAACCGAAACUGAUGAUGGGCAUGAAAUGGGUGGAUUAUGGGGAGAUUGUUUGAUACAGCUUUUCGAUGGUAGUUGUGUUAGUACAACUGGAUGCUUCCGCUUUCACAAGGUAACAUCUCAUAACUAUCAUUUGGAAUCAGAAAGCUGUCCCGUCUGGCUUUCAGCUGUUGCUGUGUGUUUACAAAUGAUCGCACUAUGAUUAUACCACACGGGCCCUGAGUGGAGCUUCAUAGCCUAUAUAGGAUCAGGAGGGGUUGGAGAAUUGAUUGGGUGAUACGUCUCUCUUUGGUUGAGUGGUUCUUCUCUUCUUCAAAAGCACCUCUAGUUCUCUGGGACAGACUUAAGCAAAGAGAGAAUAACUCGUGCAUGCAAGCAUGACCCAUUUCGUGCUAUAGGAGGAUGUGACAUAUAAUGAGUAAGUGAAUUUCGGGGUCAUGUACGAGUCCGACUUAUUUAUCAUGUUUGAGUUUGAAGUCGUCGAAUGUACAUCAAAAGUAGCCGCGUAUGUACAUAUAAGGACGAGCAUUCUGAUUUGUAUGUAUCACAUAGUUGAGAAAGAUGAAUAAAAUAACCUUCAUUUCCAAUUUCAAAAUUUCUAAAGACGUCAUUACUCGACAUGGAGAACCAGCACAAAAACCUUGUGCCUACGGAAGAUAGACAAAUAUUUUGAAAUGAUGUAGUGUAUUAUACUAAUCAACACCGACACAACUAGCAGUGGAUGCUGAUCCUCAUUUAACCCACAAAUUCACGAGUGAGAAGGGGAGUUGAAGCAUCUAAGACAGAAAAACUAACUGGCUUGCUAAAUGAUUUGGAUAUAUAGACAAACAAGAAUUGUGAUCUUCAUAUCACUAGCGUUCAUCCAACCAAAAUAACAACAGCAACUUGGACGCGGAUCAAGAAAAAAGACCUACUGCGAGACAAGGUACAGGACAGACGGGAGAGAGAGAGAGAGAGAGAGAGAAGGGGGACGUAAACUUAGCUGGCGGCAGCGGCAGUGGGACGCGCGAACCAGAGAGAGGUCAAAGAAGAUACCCAAGAAGGGGGGGAUUAUAUAUAGGAGGCUCGCGGGCUUCGAUUGGUCCGCCGGGAAAACGAAUAUUCCCAUAAUCUUUUUUUGGGGGUGUAAUUUGGGGGUUUAAUUAACUAGGAUGGAUUUUGCUUAGGCGUGUUCCGAUCUAUAAAACACUGACACUCUUUUAAAGUUUUUGUGUUGUGUCGGAUAUUUCGACACGUGUAAAAUACUCUCAGACACUUUCCGACACUCGGUCAACACGUGUCGGAAAAUUCGACACCUAGUCAACUUUCUUGACACUCUCCGAUACUCGAGUCGAAAUUUUGACAUACGAGUUUUCGACACGUGAUUUCGAUAUCAAGGUCAAUUUUAAAAUUUCAAUAAAUGAAAUGUCAAAAUAUAUAUGUGAAAAAACACAAUAAUAAAAAUAAUAAAUGGAAAAAGAAGAAAGACCUAGUAUUAUCUUCUCUUUUCACUCUCAUUUUCCGUGAUACACAAUUCACUACUUAAGUUUUUUUCUUCUCUUUCAACAUAUCUAACAUGUGAGUCCAAAAUAUGGAUCGCUUGUUUUUUCUCCAAAUUUUAUGAAUUAUUGAAAUAGAGUUAAAUAUAUCAAAUUGAAACAAUAAGUGAUACUAAUAAAUGGCGGAUUCAUGUUUUUAGCGUAUAUUCAUUCUAGGCUUUUCUAAAAAAUCAAAUUAAUUUGAUUGAAAUAACCAUAAAAAUGAUAAUUUAUUAUGUAUAUAUAAAAAUAUAUAUUUAAUAUACAACGUGUCCCAACGUAUCGAAAUUUUCUUUUUUUUUUAUAAACGACGUGCUGGCAUGUCGUGUCGUGUCUCGUGUCGCAUGUCAGUGUCGGUACUACUUAGGUACCGAUUACCCAAUCACAUUCGAAAGUGUAAGAUUAUAUUUCUUUCUAAAAAGAAAAAAAAAACUGAAAAAUUACCUUUUUAACGAAUCGAUAAAAGAAGAAAAUACAUGAAAUUCUUGAGGAAUGAACGAAUUUGGAAAUCUAUAUCGGAGAUGUGGAGGAAUCGAGAGAUCCUCUUCUGAUUUUAUUUUGUCGGUGGUUUUUUCUAUCUUUUUAUUUACCGAUGGACAACUAAUAUCCGACUUAAUCUAUUUAUAAAAUCUCUCUACUUUUUGCUUUUUAGUACUUGUGUUACCCUCUUUCUUUACGCGACCGUGUAACCAUAAUACAGGGGGGAACAGAUGUUCUUAAAUUUAAAUUGUUUUUGGUGGGGGAGGGGAAGAAUGACGUCAUGGCGCACGUCUGAUGUGGCGUGGGAUUGGUCGGAUCUCAUCGUCGUCGCGGUAGUUGGUGGUGCUGCCCAUGAAAAUGUAAUGCGCACGUUGUUUGGGACAUUAGCCUCAGCGGUCAUGUGGUCUGAUACUUGAAUCAAAGGCAAGAGCUACUAAGCGAGUUCCCGUUUCUUAUAUUCUCCACGGAUAGAUCUGAUAGAUCGCAGCUACCUAAGGCGCUUUGAAAGAAGUGGCCCCUUAGGCCGAGAAAGGAUUGACACCUCCUUCUCUAGCUUACAGCCUGCUUAUAGCUGCCCAUCAUCGUUCCGCCUGCUGGCCUAUUGGGAUUCACGGCUUGCUGAACCACGAAACGAAAAAGAGCUCCGGAUCAAGGAAAAGCCACAGGCCAAUGCCAAUCUCUUAGGGCAAGUUCUCUUUAAUCCGUCUUUGUAACAUCUGCUGAUGUACCUCAUAACUGGGCUGUACAUACAGGGAGCUCUCUACAGUAUCUAUGCUACCUGCUAGUUCCUGUGGCCCAUAGCAUCACACUUUACAGAGCAAGCAAAAACCGUGGGUUUGACCGGGUCAAACAUCGGACGUUGGAUCUUCUUGGGAUACAUCCCCCCUAGAAUAAUGCACGCGAGCGCCAAGUUGUGAUAUGGAGAGUUAUUUAUUUUAAUGUUUUCUGUUUUGAGACAUUAAUUUCCUGAUACCUUUUAAUUUUCGUAAAAAAGGACUUGUGCAAUGGAAAUUAGUCGGGAUGUGUGAAAUACGGGCUAAAUCUUGGAUUUCUGAAAUUGAAAUUGGAUGAAAAGAAAAUGCAAGUGAUUUGAUGAAAUGGAUAGACAUUUGGAAAUUGACGGUGAAAAUAUGUAGGUGGGCUCUUGGUGAGAAAAUAGGGAUAGAAAUCAAAGUGGAUAGUGGAUUUGGGGAUUGCAAACAUUGCAUCAUGAAAUAGUACUAGAAAAAUGAUUAUUGCAAUCCGUUUAUUCCACAAUUUUGAUGUCAAUUUAGCAAAUUAGUCCAUUAAUAUUGUGGCACGUGUCAUGCAUGAGCCCACCUAUCAGUCACCAUCUUCCCACUCUCUCCCUCCUUCACCAUCUCUCUCUCUCUCUCUCCUCCCCCCCCCCCCCCUCUUUUUGACCCUUUUUCCCUUCUCCAACCUCGAGCCCAAGCCACCGCCAUUGUCGGCCAUAGUGAAGAGCACGCUCGGAGUCUCUGGCGACAAGCUUGCCGCCGAUGGAUGCCUAUCCCUUUGCGCACCUCGCGGUGGGAAACCUUGAGCCAAAGAUCCCUAUCGCUGCCAAGCUCACCCACUUUGCCAUCUGCCCAUUGUCCUCUCCCCGCUUCUAUAAUAGUUUCGUUAAAUGGAUGCUUCUGUAAUAGUUUCGUUAAAUGGAUGGGAGAUGGCAAGAAAUUUUGCAAAGCGAGAAAAGCUCGAGACUUUUUGUUUUUGGAAUGAUUAUUUUUUAAGUGUGAAUGUAUGACGUGCCUAUGACACACCCGCAUUGAGAAAAUAUCAAGUGAGAGCAAGAUUUGAUGAGAAAUACUUCAUUAAACCUCUUAAGUUGCAUCCCAAAGAUACUAAAGCCCAAAAUAUGGGGGCAAAAACAAGAGGAAAUAGAAAGAAGCAGGAGAAAGAAGUCAAAUUUGUUCUUAUUUUUUAAAACCCAUACCCGUAUGAAGCCCAUUGAUCCUCAUCUUGGGCCGGGAGAGACCCGCCGUUCACCCGACCCGACUUGAUUUUCUUCCUCUCAUGUUUUCCCGGGAAAACCUUCUUCCCCUCUCUAGCUUUCUCCGGGAAAAUUUUCCGAUCCGUUGCAAACCGUUCAUCGUCUUCCGUUCUGUAACAGAUCUCGACGACCUGCGAGGCUUCGAUGGAGAUUCGCAUCGGAAGAGGCUACGCGUGGGCCAUCGCCGCCGGAUUCAUGGCCGCUCUCGCCGCCAUCUCCGCCAAGUUCUUCUCCUCUCAGGUAACCCAACCUCAUCCGCGCGCUUGUCCGU
rnacentral:lncRNA from 1 species